rnacentral:lncRNA from 1 species
GAAUACUAACUUACUAACAAUUUAUUUGAACAAAAAAUAAAUAAUGAAAGCUCAAUAAUACAAAUAUUCAAUGAAAUCUUUGGCAUGUUAAUUCUUUGCAGCUUCAACAUGGUGGCAUGUCGGAUGGCGGAGGCAGCAUUUGAGCUUCUGGGUGUUUACCAUUUUUCACUAUGAACGCAGUGUCCAUGCCCCAACUCAGAUGGCGCUCUAAAUGGCAGUGCAUGAACCACACUCCUACAAUAGAGAAAAUAUACCAAUAUUAAAUCUAACAUAUUGUAAUAUUAAGAAAAAUUAUUUCCUUGAUAUGCAAGGUGGCAGUUUGGAGGGUUUUGUUUUUUGUGUGUGUAAUAGACAACAUGAGUGCUUGCAACAUACCAGGGUUGGAUGCCUUGAAUCUGAUUGCAGUCCAACCAUUCUUAGGAACAGCGAUGGUAUUCUGAAGGGGAGGAUCCACCAGAUUAUAGCGCAAAGGGUCCCUAUUUUUAUCGAAAUUCCCAAAUCCCCAUCCAACAACAUAAAAACUAUAUCCAUGGAGAUGCAUGGGAUGGUCUGUCCCUGCAACCAAGUUUGUCCCUUGAAAAACAAUCUCCACUGUGGAGUUAUACUCGAGCACCCUUACUUCUGUUCCUUUUCUCGGCGUCUCAUACUUUAAUGGAGGAUACUCAGCUGUAAAAUCAAACACCAGUGGUGGAUGGCUAGGAAAUUUAUCUCCAUAUACACCACUGAUGUUAUAAUAGUAGGCUUGUAGUAUGUCGAUUGUCGGGGAUUGGAAGCUUAUAUUGUUUAUACUUGUAGCGAGCCGUGACUUAUUGGGCCCUAAACACGAAUUAUUGGCGCAUGGGAACGUGUUCAUAGAAAUAGUGUAAAUCAAUUUAGUGCCUAUGUUUAAUGGGACAUUGCAAGGAUGUUCUGCAUCCGCUAAGCUUCGGAGGCUGCCCGUGAAGUGAACCGACGCAUUUGUGUCAUUGUGCUCAGGAAGAUGAGGCAAAGAGGGAGGUGAAGUUGGAGUGUAGUAUCCCCUGUACUGUACAAUAGCUGUGGUGGUUGUGUUAUCAUACUUGACUCCAUGGGCACUGGAAUAAACUUCAGCCGCCAUGUAAUAGUGACCCGGGCGUUGGUUAGCUUCUAGUAAGACAUCGAAGGUUUGGCCAGGUGAUAUUGUGAUAUAAUCUCGUGUCAAUGGCUUGGUGUAGCUACCAUCUGUUCCAACCACUGUCAUUUUAUGCUUGGCAAUGGAAAAGAAGAGAAUGUCUUGCAAGGCAGCAUUGAUUAUGCGAAGUAGAUAGGUCUUUCCAUGAUUCACCAUUAACUUGAAUGUGCCUGAAAUUAGAAAGGGAAAGUUAUAUACUUAUGACUAGCUAGCCAAAGGAAAAAGAAAAUGGUUCCGUGAGGAUCCACCAAUUAUAAAGUGAUUGAUUGAUCAAGGGUGCAAACUUGGCUCCAUAAUAAUUAUAGUUGGACCAGCCUUUUCUUAUGUGUUAAAUCAUGGCUCUACCAUCUUCAUAGUUAUGUUCCUCUUUCUUAGCAUUAAGCUUCAAAUAUGUUGGUGUUAAUAAGAAAAUUAAAGUAAUUUGGUUACCAUACAGGAAAAUGAAAUCGUGUACAAUUUUCAAAUGACAAGUUAAACUCUGUACUUGAUUUUGAGCAUGGAUGUAGAUCCCCAGGUUGUCCAUUUAUUAAGUAAGAAUUAGAGACAUUGGGGUCAGCUCCGGUUGCAAGCAUCUCCUCUAGAACUGCAUUCACGUCACUCUUCCACCAUUCUCCUGCAUUUCAAUAACUCCAAUAAUUUUAGAUUUCGCUUUGCUUGUUAAUUCAUAAUAUGUAAAUUAACCUUUAAAGUAAUGACACUUGUACCUAAUAUGAUAGGAACUUCUGCAUUAGGUUUAGGAAAAGGAUACUUGGUUCCAUUCUUGGGAUAGACAAUUAUAGCUCCAUGAACAGUGGCUCGGGUCCAAUCACUAUGAGCAUGCCACCAUAGAGUCCCUUCCUCAGAGGAAAGGAUGAUCUUCUGGCUAAACUUUGAUCCUGGGGGAAUUGGACAUUGUGUGAUAUACUCAGGACCAUCUGUCCAUGGAUAUCUAGGCAUCUUCACCCCAUGCCUGCAAAAUAAUAACUAUAUGUUAACACUAGUACUAAUUUUUAGAUUCACUAAAGAUGGCAUGUAGCAAUGAACUGAAGCAAAUAACCCUAAAGCAUUGUUUUAAAUUUGACUUUGCAAAUCAAUAUAUUGCAGUCUCCUCUUAGAAAUAAAAGAAUGUAUGCCAUGCAGGCAUGUUGCCGCUAUCUUUCUCCGAGACAUGCACAUGACCUACCAAUGAAUGGUGACGUUUUGUUUUCCCCUGUUAUAAACGUCGACAAUGAUCGUCUCUCCUUUCUUAGCAUAUAUAGUUGGUCCCGGAAAUUGUCCAUUUACUGUUAAGAUGUUCUUGGUGCUACAAAGCCUUGUAUAUGAAGCUUCCCUCACCUGCAAUCAAUUAAAAGUUAACCAUGCAUCCUCAUACCAGAAAGAAAAAUUACAUGUACAAAUUGUUGCAUCGAUCCAUUCAUACAAGUGUAUAACCAAUCAGAAAUUGAUAGCAUGCAUGAACGACUCAAUGACACAAGGGUACCCGAAGACCUAUGGCUGCCAUACAGUGGAAAAUGAGAGCCAUACUGGUCCCUAAAUAUUAUCACAAGGUGGCAUUAAGGCCAGAAUCAUGCAUAUAUAGUAUUUACCACAAAAGUAUGCCGACGGGUUGAAGCUUUGCAAUGGAGGCCACCACCAAAAAGAAGAAAUGCUAAAAUUUGCAAGAGGAAAACCUUCAUCAUCAGCCACAUCUUCUUCGGAAUAAAAGUCUCUUCUCUUGUACUAAACACAACUACUUCAAUUUUCUUACUAUUUCUAAUAGCAGGACUUAUCUUCUCUUUGACAUGAAUGGAAUGAAUUCUUAAGGGUAUUUAUAGAGGCUGGAGAGAACCAAAACUAGAACCGGUGAAAUCUGGACAGCAACUUUGAUGGCUGCUGUCAUCUUCAGCAUGAAUGCAUACACCAGAUUAGGUAUAGACGCGUUCAUUCUGUGGGCACCUAACAACUGGUUUCCCUCCUUUGUAAUUUCCUCGAACUUUUCCCGUAUUUCUUUCAUAUAUGAUUCUUAAUAUAGUCCAGAUGAUUUCCUUGAGAUACAAUACUUGCUCGCCACGUGUCAAUAUAAGAGGAAGUGAUUUGAAUGUGAAUUGGUUUUAAAUGUUCUUCCGGGACCACUUCAAUGAGCAGGACCACUAGAAUUAUGAUAUUUGAUCACUUACCAAAAUUUAAAUAAACCAAAUGCCUGAAGAAUGCUAGCUAACAAUUGUGAAAUUUGCUUAGAUUCUCUUGAAUUUUCUCAUUCAAAGUACAAGUUUGACUUUGAGAAUUGACCAUGAAAUUAAUUAAACGUGUUAUUUUAGAAUAAAUUUAAAAUAUUUUUCACAUGUUUUUUAUAGACUAAUUCGAGAAAUAUUGAUAAAAUAUAUGUAGAACACUUUGAAAACUUUGACUCAUAAAUAAUUAUGUAGUACCUUUAAUUACCAAGAUUAGCUAAGAAAACUAUUUUCCAUCAAUAACUAUUAAAAAUUAUUUUCAUAAAUAUUAGUUAACAAACCCUUAUUAUUUGUUUUACUUGUUUUCGUGUUACUUAAGACAAUUAAUAGUGAACCCAUGAUUUUGCUACUAUUUCCCAAAACCUAGUUUGAUGUUGAUGUCUUUCAUACUAUAUUUAAUUGGUAGAUCAAUUGGGUGUACUUAGAUAUCAUUAACAUCAUUAUCUCGUUUAGCACACGCAGGAAGAGGUCUAGAUAAUCACCUCUUGUUCAUAGUCUGCUAGCCUAAGGUAUAUCCAACCAUCAGAAAGUUGGGUAAAAUGUUCGACUCAAUGCUAAACAUUGAAGAUGUUUCUAAAAGGAAAUUUCCUUCUAGUUGACACUGAUUGAUGUCUUAAGGACCAUUGUAUGGUGCUAACCAUGCCAUCAAGGAGAGAAUUGCAUGCAAGCCAGCUAAGCUUGAUACCACAGUAGGUCCAAAAUGGCAGGUAGCUAAAACAGCUUUUCUAGCUAGCAGCUGGUUAGGUGGCCAUUACCAAAAAGUUGGGCACAUAUAAGAUGCCUUCAUCGUAGCCAUGUUCUGUUUUGUAAAUUGGUAAGCGUUACACCUUGUCUUGGUCGGCAGUGUAGAUGAAAAGCGAUUCUAUAUAUGUUAAUUUGGGACCCAUUAUAAAUCCAAUUCAUAACAUUAUUGAUCCAUAUUACGUGUUGUGACCUCUAGGGAUGGCAAUGGGGCGGGUCUUUUCGGGUACCCGCCCCACCUCGCCCCUGAUGGGACGGGGUUUAAUUUUAAUAAACGGGCUAGGGACGGGUUUGAAAAUUUUUUUAAAAACUUGGGGCGGGUUCGAGUAUUGCCCCACCCCGUCCCGCUCCGAUUAUAUAUAAAUUUAAAUUAAAUUUAAAUUUUAAAAUUAAUUUAAUUUAAUUUUUAUUUUACUAUUUUUAAUAUAUAGAUAAUAAUAAAAUAUUUUUAAUAAAAUAAGUUAUAAAAAAUAUAAUAAUUUAAUUAUUUAUAAAAUAUAUUUAUUUUAAUAUAGUUAAAAAUUUUAAAAGUAAUUUUUUUUAAAAAGGAAAAAUUAAAAUUUUAAAAAAAAGUUAAACGGGCACCCGCCCCGCCCGCCCCACCCCGUCCAGUUUAAUUUUUUAAAUGGGACGGGGAUAGGAAUUGUUUCGAAUAAACGGGGCGGGGUUGGGAUGGGGGCGACCCAUCCCGAACCCGCCCGUUGCCAUCCUGAUGACCUCGCCGAAUUUCACCACCUCCGCAUACACGGUUGACUAUUUAUUUCCUCAAAACGAGCUGAAUGCGAACUAACUAUUGCGUGACCGUUACUCCUAUAAGAAGCGUCUAAGCAAGAACCAUUAUUUGUAUAGACUCAGGCUCACAAAGAUCAACUUCAACUUAUUUUUUGAGAUUCAAAUUCAACUUAAUCACAUGCAUGCAUGCAUCCAUAAUCAAUUAUUGAAUUAAGCAGUCAGAGGUUGAAAACUUUAACAAGUCAGGCAGUGUUUGGUUUUUUUGUUUUUUGUUUUUUGUUUUUUGUUUUUUUUGUUUUUUUGUUUUUUUUAAUCUUAAAUCUAAAUAAAUAUUAAUUUAAUUUAAAUCUAAAUAGUAUUUAAUAAGGUUAAGCAUAAAACUUUUUAAAAAUCAGUUAUUUAACUUAUCAUUUUUUAAAACAAAUUCAUUUUAAUGAAAAAAAAAAACAAAAAAAAUUAUAUCAUGUUGCAAUCAAUGGAAAUCCUUAGAUUUGCAUGGUUCCCAUCAUUCAGUUAAUAACUCAUUCCAUUGAGAACGGAUGUAACGUUUGCUUUAACUACAUGGGUUUCCGUUUUGUCUUUGUCUGUUGGUGGUGACGCUGGUGGGGUUAGCCACCGAUGUUGAUCUUUUCAUACGAAUCAUGUCCAUAUCAUCUUAACGCUUCUUACUAAUUGAUCACAAUUAAUUCCUCAAUUGUUGAAAGAAAAGGUUAGGUGAAAGGAUAAGAAGAUUGUCCAUUUUGAGAAGGAGGGUUAAGCACGGCACUUGGGAGCAGCCUGACAGGUGAAAAUAGAAUAAGAGUUUAGUUUAAACACGAUAAGAGACAUUCAGACAAUUUCAACCAUGAAAUCUCCACCACUGAGCCAUCGAGUUAUGAAGUGGAAAAGGACUGAUGACUUUGAAAAUCUCCAUCAUCAGACCACCUUGUUUGCUCGCUUACUUUUUGAAACUAGACCAGUUUUACAAUUGAAGCUGAAAGCAUACACAUUUUGCAUGGAAAUUAUAAUGUUAAAAGGACAAAUUUUUCAAUGAAAAAUAAUGUUAUGAUGCGAGUAAUCAAUUGCUCUUUUGGUGUCUUGAGGUUACUUAUUUGUUUUUGGCACUAGUCUAGAUUGGGUGGUUUGUCGUCUGAAUGCUGAAUGUAGAAUUUUUCAAACAUUCUCAUUGUUUUGUGGUGUAUAAGAUAAUUGGACCUAAAUAAGAAAAAUUCAAAAUGAAAUAUAAAUCCUCUUUGUCUAGCUUUGUUUUUGGCUCAUUCACAGUUGUUUCCCAUUUUUUUGAAACUUGAGAAUUGAGAUUAUGAAAGACAAGAUGAUUGGCUAAUUUGGUAUUUCAUAAGUUUCAAUACAAAACACAAAAACAUAUUUUGUAAAAUGUUGAAAAUAGAAUACAAAUAUUGGUAAAUAAGGAUAUAUGGGUACUUAGAUUUUAUGGAUAUAUCAUAAAUAUAAAAAAAAUAUUGAUGAAUAUUUUGACAAAAAUAUACGUGAGGCUAAAAUUAUUCAAAAUUUAUGGAAAUAUUUGAAAAUUUUUCAAAAUAAUAAAUAGGUAAAAUACAUAUUUUAAUGUUAUUUUAUAAGUGUAAUUGACAUAGGUAUAAUUAAGAAGAAAGAUAUCCGUAAGCAAAGAUAUAUCAGUCUUAAUAUAUAAUUUAUUAAAUAUUAUAACUUCAUUAUUAUUAUUUUUAUAUUUUAGUAGUUUUUUUAAUAAAUUUAUAAUUUUAAUAUUUUAAAAUAAAGAAGUUCAAUAUUAAAAGGAUAAAAAUAAAAAUUUUAAAAUGAAAUGAUAGUAAUUUUUCAAAAUAGGAUUAAUGAGAUAAAUGAUGAUAUAUUUAAUAUUAUAACUAUAAUUUAUUUAAUUCAAAUGCAUUCAAUAAUGUAAAAUAAAUGAUGAUGCAUAUAUGAUUUUUUUAAUAUUUAUAUGUUUUAUAUUUAAUUAUCAUAUAAAUUAUAUAAAACAAGACUUAUUAAGAAAACUGUAACGUUGGUUUUUAUAUUUUUAUUAAUCAAUUAAAUUAAAUUUAAAAUAAAAUAAUUAGAAUUAUUAUUAUUUUUUUAAUAAUGAACUUUAAGACAUUUAAAUUGAAUAUAUAUUUACAAAAGAGGUGUUGGCCUAGUGGUAGCUAGGUUUUAACUUCAACCCUUUUGGUCGGCUGGACUAUGAGUGGGGCUGUAAAUAUCGUGAGUUUUAAACCAUGAUUGGGACUCAUAGUAUGUUUUUUCUCAACAAAAAGCAGUUUAAAAAUAAUAAUAAUAAAAAAAUAAAUAAUUACAAAUUUUUAAAAAUAAUAAUUUUCAAAACAAAUACACUCUAUAGUUUAUUUGUUGGUAUGUUAUGUAUAUGUUGGUUAGAAUGGUUUUAACCAUCUACAAAAACUAAUAUCUAAAAAAAGAGAAAAAGAAAACCAAAAGUAAAGUAAGAAAUAAUUCAAAUUUCCUUGUUUGGUUUAUUGUACCAUAUGAAAAAAAUAAAAAAAAUAAAAAUUAUUACAUAAAUAAAUUAUGUAAAGAUUUACAUAUUUUAAAAUUAUUUAUAAAUAGAAAAAAUGACAAAUAAAUUUUAGGGUGAAUCAUGUUUGUAUUAUGUAUAAAAUACUAAAAAAGAAAGCGACUUUUAUAAGGAGUGCAUUUCAAGGAAAAUAAUUUCCAUUUCAUGCAUAAAAAUAAUCAUGCAUAAAAAUAAUAAAUUUAUGCAUGUUUCCAAGAAUAUCCUCCAACCAAUUGAAAGUGGACUCCCCCAAAAAAAAAUUUUCUCUCCUUUUUUUUUUUUUUUUCAAAAAACAUCUUUCUCACUUGAAUGGCCCAAUUUCUUGGCCACCUACCUUUUUUCUUUUUUUCCAUACCCACUCCCAGCCGCCCCCUUCCCAUCUUCUCACCGAAUUAAAUUAAGUUUUUUUAUUACAAUUAAAUGAAUUAAGUUUUUUUCUUUUUUGAUACUUUGACUUUAAUUAAUUUUAUAAAAUAAUUCUCCUUUUUUUUUUUUCCUAUUUUUGAAAAUCUACUUAAUUAAAAUAGCAAACUUUAUUUUUUAAAAGUACAAUUCAUUUAUUCAUUAUUAUUAUUAUUUUUAUUUUAACAUCAUUUGUAAUUAAUGCAUUAAAAUAAAUUAGUUUUAAAUAUAAAAAUAUACUCACCUAUAAUAAUUAAUAAUCUAAUAAAUAAAUAAAUACUAAUAUUUUAAAUAAUAUUAAUUUCAAAAAUAUAUAUAGAUAUAUAUAUAUAUAUAUAUAUAUAAUAUUUUAUUUUGUUUGGUUUUCAUAAUAUUUAUAAUUUUCAUAUUAUAGGUCUUUUUUUAUAUUUUUUAUUUUAAAAUUUAUUAUAGAAUAUUAGACCUAAAUUUUUAAAAAAUAACAAUAAAAAAUCACUAUCCACAUAUGUUGAAACCAAAUUUUUUGUUUUCUUCAAAAUUAAAACAGAAAAAUAAUAUAAAAAAAUAUUAACUUACUUUUAAUUUCAUUCAAUAAAAAAUUAGUGAUGAUCAUUCUAUAAGAGUAUUUAAUUUUAAAAGAAAUAUUUGAAGGUAGAUAAAAUUAAAAUUUAAAAUUGUUGGCAUUAAAUUUUUGAAUAUAAAUUCACAAUUCCCAUCAUAAUACAUUGAUAUUUAGAGAGAAAAAAAAAACCAACGUCUUAAAAAGUAUUUUUUUUAAAAAAAUAAAAAAUUUAAACCAUUAAAAUUGUUUUAUUUCAAUAAAUAAUGUCUUUAAAAAGUAUAUUUUAUGCAUUUGUUUGGCAUAUUAUUUAAUAAUUAUUGUCAAAGUCAUAACAAUGACAAAAUAAAACUAAAUAAGCUAGUACAUCGUGCUAUCUACAAUGAUACUUUUAGUUACUAACAUUGUUAUCUUUAGGUAAAAACAAUAUUACUAUUAGGUAAAAACAAUGUUAUUGUUUUCAAUGACAUAUUUGAUGUAAAGGUUGAAAUGGCGAUAGAUAAUAAAUAGUCUAGUACAUCCUUCUAUCUAUAGUGUUACUUUUAGUUACUAGCAUUGUUAUUUUUAGGUAAAAACAAUGUUACUAUAUUCAAUGACAUGUUUGAUGUAGAGGUUGAAGUGAUGAUGGGUAAUGUGACAACUACGUAUGUGGGCCCAAUUAAGUGUACUUGUUAUCUUGCCUUGUAUAGGUGGCAACCCGCCUUCACUUGAUUGGAUGAUAGACUUGAAAAUAUACACAAAGUUACUAUUUUAGUGCAUGAAAUGAGAGUUAUUUUUCCCUAAAAUAUACUUUCCAUGAAAGUGACUUUUUUGGGUUUUGAAUUCAUCCAUAUUUUAUACAAUGUACAUGUUUACAUAAUUCCCCCUAAAUUUUAAGACGUGUAAAAUUUGAUCAAGUUAAUUUAAACUUUUUUUAAUUUUCACUUUCUUCUCAUAUUUUUUCUCACAUUUCCUUUUAAACUUUUGGAAUAAAUUCCCUACUAUUUGUGGAGCAUAAUAUAAUUUUUUCUCCAUAUGAUACAUAUUUAUACAAUAUUUGGUUAAAUUGUUUUGAAUGUUUAUUGUUACCUUAACAAGAAACCAUUCUUGAAAAUAAAGAUUAUUUUUGCCUUAUUUUAACAAAUAUUAUAUUUCUAUUUUUUAAAUAUGAAAAUUAAUAUUUUGAUUUCAAAACAAUCAACCAUUUUCAAAAAAUAUUUAAGAAAAUAGUUUUUCAAUAUAUUAAUUGUGGCACUCUUGAAGAUCAAAGGCACCAUUAUUAUUUCAAUUGUCAAACCCAAAAGUCCAAUAGAAACAUAUUAAAGGAAAAUAUAAUAUAUUAGCAGAUUGGUUAAGUAGACAAAUAAUUAAUAAUGCUGAUAAUGCUAAUGAUUGAUUUUAUGUUACAGGAACAUGGCUCAAAGAAAACCCACUAAAACUAGAACCUUUCAAUUUGGAACCAUAUGUCUGAAUGAAGUGUUGAAUCCAAAUUUGAGGUUUAACUCUUUAUUUUCUCAAAACCCUUUUGAAGAACAUAAGGUUAUUGUAGAUAACUUUUGGUCUCCAAAACCACAAAGUUUUCCAAACCAAAAUUUAGAAUAUGCUUAUGGAAAAAUCGUGUCAACUUUAGCUCAACAUUUACAAAACCUUCAAAACCAACUGAUUGCUUUAGAAACCCAAAAAUUUCAAAACCGUAAAAUCCAAGAAAAUCAGGAAAAAUUGAUAAAUGAUUUGAAAACCAGUACGGUGUCAACUAAUCAAACUAGUUGUUCGAAUAGUCAACCUGAAAUGCUUAGUUUAAUUAAGAAAUCAACUCUUUUGUCUGAAUAAUAUGAAAAACUUGUUAAAAACUUAAUUAGAUCUGAUAACUACUCUUUAGUCGAAACCUUUUUUCUGCAAACCAAAUAUAACAAAGUGUUUAAAAAUUAAGAACUUUUGUAUUAACAUUUUAAAACCAAAAAUGUCGAGAUAAAAAUAGGACCCUCAAUUUUUCUUUGUGAUAUAUUUAGCCUAUGUGAAUAUGUCUAUUGUCAAUAAAGAAAAUUUUGAUUUAGUACCCUAGUUCAUGGAUCUGAGAAUUUUAAAAAAUGUUUUUAUGAACCAUGUAUCUCAAAUCCCUGAAAAUUUCCCAAAAAAAUUAAAAGAUAUUUUAACCCAUUUUUUCAAAACCGAAAAACAAAUAGACAUUUCUUUUGAAACCAUUCCACCUUUAUUUCAAACAGAUGGAUCAGUAGUGCCAGCCUAUCACCAUGUAUAUAUAAAACAAAAUAAAAAAUCACUGAUUCCUCAACAAAAACCAGAAUGGGAAAUGACCCGUCCAAAUGAAUUUCCAAAAUUUUUUACUUGUUUUAGAGCCUUUCAGAUUUAUGAUCUUAGACCAACCCAGAACAAAUUAUUUCAUCUCAUUGGUGAAAAAAAAACCAUGUUCAUACGGAGAAACAAACCUUUAGAACACAUUAUUGUUCUCAAACCUUUUAUUACUUUUGAAGAACAUGAUUUUAUAACCGAACUUAGUGAAAAAAAAAUACCAAAACCAUCUUCCUACCUCAGUGAUGACACAUUAUUUUGGGGAAACCUGGACGAUGAAAGUUAUUAUAAUAUGCAAAAUGCAAUGGAAGGAUGAUGUCAACAAUGAUGAUAUUGAAGUAGUAAAUGCGUCUCCAACUAUAAGAAUUUAAUGUAGCAGUAGAAGCUCAAAACCAAUAAAGAAACCCAAAAAUUUCAAAACCGUAAAAUCCAAGAAAAUCAGGAAAAACUGAUAAAUGAUUUGAAAACCAGUACGAUGUCAGCUAAUCAAACUAGUUGUUCGAAUAGUCAACCUGAAAUGCUUAGUUUAAGUAAGAAAUCAACUCUUCUGUCUGAAUAAUAUGAAAAACUUGUUAAAAACUUAAUUAGAGCUGAUAACUACUCUUUAGUCGAAACCUUUUUUUUGCAAACCCAAUAUAACAAAGUAUUUAAAAAUCAAGAACUUUGUAUAAAUAUUUUAAAACAAAAAAUGUUGAGAUAAAAAUAGGGUAUAUGCCAUAUCAUGACCUUGAAUUUUUCUUUAUGAUAUAUUUGACCUAUGUGAAUAUGUCUAUUGUAAAUAAAGGAAAUUUUGAUUUAAUACCCCAAUUCAUGGAUCAGGGAAUUUAAAAAAAAAAUUGUUUUAUGGACCAUGUAUCUCAAAUCCUUGAAAAUUUCCCAGAAAAAUUAAAAGAUAUUUUAACCUAUCUUUUCAAAACUGAAAAACAGAUAGACAUUUCUUUUGAAACCAUUCCACUUUUAUUUCAAAUCAAUGGAUCAGUAGUGCGAGCCUAUCACCAUGUAUAUAUAAAACAUAAUAAAUAACCACUGAUCCUCAACAAAAACCAGAAUGGGAAAUGACUCUUCCAAAUGAAUUUCAAGAAUUUUUUACUCGUUUUAGAAUCCUUCAGAUUUAUGAUCUUAGACCAACCCAGAACAAAUUAUUUCAUCUCAUUGGUGAAAAAAAAACCAUGUUCAUACGGAGAAACAAACCUUUAGAACACAUUAUUGUUCUCAAACCUUUUAUUACUUUUGAAGAACAUGAUUUUAUAACCGAACUUAGUGAAAAAAAAAUACCAAAACCAUCUUCCUACCUCAGUGAUGACACAUUAUUUUGGGGAAACCUGGACGAUGAAAGUUAUUAUAAUAUGCAAAAUGCAAUGGAAGGAUGAUGUCAACAAUGAUGAUAUUGAAGUAGUAAAUGCGUCUCCAACUAUAAGAAUUUAAUGUAGCAGUAGAAGCUCAAAACCAAUAAAGAAACCCAAAAAUUUCAAAACCGUAAAAUCCAAGAAAAUCAGGAAAAACUGAUAAAUGAUUUGAAAACCAGUACGAUGUCAGCUAAUUAAACUAGUUGUUCGAAUAGUCAACCUGAAAUGCUUAGUUUAAGUAAGAAAUCAACUCUUCUGUCUGAAUAAUAUGAAAAACUUGUUAAAAACUUAAUUAGAGCUGAUAACUACUCUUUAGUCGAAACCUUUUUUUUGCAAACCCAAUAUAACAAAGUAUUUAAAAAUCAAGAACUUUGUAUAAAUAUUUUAAAACAAAAAAUGUUGAGAUAAAAAUAGGGUAUAUGCCAUAUCAUGACCUUGAAUUUUUCUUUAUGAUAUAUUUGACCUAUGUGAACAUGUCUAUUGUAAAUAAAGGAAAUUUUGAUUUAAUACCCCAAUUCAUGGAUCAGGGAAUUUAAAAAAAAAAUUGUUUUAUGGACCAUGAAUCUCAAAUCCUUGAAAAUUUCCCAAAAAAAUUAAAAGAUAUUUUAACCUAUCUUUUCAAAACUGAAAAACAGAUAGACAUUUCUUUUGAAACCAUUCCACUUUUAUUUCAAAUCAAUGGAUCAGUAGUGCGAGCCUAUCACCAUGUAUAUAUAAAACAUAAUAAAUAACCACUGAUCCUCAACAAAAACCAGAAUGGGAAAUGACUCUUCCAAAUGAAUUUCAAGAAUUUUUUACUCGUUUUAGAAUCCUUCAGAUUUAUGAUCUUAGACCAACCCAGAACAAAUUAUUUCAUCUCAUUGGUGAAAAAAAAACCAUGUUCAUACGGAGAAACAAACCUUUAGAACACAUUAUUGUUCUCAAACCUUUUAUUACUUUUGAAGAACAUGAUUUUAUAACCGAACUUAGUGAAAAAAAAAAUACCAAAACCAUCUUCCUACCUCAGUGAUGACACAUUAUUUUGGGGAAACCUGGACGAUGAAAGUUAUUAUAAUAUGCAAAAUGCAAUGGAAGGAUGAUGUCAACAAUGAUGAUAUUGAAGUAGUAAAUGCGUCUCCAACUAUAAGAAUUUAAUGUAGCAGUAGAAGCUCAAAACAAAUAAAGAAACCCAAAAAUUUCAAAAUCGUAAAAUCCAAGAAAAUCAGGAAAAACUGAUAAAUGAUUUGAAAACCAGUACGAUGUCAGCUAAUCAAACUAGUUGUUCGAAUAGUCAACCUGAAAUGCUUAGUUUAAGUAAGAAAUCAACUCUUCUGUCUGAAUAAUAUGAAAAACUUGUUAAAAACUUAAUUAGAGCUGAUAACUACUCUUUAGUCGAAACCUUUUUUUUGCAAACCCAAUAUAACAAAGUAUUUAAAAAUCAAGAACUUUGUAUAAAUAUUUUAAAACAAAAAAUGUUGAGAUAAAAAUAGGGUAUAUGCCAUAUCAUGACCUUGAAUUUUUCUUUAUGAUAUAUUUGACCUAUGUGAACAUGUCUAUUGUAAAUAAAGGAAAUUUUGAUUUAAUACCCCAAUUCAUGGAUCAGGGAAUUUAAAAAAAAAAUUGUUUUAUGGACCAUGUAUCUCAAAUCCUUGAAAAUUUCCCAAAAAAAUUAAAAGAUAUUUUAACCUAUCUUUUCAAAACUGAAAAACAGAUAGACAUUUCUUUUGAAACCAUUCCACUUUUAUUUCAAAUCAAUGGAUCAGUAGUGCGAGCCUAUCACCAUGUAUAUAUAAAACAUAAUAAAUAACCACUGAUCCUCAACAAAAACCAGAAUGGGAAAUGACUCUUCCAAAUGAAUUUCAAGAAUUUUUUACUCGUUUUAGAAUCCUUCAGAUUUAUGAUCUUAGACCAACCCACAACAAAUUAUUUCAUCUCAUUGGUGAAACAAAAACCAUGUCCAUAUGGAGAAAUAAACCUUUAGAACACAUCAUGGUUCCAAAUCCUUUUAUUAUUUCUGAAGAACAAGAUUUUAUAACCGAACUUAGUGUGAAAAUACCAGAAUCAUCUUCCGACCACAACGAUGACGCAUUAUUUUGGGAAAACCUAGACGAUGAAAGUUAUUAUAAUAUGGAAAAUGCAAUGGAAGGAUGAUGUUUUCCAUGAUGACAUUGAAGUAGUAAAUGCGUCUCUAACUACAAGAAUUUAAUGUAGUAGUAGAAGCUCAAAACCAAUAAAGUCAUGUAUAAGCCACGUAUUCUGCUUGUGAUAGAAAAAAAAGAAAGAGACAAGGAAGAAGUGACCAGAUGGAUUGUAAAAGAAGAAACAGAAGUCAAAUCUCAUACCACCUAUCAACUGCCCUAACAACUUGAAUUAAAUUUCACUUGUCAUUUGUAAAUCUUCUGUCUAUAAAUAAGUCAUAUAGGAAGAAAGAAGUGUGUGAAAAAAAUAAAAGUAAGAGUGAAGUAAGUGUGAACAAUCAGAGUUGUGUCUUUAGCCUUAUAAAUUUCUAUGAUCAUCAAUAAGAAAGUAAGAUAUUUCUGUUAAAUUUCUAUUCUUAUUUUAUUUCUAUUUUAUUUUAUUUUGUGUCUUUUUUUCUUACCCUUAGGGGGUAAAAGGGGUAAAAAGAUAAAGUAGGGAAAUGAAAAUUAUUUGAAAGUUUAGUUUUAUUUUACUAGUUAAUAUCUAUAAUAUACAUAGAUCAUUUAUAUAUAAUGUUUCCAUCAAUAAAAAAAAUGAUCGGGUUAUUUAGAAAGUUUUGGGUAUAAAAUCAGGUUUUAAAACUAGAGUCUUUAUUCUUAAUCCUUAACCUGUAACCCAUUUUUGCCAAAAAAAUUGGCAUGUUAGGGAGACUUUGUCUGGUUGAAAGGGGCGUAUCACCUUGACAUGAAGUGAUGUUUUAAAAUUUUGAGUUUAUUCUUUAAACUUUUGAAAUAGCCGAUCUUUAAACUUUUGAAAUAGCCGAUCUUCAAACACUUAACUUUAAUGUUAUAAAUGCUUUCACACUAUAAACUGAAAGUUUUAAUUUAAAUAUACAUUAUAAUAAUAUGUAAUAAAUGGUUUCACACUGUAUUUGAAAGUUUUUAUUUUAAAAUAAUAUAUUAUUGUAAUAUAUAUUUAAAUUAAAACUUUCAGUUUAUAGUGUGAAAACAUUUAUAACAUGAAAGUUAAGUUUUUGAAGAUCGACUAUUUCAAAAGUUUAACUUUCAUGUUAUGAAAUCUUUCACACUAUAAACUGAAAGUUUUAAUUUAAAUAUAUAUUAUAAUAAUAUGUAAUAAAUGGUUUUACAAUGUAUUUGAAAGUUUUUAUUUUAAAAUAAUAAGUAUAAUAAAUGCAUUCACACUGGUUUUGGUUUUAAAACUUUCAUUUUGAACGAAAAUUUCAAGGUUCCUACCAUUACCUUGACUGUGAAUAGAAAACUAUGGAUGUUGAUGGGAAAAGUUGCUCUUGUUUGAUAUGGUCGUUUUCUAUAAAAGGUUUUUGAUUUUCUUCUUAAAAAUUAAUUAUAGUUCUUGGGUUUUCUAUUUUGAUUUUCUUCUUAAAAAUUAAUUAUAGUUCUUGGGUUUUCUAAACUUAUACUCUCUACAUCCUAUGUCUAAAUUUUCUCCUAUAUGUAAUUUUCUACGAAGUUGUUGAUUUAUAUCUUGUUUCUUUAUUUGGCUUCUUUCUCCUAUACUUACACAUUCUCUUUCUAACCAAUUUUUUACAAAUUCUAUUCUAGCACCUAUAUAAGGAGAGUUUUAUUAUUCGGAGGUUGAAAAUUUAUUCCAUAGUCUAAGUCCUACAUGUCCUUGUAUUUUUAAGAUAUAUUUAUUUAAAUAUUCAGGGGUUCUAAUAACUAUUGAUGUACUAAAAGUUAUUAUUUGUAAGAACAAAAUCAUAAAUUAUACCUUAAAAUAGUGACUAUUGUAGCUACUAACUUGUAAAGGAGUUUUUAUACUUGAAUUCAUUUUGUAAUAAUUUUUUUUUUAAAAUAUAGUUAUAAAAGUAAUUGAAAUAUAUCAUAAAUUACUAUAUAAUUUACCUUUAUAGUGUUUUAUUGUGUUUGAUAUUUUUGUUUAAAAUACAAGAGAAAGAUAAAGAAAAAAAGAAAAGAAUGUAGAAUUUUUAUUUUAUUGAUGUUGGUUCAAGUAUUACAUUUCAACAUUAUUCCAAUGUUUUCUCUUAAUUAUACUUUUAUUUUAGUCACGUUUCAAAUUUUUUACUUUGAUCCGUUAAUCUAGAAUUAAAUUUAUGCUAGCUAUGAAUAAACUAUAGGCCUCUAAUUUGUUGUCAUUCAACAUCAGGCUUGUUUAAGAGUGGCAAAAUUUGAUACGAUUCGUCAAUAAGACUUGAAUUUAACACGCUUUUCAUGGAUACUUUGUAAAGAUUUCUAAAUUACAAAUUCUUGUGACUAGGUUUGAAAAUAUUAGGACGCAUAAAAAUCAAAAUUUUUCUUCCUUUUAUUUUGAAUUAAGUGAUAUUGUAAAUUCUUCAUUUAAACUUAGAGAACUUAUUCCUAAUUCUAAGGUAGUUAGGAAAAUAUUAAGAUCUUUUCCAGAGAAAUUUAGACCUAAAGAAACUGCCAUAGGGGAAAGUAAGGACAUUGAUUCCAUGAGUUGAUGAACUUGUAGGCUCCAUUCAAAUUAAUUUGCUUUUAGAUUUCAGAUUGAUUGUCUUUUUUUUUUUUUCUAAAAAAAAAACUUAAAUUUUUUUUUUUAAUUGACUAAAAAAGUCAAAAUAUUUAAUUUUUUUUUAAUGAUAAAAGUAACAUAUUGAUUUUUCGUCUAAGUGGUACAACCUAGAUGGAUGGCAUUGGAGAUAUGUUUGAAGUGAGUUUGAAAUGUUGGGCUAUGUCUGUCUAGCCCAUGAACCCAUAUAUUUGACUAUUUUAUAUUUGGAUAUUCCCUAAGCCCAAAUAUGGAUAUAUAAAUAGCAUUAGGGCUUUGGUAUUAUGAGAGAAGGGCAUUUGAUUGAGAAAAGGAAAGAAGAUCAUGGUUUAUUUUCUAGGCACUAUUUUAGGGCUCAAGGGUGAAGUUAUAGAUUCCUUUCAUCAACCUUUUAGGGAAUUCCUAUGGUGUGUUUUCUUCUUAUUUCUUUUUGUUCAUGUUUCCUUGGGUGAUGGAUUCUCACCUCAAGUAUUUAGAUAUUUAUAUAAGUUCUCAAGGAGAAGAAACCUAAGGACUUAAUUAUUGUAUCCCCAUUUAUUGAAGUGGAAGAAAUUUUCUCCAUGGUUUUUUUACCUCCAUUUAAAGGGUUUUUCUAGGUUAUAUUUGGUGUCCUCUUUUUGGUUUAAUGUUCUUGAUUACCAUUCUUGAUUCUUGUUAGGUUGUUAUUAUUCUUGAGAAGGUGGCUAUUAUUGUUGAGUGAUUGUUAUUAUUGUGGAGGAAUCUUUUAAUAUUAAUAGGUUAAUACUCUAGAUCUCUCCCUUUAUCUUCCCAACAAGUGGUAUUAGAGCCUGGUUGUGGGAACUUUUAUUCUUUAAAGGGAUGAAAAUAGAAGGGAACUCAACCUCCAUGAUAAAACUUAACAAUUCAAAUUGGGUUAUAUGAAAGUCCAUAAUGGAAGAUUUUCUCACCAUCAAAGAUUUGUUGGAUACUCUUGAGGCUGAAGAAUCUAGGCCCGAAGAUAUUUCUUAUUUGGAAUGGAAUAAGAUAAAGAAAAAGAUAAUUGCCUCUAUUAGGCAAUGGAUCGACACAUCCUCACGUCAUCAUGUGGCAAAUGAAAUAAAUGCCUAUAAUCUCUGGAAGAAAUUGAAAUCAGUGUUUGAACAAAAAACUAUUGGGAAUAAAAUUUUCUUGUUAAAGAGUUAGUGAAUAUGAAGUUGAAGGAAGAAACACUAAUGAUAGAUCACUUGAAUGCUUUUCAGAGCAUUGUUAAUCAAUUGGAUGCUAUGAAAAUGGUUAUGGAUGAUGAGAUGCAAGCAUUUUUAUUAUUGUGUUCAUUACCAGACAAUUAGGAAACUUUUGUUGUGACUAUUAACAACUCUGUUUCGAAUGGUACAUUAUGUAUGGAGCUUGUGAAGGGAAAUUUGUUCAAUGAAAAAACAAGAAGAAAAGGCUUACGAGACAGAAAAUGCACAGACCCUCAUCAUAGAAAGUAAAGGAGGAAAUAGGAAUAGAUGAGAGAAAUGUUAUAUCAAAUUUGAGGGAAGGUCCCAAUCCAGAGAUAAAAUCAAAUGUUUCCUUUGUGGAAAAGAAGAGCAUAUGAAAAGAAAUUGUCGAAUUUGGAAAAGGGAACAUAAUAAGCAGAAUUAGGGAAAAGAAGAUGACAAGAAUACCAUAGCCUUUGUAUCAAACACUAAUGAAGUUUUAAUGCUCUCAGAUGAGUGUUUUCAUGUAGAUGAGUAAAGAGUUGAGUGGAUUAUAGACAUCGCAACCUCCUACGAUGCUAUUCCUCACUUGAAGUUGUUUUCUUGUUAUAGAGUUGGAGACUUUGGCACAGUCAAGAUGGGAAACUUUUGUCACUCCAAGAUUGUAGGGAUGGGUGAUGUUUUCUUUGAAACUAACAUAGGGUGCAAGUUGAAAUUGAAAUAUAUAAGGCAUGUUCUAGAUUUACACCUUAAUUUAAUAUCCGGUUUUGCCUUGGACAAGCAAGGUUAUGAAAACCACUUUGACAAAGGCAAAUGGAAGCUCACUAAGGGCUCAUUGGUUGUUGCAAAAGGAGAAUCAUGUUGCACUUUGUACAAAACCCAAGGAAAAGUUUGUAAUAAUGAGUUACAUGCUACAAAGGGUACUUCCUUGGAGUUGUGGCAUAAAAGGUUGGGGCAUAUGAGAGAGAAAAGAUUGCAAGUUUUGGCAAGGAAGUCCUUAAUUCCCUUGGCCAUAAAUGAAUCCUUGUCUUAUUGUGAUCAUUGUUUGGUUAGAAAACAACAUAGGGUUUCCUUUAGUAGCAGAUCUAAGAAGAAGCUAAAGAAAUCAGAGUUGGUAUACUCUGAUGUUUGUGGCCCCAUGGAUGUGGAAACUCUUGGAGGAAACAUUUACUUUGUCACUUUUAUUGAUGAUGCUACCAAGAAGGUAUGGAUUUAUUUUCUUAGAUAAAAAAAAUCAAGUCAUUCAGUAUUUUCUAUAGUUUCAUGUCAUGGUUGACAGAAAAACUAGAAGGAAAUUGAAGUGUCUCGGAUCAAUAAUGGAGGUGAGUACACCUCAAGGGAGUUUGAAACUUACAGCACUAAGAAUGGUAUUUGGCAUGAUAAAAUUGUUCAUAGCACUCCAUAACAUAAUGGUGUGGUUGAAAUGAUGAAUUGCACCAUCAUUGAGAGGAUUAAGUGUAUGCUAAAGACUACAAGGUUGUCUAAGGCAUUUUGGGGUGAAGCUACUCAGACUGCCUGGUAUUUGAUAAAUAGAUCUCCAUUAGGUCCAUUAAACUUUGAGGUUCCAGAGAAGGAAUGGACAGAAAAAUAUGUUUCUUAUUCCCACUUGAGGGUCUUUGGAUGUAAAUGUUUUGUGCAUGUUCCCAAAGAACAGAGAUCCAAACUUGAUGAUAAGGCAGUUCCACAUGUCUUUAUUGGGUAUGGUGAUGAAAAGUUUGGAUUCAGAUUGUGGGAUCUAACCAAGAAGAAAUUGGUGAGAAGUAAAGAUGUGGUCUUCCAAGAUGAUCAAACCUUGGGAGAUUUUAACAAAGCUAAUUAAUCUAAAGGUACAAGUGAUGACUUCAUUGAGUUGAUACCUAUUCUUCUAUCAUUAGAGUUAGAAUUUAUAGGAUUAGUUCAUCCAAAAAUAAAAUUGGGCCUUAGUGGGAGCCCAACAUCCAUGAUAUUUUCCUUCAUAAUAACCCAAGUGAAAUGCAUGUUAGGUAUUUAUUGAAUUUGAUCUGAUUCAUGAAGUGUGCGAGAUUAUUUGCUAUGGUACACUAACCUUUUUCCUUUGAGGCACUUUUCUUGUUGCAGAGGUAUGCUCUUAUCUCUACCUUGUCUAUUUAUUUAUUCCUCAUUAUCAUGCAUGAUUUGUUUUAGUCCAUGACUCUUGCUCCUUGGUAUCCAACAAUUAACUGGUCAAUUGUCAUACUUGCUUUAACUUGAUUAGUAGAAACCUGAUUUUAGGGCUUAGAGGAGUGCAAUGACUUAUCACCGUACCUUCUUGAUAGGUAACUUGACCCCUGUAUCCUAACUCGAUUUUCACAAACUUGUUUUUCCCUUAUAAGAGUCACAAUUAGGUUUUCUUUCUUAUUUUGUUUUCAUUUAUUAAAAAUAAUAAAAAAUAACUGGUGACUCCAAGCUUUUUCCUAAAAAUCAAAAUUUUCACAAAUAAAAAGCAAGUCAUGGUAUCGAGUGGAAAUGCAUGUGAAAAAUGUGAGUCCACAAGAUCUUAUACUGGGGCAUAUUUCCUGACUUUGAGCUUAUAUUCAUAUCAUAUUCAAUUGGGGCUUCAUUAGGGACAUGCUUCUAUUCUUGAGACUAUCAAACCUCUUGUCAUUUUGGUCAUCCUUUUGAGAUUUUAUUUGGAGUAUUUCCUUUCAGACAUGGACAAAUUUAAAUUUUGAGUUCUUAGUGCAUUAUCAUUAAGUUGGAGACAUCAUGAUAUAGUUUCUUUAGGAGCAUUUUUAUCCAAUCAAAUAAGUGAGGAUGUUUAUGCUUUCAGUGUAGUUGAUGAGUUUAGUUUCUUCUCAUAAACAAAUUUUCUUGAGCGAUAUGUUGAUAUCUCGUUAGGGAGUUUAGGUUGAUGUCAUCUUGUGGCAUUCCUUUUAUUUCAAUUUCAUUUGUUGCAUUCUUAUCUUUGAGUAUCCUUUUGGGCAUACCCUUUUCUUUUCAAUGAGUUGAUCGUUUAUAUUUUUAGUCACCCUUUAGUAGUUCAACUUGCAGUCACAAAUCAUGAUUUCCUUUAGGCAUUUAUAACCCACAACUCGAAGCUAUUCAUUUUAUUUCAAUUCAGAGUUUAUUAUAUUCCAAUUUUCAUUUACAUCAUUCCUUCAUUCUAGUUUCGUUUGUAGCAUUCCUUUCUGAUUACUACUCAAAACAUGCUAUUUUGUAGCUUGUAAUUAGCUCUUUUAAACACCAUUGAGUAGUAAUUAUUACCUUUUAACCCAAUUAGCAUGUUAGGAGCCCUUGCAAUCGUUUCUAACAAUUGUGUUAAGUUUUGGUGCUUUUUGAUAGCUUUAUGCUCACCAAAGCAAUUUAAGAAUGAGGGAGAGCUAUUUAUAGUUCAGGGCAAAGCUUUUGAAAGCUUAAAUUUAUGAAGAAAUCAAGCUAUGGAGCCUCAUAAUCCUUUGCCUUAGUGGUUCAAAGUAUACAAGGAAGAAACAAUGGAGAAGAGGAAAACAGGGGAUGAAAACAGGGGACACAGCUGCAGUCUUUCAUUGCACUUUUGGAGCACUUCCCGAAGUCCAUUUUUUACAUUCUAUAUACCAUUUCAAAGCUCAGAAAGUCAAGAAUCCAACGGUUCAAACCAUGUAUGAUUUGGAGCUGAAAUGAGAAAGAUAUGGCCUUCGGAAGACAACUGCAUCAGGCUGAGCGAAAAUUUCGCACGAUGGAAAUCAAGGUGCGAAAUCCUCAGUCCACUGUGCGAAAAUUUCGCACACCUCAAACCAAAGUGCGAAAUUGGAACUCAGCGUGCGAAAAUUGGAUAUUUUUGCCGACUCUUUUUCUUCUGAUAUUUUUGUGUCUAAAUUUCCAUUUUCUCCUUGUAUUCAACCACUCAUGUAAUUCCUUAACUAGGAAGUAUCCAAGGAAGGGUAAAAUUACCUUCCUAUAUAAAUUCUCUUGUAAUCACUGAAAAUGGAUCUUUUCGGGGAGCUUUCUCCAGGAGACCAACUUAUGUAACUUUGUUAUAUAGAGAUCUCUUUUGUUUAUCUUCUCUCUUCUAUUUUCUAUUUUCUUGCAAACCAAACACCCUCUGAGGAUGUUUUCCCAGAGGAUGAGAGGCUAAACCAAAAGUUUCUUGGAGUAAAGGAAGCUAGGUGAAAGUCCAGAUUAAAAGGUGGAAAAUUUCCGUGCAUUAAAUUCAGGUAGUUGGAGUCCAUAAAUGGUUUCUAAAUUCAAAGUUUUGCUUUAAAUCCCUUAGGAUCACUUUGACUGGCCAAUACAUGGUAAGCUUAAGGUCUCUGUGGAUGCUUAUUGCUAGAUCCAUAUCAGUCCAUUAGUUAUCAUGUACGAGCCAUUGGAAAGUGAUUCAAGGUGAUAGCCCAUAGUGUCUUAAGCCAUUAAUGGACCUUGACUACCAUCUCUAGUGACUUUUUAUGGAUUAAAACUUCAUUGUCAAACCUAUACCGGUUCGGGAAAUAACUAUAGGUUAAAUCCCCAAUGCGAGGAGAAAAAUCCGGAAUUUUCCACUUUGCAUCUGGUACUUGAACCUAGCAACCUUUAGCUCCGGGAGACUUUCUUUUUUCCACUUUUUACUUAGUUCUAUGUGAGUUUAGUUUAAAUCACCACUUUCAAAACAAUUUUAGUUUCUUUUAAAUUUCAAGUUUGUGCUAAAGGAAAUCAUCAGAAUCAAUUUCUAAUUUAGAGUCUGUCACUGAUAGAGUGAAAACCCAUCCCUGAGUUCGACCCUAGAACUGCUAUACUAUAGUAGCUUUGCUACGCCAGUAUAAGGUCAUAGGUUUUAUAAAUAUUUUUUAUUAAAAGACCUGACUGGGAAUACAAGCGAAUCAAAUGGCGCCGUUGCCGGGGAUGGUGCCACAAUACAGUGAUACAACCUUUUAGAGGCUACUUGUGAUUUCCAUCACAAGUUUGGUGAAUUCCUUUUUCACUAAUUUCAUUUUCUUUCAUUUUCUUUUUGUUAAUUUUAAUUUCAUUUUCUUUCUAACCUUAAUAAUUUUUUUUUUCUCUAGAUUCCUUUUGUUUUUGUUGUUUUUGUCUUAUUUUAGGUAAGUAGUAACUUGUGCAUGCCCUAUUGGAUUAGGGACCAAGAGGGAAGAUUAGUAAGGAUUGAGAAUCCUCAAGACACAGAGUUGGAUAUCUGUGUAAAUAUCAUGGACCCUCCACCAGAGGAUCAGAAUUCUCAACAAGGUCAAGGGGGUAAUCCCAAUGCAUACCUAUCCAUGAGGGAUAGAAUGCAUCCCCCAAGGAUGAGUGCACCCUCAUGCAUCCUGCCCCCUCUUGAGCAGUUAGUUAUAAGACCCCAUAUUGUGCCCCUCCUACCAAAUUUCCAUGGAAUGGAGAGUGAGAAUCCAUAUGCUCACAUCAAGGAGUUUGAGGAGGUUUGCAAUACCUUUAGAGAGGGAGGAGCUUCAAUAGACUUGAUGAGACUCAAGCUAUUCCCUUUUACUUUGAAGGAUAAGGCAAAAAUAUGGCUUAAUUCUUUAAGGCCAAGGAGCAUAAGGAAUUGGGUUGAUCUUCAAGCUGAAUUUUUGAAGAAAUAUUUCCCCACCCAUAGGACUAAUGGGUUGAAGAGACAAAUCUCAAACUUUUCUGCAAAAGAAAAUGAGAAGUUCCAUGAGUGUUGGGAAAGGUAUAUGGAAUCCAUCAAUGCUUGUCCUCAUCAUGGUUUUGAUACAUGGCUCUUAGUGAGCUAUUUUUAUGAUGGAAUGUCUUCUUCCAUGAAGCAAAUUCUUGAGACCAUGUGUGGGGGAGAUUUUAUGAGUAAGAAUCCUGAUGAAGCCAUGGACUUUUUAAGUUAUGUGGCUGAGGUGUCAAGAGGAUGGGAUGAGCCCAACUCAAGAGAGAAAGGAAAGUUUCCCUCUCAACAAACCCAAAAUCCAAAGGCUGGAAUGUACAUGUUGAGUGAAGACGUGGACAUGAAAGCUAAAGUGGCAACAUUAGCUAGGAGGUUGGAAGAACUUGAGUUGAAAAAGAUGCAUGAAGUCCAAGCUAUUUCCGAGACUCAAGCCCGUGCCAUGCCAUGCACCAUUUGCCAAUCAUGUGAUCAUGUGGUAGAUGAGUGUCCAACCAUGCCAGCUGUGAGAGAGAUGUUAGGUGAUCAAGUGAAUGUUGUGGGGCAAUUUAGGCCCAACAACAGUGCAUCCUAUGGUAACACCUAUAAUUCAAGCUGGAGAAACCACCCAAAUUUCUCUUGGAAACCAAGACCACCUCCAUACCAACCACAAGGCCAAACACAAGCACCUCAACAACCAUCUUCAGUGGAGCAAGCCAUUGCAAACCUAAGUAAAGUCAUGAAUGACUUUGUGGGUGAACAAAGGGCAAUCAACUCCCAAUUGCACCAAAAGAUUGAGAAUGUUGAGAGUUCUCUAAAUAAGAGAAUGGAUGGGAUGCAAAAUGAUCUAUAUCAUAAGAUAGAUAAUAUUCAGUACUCCAUCUCUAGACUUACCAACCUCAACACAGUGAAUGAGAAAGGAAAAUUCCCCUCUCAACCAAGCCAAAAUCCUAAGGGUGUUCAUGAAGUUGAAACCCAAGAGGGGGAUUCUUCAAAGUUGAGGGAGGUCAAAGCUGUGAUAACCUUGAGGAGUGGAAAAGAGGUUGAUCAGCCCUUGCCUAACUUGGGGCCUGAUGAAGAACUCAGAUCAAAGGGACCCUUGAUUAAAGAGGGCAAAAACCAAGAAGAGCAGAGUGGGAAGAAAAGUGCAUCCAAAUCAAGCAUUGAAGAAGAACCAAGGAUAGUGAUUAAGGAGGAUAUGAUGAAGAAACAUAUGUCUCCCCCUUUUCCUCAAGCUUUACAUGGAAAGAAAGAAAUCAAGAAUUCAUCAGAAAUUCUUGAAGUGCUGAGGCAAGUGAAGGUGAAUAUGCCUUUACUUGAUAUGAUCAAGCAAGUCCCCACAUAUGCAAAGUUUCUAAAGGACUUGUGCACAGUCAAGAGAGGUUUACAGGUGACAAAGAAUGCAUUCCUCACUGAGCAAGUGAGUGCUAUCAUUCAGAGUAAGUCCCCAGUUAAGUAUAAAGAUCCGGGAUGUCCCACCAUAUCAGUCAACAUUGGAGGGACACAUGUGGAAAAAGCUUUACUAGACUUGGGAGCAAGUGUGAAUUUGCUCUCAUACUCUGUGUAUAAGCAACUGGGACUAGGAGGAUUAAAGCCCACAACCAUGACCCUCUCUUUAGCUGAUAGGUCUGUCAAAAUCCCAAGGGGAGUGAUAGAGGAUGUUCUAGUUCAAGUGGACAAAUUCUACUAUCCUGUGGAUUUUGUGGUGCUUGAUACUGAUUCCUCUGUCAAGGAAGAAAAUUAUGUACCAAUCAUCCUAGGGAGACCUUUCCUUGCUACCUCCAAUGCUAUUGUUAAUUGUAGGACUGGGGUGAUGCAGCUCACAUUUGGAAAUAUGACAUUGGAAUUAAACAUAUUCCACUUAUGUAAGAGGCAUCUUUACCCUGAAGAGGAGGAAGGAUUUGAGGAGGUGUGCUUGAUCAACACUUUGGUUGAAGAGCACUGUGACAAGAGUUUAGAGGAGAGCUUGAAUGAAAACCUGGAAGUCCUUGAAGAUGGGUUCCCUGAACCCUCUGAUGUGCUAGCCAUUAUGUCUCCUUGGAGGAGACGGGAAGAGAUCUUACCACUGUUCAACCAGGAAGACUCACAAGGAGUUGCUGUGGAGAACCCUCCAAAGCUUAUUUUAAAACCACUUCCUCUGGAGUUGAAAUAUGCAUACUUGGAGGAUGAUGAGAAAUGUCCAGUGGUAGUUUCCUCAACCCUCACUAGUGAUCAAGAGGAUAGUCUUUUAGGAGUCCUCAGAAAAUGUAAGAAAGCCAUUGGAUGGCAAAUUUCUGAUCUGAAAGGGAUUAGCCCUUUGGUGUGCACCCAUCAUAUUUAUAUGGAGGAUGAUGCAAAACCAGUGAGGCAACCCCAAAGGAGACUGAAUCCUCACAUGCAAGAGGUGGUGAGGAGUGAUGUUUUGAAGCUACUUCAAGCUGGGAUCAUAUAUCCCAUUUCAGACAGCUUGUGGGUGAGUCCCACCCAAGUAGUCCCAAAGAAAUCUGGAAUCACUGUGAUCCAGAAUGAGAGAGGGGAGGAAGUCUCUACACGUCCUACCUCAGGAUGGAGGGUGUGUAUAGACUAUAGAAGGUUGAAUUCAAUGACUAGGAAGGACCAUUUUCCAUUGCCUUUCAUGGACCAAGUCCUUGAGAGAGUCUUAGGACAUCCUUUCUAUUGUUUUCUAGAUGGUUAUUCAGGGUACUUCCAAAUAGAAAUUGAUUUGGAAGAUCAAGAAAAGACAACCUUCACUUGUCCCUUUGGUACUUUUGCUUAUAGGAGAAUGCCCUUUGGUCUAUGUAAUGCUCCUGCAACUUUCCAAAGAUGCAUGCUAAGCAUCUUCAGUGACAUGGUCGAACGCAUCAUGGAAGUUUUCAUGGAUGACAUCACUGUAUAUGGAAGUUCUUAUGAGGAGUGUUUGAUGCAUUUAGAAGCUGUUCUCCAUAGAUGUAUUGAGAAAGACCUAGUGCUAAAUUGGGAGAAGUGCCAUUUUAUGGUACAAAAAGGAAUUGUCUUAGGACAUAUCAUCUCCAAAAAUGGCAUUGAGGUAGAUAAGGCAAAGGUGGAACUUAUUGUUAAGUUGCCACCUCCCACAAAUGUUAAAGGAAUUAGGCAAUUCCUUGGACAUGCAGGAUUCUNNNNNNNNNNNNNNNNNNNNNNNNNNNNNNNNNNNNNNNNNNNNNNNNNNNNNNNNNNNNNNNNNNNNNNNNNNNNNNNNNNNNNNNNNNNNNNNNNNNNNNNNNNNNNNNNNNNNNNNNNNNNNNNNNNNNNNNNNNNNNNNNNNNNNNNNNNNNNNNNNNNNNNNNNNNNNNNNNNNNNNNNNNNNNNNNNNNNNNNNNNNNNNNNNNNNNNNNNNNNNNNNNNNNNNNNNNNNNNNNNNNNNNNNNNNNNNNNNNNNNNNNNNNNNNNNNNNNNNNNNNNNNNNNNNNNNNNNNNNNNNNNNNNNNNNNNNNNNNNNNNNNNNNNNNNNNNNNNNNNNNNNNNNNNNNNNNNNNNNNNNNNNNNNNNNNNNNNNNNNNNNNNNNNNNNNNNNNNNNNNNNNNNNNNNNNNNNNNNNNNNNNNNNNNNNNUUUGGUAGGGUCCUCUAUAGUAGUGUUCACUGACCAUCUGCUUUGAAGUACUUGCUAACCAAGCAGGAUGCCAAGGCAAGAUUGAUAAGAUGGAUUCUUUUGCUCCAAGAAUUCAAUCUCCAAAUCAGGGAUAAAAAGGGGGUAGAAAAUGUGGUAGCUGACCACUUGUCCAGACUAGUGAUAGCACAUGACUCACAUGGUCUACCUAUCAAUGAUGACUUCCCUGAGGAGUCUCUCAUGUCAGUAGAUUUAGCUCCAUGGUAUUCUCACAUUGCAAACUUUUUGGUUACUGGAGAGUACCAAGUGAGUGGAGUGCUCAAGACAAGAGGCAUUUCUUGGCUAAGAUCCAUGCUUAUUAUUGGGAGGAACCUUUUCUUUUCAAAUAUUGUGCAGAUCAAAUUAUAAGGAAAUGUGUUCCUGAGCAAGAGCAAUCGGGAAUUCUUUCCCAUUGCCAUGAUAAUGCAUGUGGAGGUCAUUUUGCCUCCCAGAAAACAGCUAUGAAAGUGAUCCAAUCAGGCUUCUCGUGGCCCUCUCUUUUCAAGGAUGCCCAUUCUAUGUGUAAGGCAUGUGAUCAGUGUCAAAGGCUUGGUAAGCUAACACGCCGAAAUAUGAUGCCCUUGAACCCCAUCUUAAUAGUGGAUAUCUUUGAUGUCUGGGGUAUAGACUUUAUGGGACCAUUUCCAAUGUCAUUUGGACAUUCCUACAUCUUGGUAGGAGUAGAUUAUGUCUCUAAGUGGGUAGAGGCAAUCCCAUGUAGGAGCAAUGAUCAUAAGGUGGUACUUAAAUUCCUCAAGGACAACAUCUUUGCAAGAUUUGGAGUGCCAAAGGCCAUUAUAAUGACGGGGGAACCCACUUUUGCAAUAAACCUUUUGAGACUCUUCUAGCCAAGUAUGGGGUUAAGCAUAAGGUAGCUACACCUUAUCACCCUCAAACAAGUGGCCAAGUUGAGUUGGCCAACCGUGAGAUCAAGAAUAUAUUGAUGAAGGUGGUCAAUGUGAAUAGGAAGGAUUGGUCUAUCAAGCUCCUGGAUUCCUUAUGGGCUCAUAGGACCGCUUACAAGACCAUUCUAGGAAUGUCUCCCUAUCGGCUUGUCUAUGGCAAAGCGUGUCAUCUUCCAGUAGAGAUUGAGUAUAAAGCAUGGUGGGCAAUCAAAAAGCUCAACAUGGAUUUGACAAGAGCCGGGUUAAAGAGAUGUUUGGAUUUGAAUGAAUUGGAGGAAAUGAGGAAUGAUGCAUACCUCAAUUCAAAAAUUGCCAAAGCAAGAUUGAAAAAAUGGCAUGAUUAGUUGGUAAAUCAGAAAAAUUUUACCAAAGGACAAAAAGUUUUGCUUUAUGACUCUAAACUUCAUCUCUUUCCAGGAAAAUUGAAAUCCAGGUGGACGGGUCCUUUCAUAAUUCAUGAAGUGCAUCCCAACGGAGUGGUGGAAAUAUUCAAUCCCACAGGCAAUCAAACCUUCAAAGUCAAUGGCCAUCGUCUCAAGCCAUUUAUAGAGCCUUAUAGUACAGACAAGGAGGAGAUCAACCUCCUUGAACCACCACAACUCUGAGGGAAAGCAGGGUAUCAUGGGCUAAAUAAGUCCAUGAAUUUUUUGUUAUAGUUUUAUAGUUAUAUCAUUAAUUUUAUUUCUUUUUAUUAUAAUUUUUCCUCAGUCUUAGUUUAUUUUGUCUUAAUUCAAGUCAAUUUUGAUGAUAAAAUUCAGAAAAAAAUCAUGAAAGGUGAGGAGAGCUCUUCAAAAGCAGAACAGGGGAGUAAAACCAAGGAAGCAGAGCACCUGAUUUCAAGGUGCCAAAAUUUCGCACACCUGAUUUCAAGGUGCGAAAAUUUCGCACACCCCAAAACCAAGGUGCGAAAUCUAUCUCAAGGUGCGAAAUCCGUUUUCAAGGUGCGAAUUUCCUAAAAUCCAAUUUCGCACACCACUGUGUAAGGUGCGAAAAUUUUCGCACUGUGCGAAAUCCUCUCUUGGAACACGUGUGCCAAUUUCGCACACCUCAAGCUAAUUUUCGCACUGUGCGAAACAGUGUGCGAAAAUUUCGCACACCACUGUUCAAGGUGCAAAAAUUUCGCACACCCAAUUCAAAGGUGCGAAAUCUUCAAUUGAAGGGGUGCCAUUUUCGCACACCCAAUUCCAAGGUGCGAAAUUUGCAGACCAAGGUGCGAAAAUUUCUCACGGUAAAAUUUUAAGUUCUAAAAAUUUAAAAUGGACUUUUAAAUUAAAAUUUUACCCCCGAAAUUGUGCCUAACGUCCAAAAACGACUUUUCGGUUGCCUUGGAAAAUUUUAAAACAUCAGAAACCCCUUAAACCUCAUUCCUAUAUAAACCCUUGAGGUCCAGAAGCCCAAAGGACACCCCGCGCACCAGCUGUGAAAUCUCUGGAAUCUCGAACAGUCAUCUACCUCCAUUUCGGCCAUGGCGAAGACCAGAGGAGGCCAUUCCGCCUCCCCAUCCUCACCGACACCUCGACCACAUCGAGCCGCCAUGGGAGCCGCAGCUUCGCCACUUGUUCAGGCCCCGGCCAUUCCCCCAUCUGAGGGGGAAGCUCCUUCUCAGCGUCGAUACCCCACCAGGAGGCCACCCACGGACCCUGUGCCACCAGUCGAUCAGGCCACGGGCCCUGUUUCUCGGCCACCAGCGAAGAGAACCAAGUUCUCGGGUCCUGGAGAGCCAUCCCACGCACCUCAGCCAGAGCCACCUACAGAGGACUCCCGGAUUCCUGCGGAUAUUCCUCUCGAGACCGUUAUCAGGCGUCCCAUGAUAGCUGGACCACCGAUAGAGGGCAACUUGGAUUGCAGAGAUCGAUCCUUCCACUCUGAGAUCUACUUUGAUAUAGAGGCCCUCAGACAGCAGCCAGAGCUCCGAGAUUCAUUCCGACUGCUGCAGAGGUAUCACAUGGAGGGUCUUCUCACUCCUAGGCAAUUUUAUUAUCCUAGAGUAGUUUUAGAUUUUUAUCAAUCUAUGACUACUCGGGGUCUCCGCAAUCCUAAUCUCAUCACAUUGCUCGUCACAUUGCUGAGGCCCUCCAUAUACCUUAUGAGCCCGUGUUUCAGGCAGAUUUCAGGGAGUGGUCCUCAUUCUCUCAGAGUGACAUGGUCCGCAUUUUGUCCAGGGGGACUUCUACAGCCUCGGUAUUGACCAGGAGAGAGCUUCCAUCUGGGAUGCUCCUCAUUGAUGUGCUCUUGCGUGCCAACCUAUUCCCCCUUCAGCAUAAAGUUCAGAGGAGAGGAGCUAUACUUGAGGCAUUAUUUAGGAUUUCUGAGGGCUAUUUCUUCGGCCCUCAUCAUUUGAUUAUGACUUCUCUUCUUCAUUUUGAAGAAAAAGUCCAUCAGAAGAAGCUUCAGAGGGCAGAUGGCAUUCCAUUACUAUUUCUGAGGCUCCUCUGCCAGAUUUUAGAGCAUCUGGGCUAUCCUAAACAGCCCCGUCUUGAGAGGCGCCGCCAUUGCAGAGAGGAUUUCUCUCUCGACAAAUGGCAUCACUUGGUAGCCUACUUUGCACCCGAGGGAGCACCAGCUGUGCCUGCACCUCCAGAGCUACCCCGAGAUGACCAGCUACCUCAGGCCCAGCAGGAUGAGAUUCUCACAAAGACCACACCUCCGACCCCUGCAGCACCCACCUCAGUGCACAUGCCCGAGGCUAUACAUUCUACCUCCCCUAUCACUCAGAGUGCUCCACCAGUCGUACUAGCUACCCCAGCACCUCCUCCUUCAUCUGAGCCCACUGUCACCGUUUCUCUUGCGGAAUUCAGAGGCUUAGUGCGUUCAUUGCAGACACUGAGCACUGCUCAGGAUUCUAUUAUCCACCAGAUGGCCACUAUUCGUGCACACCAGGAUCAGAUCAUUGCUACUCAGACCUAGCAUACCACGAUCCUUCAUCAGAUUCAGCAGCAUCUGAGUAUGCAGACUCCUCUUAGGCAUGAUAGGUCUGCACCAUCCGAGCCUCUAGUGCCAGGUGAGGAGAGCUUGCCAGCUGAGCAGCCUAUACCAGAGGAGGAGAUCAGAGCAGAGCCAUCACAUGACCCCACUCAUAUAUGAUCUUUUUAUGUUUUACUUUAUAUAUUAGACUUGUAAAUCCCAUCUUUUGCAUGUGUUAUAAACUGAGAUUGGAAAUAGUACUUGAAAUCAUACAUUGUAUAUUUCUUUUCCAAGUAAUAUAUACAUAUAUAUAUCCUUUUUUAUUAUAUUCCCUUUUCUCAUUACUCUUUUGUCUUUGGAACAUGUGGUUUAAGGUAUUCCAUACCUCCUUUACACUCAGACUUUGUCUCACUCAGGAGGUACCACUUCCUCCCUUUAUUUUUAAUCGCUUUUGAAACAUUGAGGACAAUGUUCAACUUGGUUGGGGGGAGAGUUGAGAAAUGAAGUUUUGUUGUUAAUAUUAAGUCAUUUUGGUAUUUUAGUUGAUUUUUCCUUAAAAUUUAAAAUUGCUAAAAGUUUUUUGAAUCAUUCUCUUUGGUUGUUAAAGAUAAUUUCUCAAAAAUAAAAUAGGAUAAGUCGAGUUUUAACUUAAUUAUUUAAGUCUUAGAGUUUGUUUUAUGCUUUCAAAGUUGAUAAUCUAUUGAAGCCUCUUUGAUUUUGAACUUUCUUCUUCCAUUUCGAGCUUUACACACACUGUGCACAUUAGAUCCCGGAUAUAAGAUGUAAAACUUUCUCACUUUCUAAGCUUAGGAAAAUUUUGACUUGGUUGAUUACUUAACCUCUCUUUAAUAGUGUUGGGACACCUCAUAAAGACCAAUGAGUCUUUGAAAAAAAAAAAAAAAAAAAGAGAAUAAGCCUCUAUUCUUUCCUUGAAACCUAAGUAUGAUCCGAAGGGGUGGCGAAAGCCUUUAAAACCCGAUGCCCUAAACCUUGAUUGGUUGGGAGUCAUCGAUCCUCUGCUUGCUACAUAGGUGAAUUGGUUAAGUUUAGUGAGUAAAAAAGAAUUGUGAAUAAGAAGGUGCGUUCUUAACCUAUUAAGAGUUGAUUAAUUUUGCCAAUAUUCGAGAAAAGCUUAGGUUGGAGGGUGAGGAUAGUUGUAUAUACUAUAUCCGGAAGCUAAUUUCAUUAACACUUAGCUUAUUAUGGAAGAGUUUGAUUUGAAACCUUGAGAGUAGAGAUUCUUUUGAUACUUAAUUGCAUAAUCUCCACUCUUUGUACUUUUUGUUUAAGUUUAAGCUUUGACAACUCCUAUUGCAUUUUGAAUCUUCAUAUCUUUAGUUCACCAGGAGAGAUGUGUUUGGAUAUCAGUCAUGCCACUCAAUUAUUUUUUGGAAUGAAUUGCAUGACUUCUUUUAUGUAUAUUAUUACGUUUGCUUAGUUUUUCUCUCCUUAAUUGCUAAGGGACUAGCAAUAUGUCGGUUGGGGGGAGUGAUUACUACUCAAAACAUGCUAUUUUGUAGCUUGUAAUUAGCUCUUUUAAACACCAUUGAGUAGUAAUUAUUACCUUUUAACCCAAUUAGCAUGUUAGGAGCCCUUGCAAUCGUUUCUAACAAUUGUGUUAAGUUUUGGUGCUUUUUGAUAGCUUUAUGCUCACCAAAGCAAUUUAAGAAUGAGGGAGAGCUAUUUAUAGUUCAGGGCAAAGCUUUUGAAAGCUUAAAUUUAUGAAGAAAUCAAGCUAUGGAGCCUCAUAAUCCUUUGCCUUAGUGGUUCAAAGUACACAAGGAAGAAACAAUGGAGAAGAGGAAAACAAGGGAUGAAAACAGGGGACACAGCUGCAGUCUUUCAUUGCACUUUUGGAGCACUUCCCGAAGUCCAUUUUUUACAUUCUAUAUACCAUUUCAAAGCUCAGAAAGUCAAGAAUCCAACGGUUCAAACCAUGUAUGAUUUGGAGCUGAAAUGAGAAAGAUAUGGCCUUCGGAAGACAACUGCAUCAGGCUGAGCGAAAAUUUCGCACGAUGGAAAUCAAGGUGCGAAAUCCUCAGUCCACUGUGCGAAAAUUUCGCACACCUCAAACCAAAGUGCGAAAUUGGAACUCAGCGUGCGAAAAUUGGAUAUUUUUGCCGACUCUUUUUCUUCUGAUAUUUUUGUGUCUAAAUUUCCAUUUUCUCCUUGUAUUCAACCACUCAUGUAAUUCCUUAACUAGGAAGUAUCCAAGGAAGGGUAAAAUUACCUUCCUAUAUAAAUUCUCUUGUAAUCACUGAAAAUGGAUCUUUUCGGGGAGCUUUCUCCAGGAGACCAACUUAUGUAACUUUGUUAUACAGAGAUCUCUUUUGUUUAUCUUCUCUCUUCUAUUUUCUAUUUUCUUGCAAACCAAACACCCUCUGAGGAUGUUUUCCCAGAGGAUGAGAGGCUAAACCAAAAGUUUCUUGGAGUAAAGGAAGCUAGGUGAAAAGUCCAGAUUAAAAGGUGGAAAAUUUCCGUGCAUUAAAUUCAGGUAGUUGGAGUCCAUAAAUGGUUUCUAAAUUCAAAGUUUUGCUUUAAAUCCCUUAGGAUCACUUUGACUGGCCAAUACAUGGUAAGCUUAAGGUCUCUGUGGAUGCUUAUUGCUAGAUCCAUAUCAGUCCAUUAGUUAUCAUGUACGAGCCAUUGGAAAGUGAUUCAAGGUGAUAGCCCAUAGUGUCUUAAGCCAUUAAUGGACCUUGACUACCAUCUCUAGUGACUUUUUAUGGAUUAAAACUUCAUUGUCAAACCUAUACCGGUUCGGGAAAUAACUAUAGGUUAAAUCCCCAAUGCGAGGAGAAAAAUCCGGAAUUUUCCACUUUNNNNNNNNNNNNNNNNNNNNNNNNNNNNNNNNNNNNNNNNNNNNNNNNNNNNNNNNNNNNNNNNNNNNNNNNNNNNNNNNNNNNNNNNNNNNNNNNNNNNUACCAAAAAGUGCUAUUUUGUAGACCUAAUUAUAAUGGUUUUAAGCACCUUUGAGUAGUAAUCAUAUUCAUUUAACCCAAUUAAUUCAUUAAGGUCCUUAGUAAUUGGUUUUAACCAUUUUGUGGCAAGUUUACAUGUUUUUAUCAGCUUAUGAAUCAAUUCAAGCAUGCCAAAUGAUGGAGGAGCUACUUGGACAAGUUAUGGCAAAGCUUUUGGAAGCUCAAAUUCAUGAAGAACCAAGCUUUGGAGCUCCAUAGCCCUUUGCCAAAGUCGUUCAAAGUAUGCAAGGAGAGAAGCAAAAAGAAGCAAAGAGAAGCAAAGAGGACAGCAGCUGCAGUCUUCUUUCGCACUUUUGGAGCACUUACCGAAGUCCAUUUUUUACAUACUAUAUACCAUUUCAAAGCUCUGGAAGUCAAGAAUCCAACGCUUCAAACCAUGCACGAUUUGGAGUUGAAAUGAGGAAGAUAUGGCCUUCGGAAGACAACUGCUCCAGGUUAUGCGAAAAUUUCGCAUAACACCUUCAAAAUUCGCAUAACCCAUGCGUGUUGCGAAUUUUCCUCUGCUUUUACUGACUCCACUUUAGAUAUUUUCCUUCGUAUUUUGUGAUGUAAUUUCCUUUCUUAUCCUUGUAACUAACCAAUCACAAGCUUUUGCUUUUGUAAAGACUGUAUAAGGGGUGGAAAUCACCUCUUGGAUAUAGAUAGAAUACGUAUUACGUUUUACACUUAGAAUAUACAGAGCUCUCUCGUUUCUCUUUUCUCUUUACUAUUUUCUUUUUCUCAGAAGCCAAACAGCCUCUGAGGGCUUUUCCUCAGAGUAUGAUUGGCUAAAACCUUUAGUUUCUCAAAGUAUGGAUGUUAUGUGAUGGCUUGGAUGCAAUCCCAUGGAAAUUUCUCGCACCCGGAAGGUAAGGUAGUCGUUUUUCAUUAAUGGUUCAUUAAUGUAAAGUUUGGUUUUUAUUUCCUUUGGACAACUUCCAAUGGCCAAUACUUGAUAAGCUUUUGGAUUUCUAUCCAUUAGUUAUCUCCUACGAGCUAUUGGAAGGUGAGGUUUUCAAUUCCAAGUUUUGUAUUAAUCCGUUAGAACCAAUUUCAAUGGCCAUUGAAAGGUGAGUUUAUCACUUGGAAUGACUUUGAGUUGCUAAUAUUUGGUAAGCUUUUGGAUUUAGACCAUUAGUUAUCUCUUACGAGCCAUUCAAAGGAAGUCUAAGGUGAAUAACCAUUGAUGAAAUUCACUACCAUUUGUUUUGCCAUUUUAAAGGAUUAAAACUUGAUUUGCUAAAUCCAUACCGGUUCGGGAAGCAAGCAUCACCAUAGUUGCAACCCCAACGCGAGGAGCCUAUCCUGAGAUUUCCAAUUUGCAUAAGAGCCAGAGCAUAGCUAUCCUAUCUUUGAGAAACUUGUUUUUACACCCUUUCAUUUUAGUCUUUAAUGUUAGCUUAGAUUAGUUUAAAUCUUUCUAAAACAUUUACAUCUUCUUUUAAAGCUAACAUCCAUAAGAAAAUCACCUAUUUUCCUAAUUUGAAUAUCACUUGUGUUUGCGAAAACCCUUCCCAGUGAACGAUCCUAGAACCACUAUGCUAUAGUAGCUUGGCUACUUUAGUAAUAGUAUUCAAGGUAUAAAUUUUGUUGAUACGCCUUUAAAGCUAAGCUACCAUGAGUCGAAUCAAUACCCUCUUGUAUUUAGUGAGUUGAUCGCCCUUAUCUUAGUUAACCUUAGUGGUUCAACUUGGAGUCAUGGAUCAUGAUCUCCCUUAAGCGUUCAAAGCCCACGGCUUGGAGCUAUUCAUUAUAUCUUAGUUCAAAGUUUAUUAUCAUUUUUGUCUCGUUCAUGGCAUUCUUUCAUUUUGAUUUUGUUUAUAGCAUCCUUAUCUUUGAGUAUCAUAUGGGGUAUACCCCUUUUUUUUUAAUGAGUUGAUCAUCCUUAUCUUUAGUCACCCUUUAGUGGUUCGACUUGGAGUCGUAGAUUGCAAUCUCCCUUAGGUGUCACUAUAAGAAAUUUUAUUUUUCCUGACUAAUAUACAUAGUUGAAAUAAACAUUUACUAACGGAUAAUCUCAACGCAUGGUAGUCAGGGAAAGGUGUGUAGGCAAAAGUUUAUUGAUGGGAAUUUUUCGCUACCAAUAAAAAAAAUUUAGCAACAAACUAUCCAAUGGAUUUGGACCGUUGCUAUUACCAACAGAUUAAGUUGGUGGGGAAAUGUAAAUAAUUAAAUAUUUUAGAUUGUCAUUUAAUCUCAAUUUCAUUAUAUUCAACAUAGAGCACCUUGUUACACUCUUUGCUAGUUUUCGAUAUUUACUUGGUUGUUGGCUUGCCACAACACUCUUUGCUUGUUUUGGAUAUUGACUUGGAUGCUCUUUUUUUUUUUUUUUUCUGGAAUUGAACUCAUGACACCAAGUUUGAAAGGAAGAAACUGUGCCAUCAAGCCAACUUUGUUAUUUGCAAGAUAAAGAAUAGAUAUAAGAUUCAUAAGUAAAAAUAUCCUAUACUUACACGUUUAUAUUAUAAAUAUUAUCUAUAUAUAAAUACAUAUUAUAAAUUAUAUAUGCAUGAAUUAAUAUAAGGUUUGUUACCUUUUAAGCAUAGAAUUCCUCUUUCUCUAAAUUAGUGUGCUAAAACACUUGAGGAGAAAGAGUGCAUGAAGUUAAUACCUUAUGCCUCUGCAAUGGGUAGUCUUAUGUAUUUGAUGCUAUGUACUAGCCUAGAUAUUUUCUUUGCAAUGGGUAUGGUGAGUAGAUAUCAGUCUAAUCCAGGUCCAAAACAUUGGACAACAGUCAAGCAUAUACUCAAGUACCUUAGGAGAAUGAGAGAUUAUGUGUUUGUGCUCCAAAGUGUUGAGAUAGUUUAAAGGGUGACAUGAAGGUUGAUAAGAUACCUUCUGUGAAGAACCUAGCGGAUCUCUUCACCAAGACAUUGUCAGGAAGAGUCUUUGAUGGUCACAAGGAUAACAUAAGUUUCAAAUGAGUAUCCGACAUGCUUUAUAGGCAUGAUGCGUUAAGGGCUAGUGGGAAAAUGUUAAGAUAGAGCCCUUAAAAGUAUGACAUGAUGUAAUAAAUUUGGAAUUCAUUAUUUAUUUAACGAUGUUCCAGAUUCACUUUUAUCGAUCCUUAUUCCAUGUAUUAUACUUUACGAUCAUUCUUGCCUACAUCCUUUACAUUGUACGUGACCUAGGUUCAUUAGGAGUUGCACAACAGAUCUAAGUCAUGGGUUCCUUACAAAGAGUUGACUUGUUCACAACUGGUUCAUAGGUCUAGGAAACCCAUUAGAGGUUAUAGGGCACCACCUCCUAAUUGGAGGGAUGACUAGUCUUGGUUAUCGAGAUGGUUUUCCCAUGGUGAGUGCACUGGUGUGUAUGGUUACAUAUUAGACAAGACCUAUGGUGAGUCAUGACUUAAGGCUAUCAAGUAGUCAUGACCUCACCAAGUUGCUUCAUUAUGUUGUUUCUCAACCUUGAGAGAAUAUUGAGUUUGUGCUAAAGUUAGCAAUGACUUUGAUCUAUGGAUGAGAUCGUAAGCUAAUCAUAUAUUCCCUAUGGAUUAGGUCAUUGCUGAUGGAAGCCUGUAGCAAUAGUGUGUUCAUGGAAACUAUAGCCAUAGUAGUUCCUUAAGUAAAACUUGACAUAGACUCUUUGAGAGUUAAGAUAUGUAAAUUGAACACACAAUAGGAGGAUCCGUAACUCAAGGAUGGUAGAGGUAAUCUUGAAAGGCCGAUAGCUUUCCCCUAGUUAGACUAUGGACACUAGCUCAUAGGAAGACUAAACACAAUGGAUAGCAAGUCAUAGACCCGAGCACUUGAUGUCUCGUUGUUAUUUACAUAGGAUACUGGAGUUCAGUUGAUUCUCUGUAGUGGGAUGUGGAAUCCACUUUAAAAUUGGAUUCUAAGGGAGUUAGUAUUCCUAUGGGUCCCAGUGGUCCCCGCUCUAAGAUCAUUUACCUUGUUGGCAUGGGUUAUGAGGGUUAGAUUAGCUCUAGGUCCACUUUUGUGCAUAAGGACGUUUUGGUAAUUAAGUAAGGUUCCACAUGGGUAAGUGAACAAGGUCUCUGGAUUGGGCUAAUUGUUUAAUUAGUAGGCCCUAUUUGGUUAAUUAAUCAUAUAGGACCCAUUUUGGGUUAUAUUUAGUUACCCAAGCACAUGUGGGCUCAAGUCACUUAAGCCCACUUAGGAACCCUAUAAAUACACUCUAAGGGUUAGGGUUUCCAUAAUUUUUUGUCUUCCACCAUCAAUAGAGAUAGAGAGCCAUAACCUUCACCCUCUUUUCCUCCCCACCGGAAGUGUGUGAAGAUCAAGGUUUGAGUCAUUAGGCGAAAGAUUGUAGGUUUAUGAGACUUCUAUGAUUUCAUUUUUCAUCUUCACCAUGUAGAUUUGAUUCAAGAACUAUUUUUAAAACAUUUUGCCAAACAUUCUUAUUUUAAAAAAAAUUAAAAACUGUUUUUGGUUCUUUAUUUUGAAAAAAAAAAUUUAAAAACAAUUUUUUAAAAACACUACAAAAUAGGCCCUAAGUUAUCCAAAGAUCAUUUUUUUUUUUAAUGAAAUAGGUUCAAUAAAAUAUUUCUAUUAAAUAAGAAAAAGGGACCCAAAAAUUUCUUUUAAUAAAAAUAGGUUUUAGACAUUUUUUUAGAUAUAAUAGUCCAAAAAUUUUGUUUUGAUAAAAGAAAUAGUUUAGAAUUUUAAAAUAAAUAAAUAAAUAACACGUUCAUAAUUUUUUUUUCAAAUAAAAUAAAAUACUCCAACAAUCUUAUUUGAAUGAAAUAACAAUUCAAAAAAUAUUAUUUUUAAUAAAAGAAAGUUUUCUUAAUAGAAAGUUCAAACAAAUGUUUUUAGAAGAAUCUAGAAAAAAAAUAAUAAAAAUUCAAAAAAUUGUUUUUAAUAACAAGUAGUCUAGAAAUUCAUUUGUUUAACAAAAUUUUCUAGAAAAAUUGAUUUUAAAAUAAAAUUGUCCAAAAGUUAAUUUUAAUACAGUCGUCUAAAAUUGAUUUUUAAAUAUAACUCUCUUUCCUUGAUAAGAAAGGGAUUAAAAAUAAUUUUUAUAAAUAGAGGUCUUAAAGAAUUUUUUAAAAUUAGAAUAGCAUGAGUAAACCUUUAAAUAGAACUGAAAAACCUUCUUUUUUAAUAAAUUGGUAAACAAAUCUCCUACUAAAUGAAAUCCAAAAUUAUUUCUUAAUAAAAUUGGAAUCCUUGGGAACAAAUUUGUGAAAUUCUUUCUCUAAAUAAAUUUGUAAUAAAGAAUAUUUUUCUAGGUAAAAUAAAAAAUAUAUAUAUCCAAUAAAAUUGGGUUGAAAUUCCUUCUUAUAAACUUGUAAAUAUCUUUCUUAAGUUUGUAGAUUUUUUUUAAAUAAAUAAAUAUUGAAUCAAAACACUUUUUAAAAUAAAUUAGUAAAAUCCACCCCUCUUCUUAAUAAGGUAAACAAAAAUCAUUUCUUGUAAAUCAAAUCAAAUCUUUUGUAAUAAAUUGAAGCCUUGUGAAUAAAUAAAUUCAAAUCACUAAUUUGAAAUUGUUGUUAAACUAAACGAAUUCUUUGAAAAUUCACGGAAAUUGUGUUAUGAUAUUUGAAAUAAUAAAAUCUUUCUAAUAAAUUAUUUUGUGCAUUUCUCAUGUAUCAUUUCUACAUAUCCUUAUAAUUUGCUUUUGCAUUAUUCCAUGUACUUGUAUUAUUCCUUUUUUUUUUUUUUAAGUAUUCAUGAUUAACUAAUUAAUUAUCAUAAUUCUCUUUUACAUGCUUACUAGAAACCUUUUUAAGGCUUAAAGGGGUGCUACCCUAUGGUACCUUCCCAAUAGGUAACCUGACCUUUAGAUUCGGAUUCGGUUUUUACCGACAUGUCUUUUCUUUAAAAAAUGAGUAACAAUAGGGCUUUAUUUCUUUUUCUUUUCUUUUCUUUUCUUUUCUUUUUAAAAAAAAAAGAAUGACGACUCCAACUUUUAAAUAUAAAAAAUCAGUUUUUUUAUAAUAAAAACAAGUUUUACCAUCAAGUGUGGACGCACAUGAAAAAUGAUAGUUCAUAAUUGUAUUUCUUAGACUUAAAAUAUAAUAAAAUUACUAAAUCAAUGAAUGUUAUGAGUUUUUACAUCUUUGAUCAUAAAAGAUUCAAAGUACAAUGGAACAAAUAGUUUUCAAAAGGAAAAUAAAAAUGUUUAAAAUGGAAAAUCUAACAAUAAAGACAAUGAAACAAGGUGAUAUGGUAGGAGUUAAAUAGAGAAAUCUUUUAUCCAUGAAUUUAUAGUUUAUUUAGUAGAAAAAAGUUCAAAAGAAAUAUUGCAUACAUUAAUGGAUUAAGUAGAUAAAAGGGAUUUAGGUAAUUUGAUAUUUAUGCUUUAGUUCGAUAACAUCAAAUAGAAAUUUGAUAUUAUUAGUUUCCAUAUUGAGUUUAGAAAUCUAUCAAAUGGAUGUUAAGAUUAUCUUUCUUUGAAUGGUUGUAUAAAUAAAGAGUAUAUGGGGUAACCUAAAGGACUUAUGACAAGAACACAAAGUUAGGGAUAGAUACAUUUAGCUAGGUUGGAUUAUAACCAAUCCAAGAAUCAGAUAGAAGUUGAUUGGUUUUAACUAAAGUAUAACAAAUUUAUUUAUUGACUCAAACUAAUCCAACUUAAUAUUAGUUCGAUUCAGUUUAGUUAACUCAAUUUAGACCAAAAUAUUGAGUCUAUAUGUUUUUUUUCUCCACAUUGACCACAUAACCAAAAUGAUCAAAUUGUUUUAGAUAAAUAUAUAUAUAUAUAUUUACAAAUAAUACAACUAAAAAUUUUAAAAAUAAUGUGUAGGAGCAAACCGAUGGGUUAUUUUCUUAUUGGGAAUAAGUCAAUGAGUAGUAUUAUUGACAUAUUGGGUGCUUGUGACUUGAAAUUAUAUUAUCAUCAUUAUUAAGUCCCACAGUACAAGGAUUUUAAAUUUUAGAUCAUGCUUAUGCCAUAAGCAACUUUUAAUUUGUAAUAAAGCCAUGCGAGUUAGGCUCUAGGCCUCCAACAUCAAACUGUAGCCUAGCUAAGUUAGCUUUGGAUGAGCAUGGUUUGACUCACAAAGUCUCAAGAUUCUCCAUAACACUCCAAAUCCAAGCAAUUAUAUUUGUCCCACUCCUCUAGUACUUGGGUUUGUUUGCCAAUCCACUUUUAGUAAGUGAUCUAGGUCGAACCUUUCAUAAGCCAAAUACUUAAACUAGCUUGAUCUCUAGUUUCACUACAUUACCAAAAUAAAGUAAUUCAAGUAGAAAGAACCAAUGGCACAAGCAUGACAAAAUUUUCUAUUGGGGACGUUUACAAAUAGUAUAUGGAGACCUUUUUCCAGUAUAAUUUGAGACAAAUGCUAAUGGGGUUGCCUAUGAACUAUUCUCCAAGGCUAGUUAGGCUUAUCUAUUAAACAAAGGAAAUUGAAGAUUUGGGGGUCAAAUAAAAGUAAUCAAGUUUAAAGUUGAUGGAAUUGUUUAUUAGCUCAAUAUAGAGGCUUAUCUCAAGCACUUUCUUAGGGCAAUGCUUCAAGUCGAUUAACUGCAUGCAUGCACUAAAGAGCUACUACAAGAGAGAAUGAUCUUUUGAACAUAUGUAAUUGAUUGUGUAUUAAUUAAGAAGGCUUCUAAAGUUGGAUAAGUUGUUUAGAACUUUUAAGAGGGAAUUUGUAAACUUCACAAAAUUGAUCUAAGAGACAUUUACCAAGUUCUAUCAUGAUAAUAAAGUAUUGAGGAGAAAAUGUACCACCAAACCAAGUUGUAUUUGCUAAGAAUACUCACUACAUUUCUAUUAAGAAAGAAACUAUCUAGUGGUAAAGGACAAGAUAGUUUUAGUUCGUGAAGUUUUCACUGCCCAAGCUAACAUCAAAAGCUAUAACAAGACAAAUCCUAAUAAGGUAAGAUAAAAGGUUGCACAAAAGGGACAUCUUGCUCCUUGUUGAAAAUCUCAUUCAAUUGCAAAUCUACCACAUCAAGAAUGCUUUCUCUUCUAUAAUUUUCUCAUAGCCAAUCCACAAUACUAUUAUUAUACUUGGUUUGCAUGCUUUUUUUUUCUUUUCUUUUCUUUUUGGCUUUCUAAGUUAUUUUUUUCUUUGGUUAUAGCAAUGGCAUCAUUAGUGUGUUAAAUUCCCUUAUAGGUAAUUCCUCAAACAUUUAAUGUCCUCAUUGGUUCAAUUAAGUCUUAUAGUAUGAAACGAAAAAUAAAAAUUCUUGUAUUCAAAAUCAAAUGGAAGCACAUUAAUUAAAAAAUGCAAACAUAAGAGAAACAUUGAAAUCCAAUUACAAAGAGUAGUAUCAAAUUUUCCAUAUCUACAAAAUUCAGGUGUUAAGAUUUCUAAAAAUGAAAUAUAUAUAUAUAUAUAUAUAUAUAUAUAUAUAUAUAUAGAUAAAUAGGGUUCAUUGGGAGAAGACCUACAUCUACAAAACAUCAAGGUGUGACGUUAAGAGAGGAAUUCAAUCCAUACCUGAUAUGAAGGCAUGGAUUUGAACACAUUGACUAGAUUUGAAGAAUGCAAUUCAUCCAUGGGAAUUUGUGUACCUAAAGAGGGUUGGUUUUUGGAGGUACUGGAAGAUGGUUGGAGUAUGGUAGUGGCUGUUGAAAGGGUCGAUGGUGGUGGGAAGCCAUAACUACUAGUGAAGAGGAAGUUAGGUGAAUUGGAGACUUGAUGAAGAAGAUAAUGUGAGUUUGAGAAAAUUUCCUCCAACUUUUCCCUUCUUUUUCUCUCUUAUUUUCCUCACUAAUUUGAAGGAAAGUAGAAGAGAAAAUAUUACAAUAUUUUCUUUAGUAUUUUCUUUUAUAUUUUUUCCAUCAUAUUUUUCAUGUCACCCAAACUAAGGAAAAUAACUUUCCAUAGUAUUUUUUUUUCCUUUCCCUUGCAUUUUCUGAAAACCAAACACAAUCUUUAUAAAUAAAAAUUAAGAACUAACACAAGAUUGUAUAUUCUUCCUCUUUAUUCUUGCAUUUCUACAUCUACUACUCUAUUUGACAUCAUAUUUUUACUCUCUUCUUCAAUCAGCAUUCCUCCCUUUAUAUAGAGUUAUCUUCACACCAAUUCAUAAGAUAAGAAAGGUGAAUGAACCUUGGGGCAAAUUUGGACAACUAGUGGCAACUAGUCAAGAUUUGAAGUCAACUUUUGCUUGAUUUUUUUGGCAUGGGCAGCAACUUGUGGACCCUCUUUAGCAUGAAAAUGACUAGAAUAUGUUAAGCUCUCUUAUUAGAUGGUUAAUGAUGUAUGAACCAUACGACAAUCAUAGGGUGGAGAAUAUAUGGUAAUUAUGCAAAUAAAUAAAUAAUGGUAUCCAAUUAUAUAAAAAGACAUCUUCCAACAUUUGAUAUAAAUCUAUAAAAAUUAAGAGGAAAAUACUAAAAAAAAAACACAUUAAACCUAAAAAUAUGGACUUAAUAUAAAAUGAAGCAAAAAGGUAGAAUUAAAACCAAAUAUUAAAUAUGAAUAUAGUUUAAGUAUUAAAAAUAUUAUUAUUUAGGUUUUAAUCAUUGGGCUUGCUAGAGGAGUAUAUAUAUAUAUAUAUUUAUCCUAUCUCUGCACAACAUUUGUAAAUUAAAUAUCUAUUUCUGUUAUUUAAAGGAUACAUUGAAAUGAUUGGAUGAAAGAUUUAUUCCAUAGCCUAAAAUGAUGGUAUUGGCAUUAUAUAUAUAUAUGUAUGUAUGUAUGUAUGUAUGUAUUUAUGUGUUUGCUCAAAUGAUAGGCCGAUUUUAAGCCAUAAUUAUAAUAACUGUAUUAUUGUAUUAUUAAAAUAAAAAGGUUGUUGUCCUUUAAUUUUGAUUUGAAAUAUAGGGGGUAUUUCUAACACUAAGAUGGUGUUUAUUUUUUUGAUUGAAUAGAAAAAAAUAAAAAUAUUUGAUUUUUUUUAUUCAACUAAAAGUAACAUGUUGAUAUCAACCAACCUUACUAAAGUGAACUUAUUAUUAAUAGGUUUAGUUUAGUUAUGUUAGUUGAUAUUGGCAAGUUAUUUUUAACUACAUAGAAAAAAAUAAAAUAUUUUAGUUUUUUCUAGUCAAUAAAAAAGCAAACACAUCUAAAAUUAGAUAAUAAAAUACUUUGACUGGAAAUAAAUUUCAUAUGGACCACUGUCAAAUACCAUGCACAAGGAGAAAUUCGGAUCCUCACUUGCUCUUUGAAUUUAAUGCAUUGAAUUUGAUGUUGCCUAAAACAAAUUAUAUUUCAUGUCCUGUAUUAUGAGUAGAGAACCAUUCCUUAUGUUAGAUUUUAGAUAAAGAAUGGAUAUUGGAGAUUGGAGUUGUAAGAAAUUAGGAGAUCCUAAUUUUAAAUAUGUAACAAAGUUCUAUAAUCGAUUCAAUCCAUGUUUUACAAAUUGUAUUUCUUUCUAAUAUUGGAGCAAACUUUUUCUUUGUUUCUUAUAAAUUUCAUUUGGGAAUGAUUUAAAAAUAAAUAAAUAAAAGCCCUUAUAAAUAUUAAAAAGUAACGCUUUCUUAUAAAAAUUAAUUAGGUGGAUAUAUGGUAAGGUCAAAUUCGGGAUAACUUCAUAUUUUUUUGCUUUAACUGAAAACUAAAAUCAAAAUUAAAGUAAUAAUUUUUAAGGGGAAAUAUUGAUAUUGUAAAAGUUUUAUUAAACAUGAAAGAACUUCUUAUAUAAACAAAAACGGAAUUAUAAAAUUCUUAUAAGAAAUAACAUUUUUAUGACUUCUACAUGAAACCUUUUUUUUAAUGUUAUAAGUUUUUUAAUAAAAUAAUUAAAUAGGUAUAAAAACUUUUAUUUAACUCUUUAAAGUCAAUCCAAAUAAAAUGUAUAUAUAUAUAUAUUUGAAAAUCACUUUUAAAAAUCCAAAAAAUAACUUAAAAAUAAUUUCUAAAUAUUUUUUUUAACUUACAUUUUAAAAAAAAUUGAAAAUGAUUUGUUUUUACUAGUUAUUUAAAUUAAGGAAGCAGGAAAGAGUUGGCACUAAUGUAAAAAAAAAGAAAAAAAGUGAGGGUUGGAAAGUAAUUAAAUCACUAAAAAUAGACUUGGAGUUCCUUCAGUGUGCAAUUAGACUGAAUUUGUCCCCAUGCAAUGGAAAUGGAAGAUUUUUUUUUUUUUUUUUCCUUUUCCAUUAUCUUGUUGUAGUCUUGUGAUAUUGUUACUAAAAUAGGAGGUUAAAAUAUAAAUUAUAUAUCAAUUAUUUUAAAUUUAGGAAAACAAUGUUUAUUUUAAUUUGAAAUAAAUAAGUAGAAAAAAACUGAUUUUAUCUCAAUUGUGAAAGACUUCAUUAAAAUUUUCUUAUUUGCAAAAUAUUUUAAGCUGUAAAAGUAAAAAUUAAACAAAUCAUUUCAUGACCUUUUUCACAACAUGAUAUUUUAUCAUGUUGAAUAAAAUUGGAAUGGUCAAAAGUUGUUAAAUCAAGACUUCCAUGGCAAAUUCCACCAUUGCAUAUCUCAAAGAUUAUUCUACAACAUUAUCUUUGUAGACUUUUAACAAUCUAAGAAAUUGAAAAAUUAUAUAAUAAUCCCAUACACAAUAUUCUACAACUUUACAAUAUUCUACAAUUUUUUUGAAUAAAAAAUAAAUGAUGAAAUCUACAACUUUACAAUAUUCUACAAUUUUUUUUAACAAAAAAAUAAAUAAUGAAAUCUUAAUGAAGCGAACAAUCAAUGAAAUCUUUGGCAUGUUAAUUCUUUGCAGCUUUAACAUGGUGGCAUGUCGGAUGGCGGAGGCAACAUUUGAGCUUCUAGGUGUUUACCAUUUUUCACUAUGAACGCAGUUUCCAUGCCCCAAGUUAGAUGGCGUUCUACAUGGCAGUGCAUGAACCACACUCCUACAACAAAGAAAAUAUACCAACAUUACACCUAAUUUAUUGAAAUAUUAAGAAAAAUUAUUUCCUUGGUAUGCAGGUUAGCAUUUUCAAGGGUUUUUGUUUAAUAGAGGACAUGAGUGCUUGCAACAUACCAGGGUUUGAUGCCUCGAAUCUGAUUGCAGCCCAACCAUUCGUAGGAACAGAGAUGGUACUCUGAAGGGGAGAAUCCACCAGAUUAUAGCGCAAAGGGUCCCUAUUUUUAUCGAAAUUCCCAAAUCCCCAUCCAACAAGGUAGAAACUGUAUCCAUGGAGAUGCAUAGGGUGGUGUGUCCCUGCAACCAAGUUUGUCCCUUGAAAAACAAUCUCCACCGUGGAGUUAUACUCGAGUACCCUUACUUCUGUUCCGUUUUCUGGCGUCUGAUACUCUAAUGGAAGAUAAUCAGCUGUAAAAUCAAACACCAAUGGUGGAACGCUAGGAAAUUUAUCUCCAUAUACACCACUGAUGUUAUAAUAGUAAGCUUGCAGUAUGUCAAUUGUAGGGGAUUGGAAGCUUAUGUUGUUUAUACUUGCGGAGAACCGCGUCCCAUUGGGCCCUGCACAUGAAUUAUUGGGGCAUAGGAACGAGUUUACAGAAACAGUGUAAAUCAGUUUAGUGCUCGGGCUCAACGGGACAUUGGAAGGAUGUUCCGCAUCUGCUAAGCUUCGGAGGCCGGCCAUGACCUGAACUGAUGCAUUUGUGUCAUUGUAUGUAGGAAAAUGAGGCAAGGAGGGAGGUGAAGAUGGAGUGUAGUAUCCCCUGUACUGCACAAUAGCUGUGGUGGUUGUGUUAUCAUAAAAAUUUUGAGCUACCGGGGCAAUGGAAUAAGUUUUAGCCGCCAUGUAAUAGUGAUCCGGGUGUUGGUUAGCUUCUAGUAAGACAUCGAAGGUUUGGCCAGGAUAUAUUGUGAUAUAAUCUUGUGUCAAUGGUUUCGUGUAGCUACCAUCUGUUCCAACCACUGUCAUUUUAUGCUUGGCAAUUGAGAAGAAGAGAGCCUCAUGCAAGGCAGCAUUGAUUAUGCGAAGUAGAUAAGUCUUUCCAUGAUCCACCGUUAGCUUGAAUGUGCCUGCAAUUAGAAAGGGAAAGUUAUAUACUUACGACUAGAGAAAAGAAAAGGAAAAAAUUUCCAUGAGGAUCCACCAAUUAUGAAGUGAUUGAUUGAUUAGGGAUGUAAGUUUGGCUCCAUAGUUCAAAAUUAUAUUUGAACUAGCCUUUUCUCAUGUGUUAAAUCAUGGCUCUACCAUCCUCAUAGCUAUAUUCCUCUUUCUUAGCAUUAAGUUUUAAAUAUGUUGAUGUUAAUAAGAAAAAGUAAUAUGGUUAACAUACAAGAAAAUGAGAUCAAUGUACAAUUUUAAAAUGGGAAGUUAAACUUUAUACCUGAUUUUGAGCAUGGAUAUAGAUCACCGGGUUGUCCAUUUAUCAAUAAAGAAUCAGAGGCAUUAGGGUCAGCUCCGGUUGCAAGCCCUUCAUCUCGAACCGCAUUCACAUCACUCUUCCACCAUUGUCCUGCAUUUCAACACAACUCCAAUAAUUUAGAUUUCUCUUUGUUAGUUAAUUCAUGAUAUGUAAAUUAACCUGUAAAAGGAACUACACUUAUACCUAAUAUGAUGGGAAUUUCUGCGUUAGGCUUGGGAAAAGGAUACUUGGUUCCAUUCUUUGGAUAAACGAUUAUUGCUCCAUGAACAGUGGCUCGGGUCCAGUCACUGUGAGCAUGCCACCAUAAAGUGCCUUCCUCAGAGGAAAGGAUGAUCUUCUGGCUAAACUUUGACCCUGGUUGAAUUGGGCAUUGUGUGAUAUACUCGGGACCAUCUGUCCAUGGAUAUCUAGGCAUGUUCACCCCAUGCCUGCAAAACAAUAACUAUACGUUAAAACUAGUACUAAUUUUUGGACUAACAAAAUAUGGCAUGUAGCAACAUAUUAUCAUAGUAACAAGAGGCAUCAACUGUAUUUCAAUGGAACUGAUGCAAAUAACCCUUAAAUAUUAUUUUAAAUUUAACUUUAUUUGCAAAGCAAUACAUUGGAGCCCCCUCUUAGAAAUAAAAGAAUGUAUGUCAUGCAGGCAUGCUGCCCAUUGCUAUCUUUCUCCGAGACACGCAUAGGACUUACCAGUGAAUGGUGAUAUUUUAUUUUCCCCUGUUAUAAACAUCAACAAUGAUCGUCUCUCCUUUCUUAGCAUAUAUAGUUGGUCCUGGAAAUUGUCCAUUUACUGUUAAGAUGUUCUUGGUGCUACAAAGCCUUGUAUAUGAAGCUUNNNNNNNNNNNNNNNNNNNNNNNNNNNNNNNNNNNNNNNNNNNNNNNNNNNNNNNNNNNNNNNNNNNNNNNNNNNNNNNNNNNNNNNNNNNNNNNNNNNNCAAAGCCUUGUAUAUGAAGCUUCCUUCACCUGCAACCAAUUAAAAGUUAACAUUGUAACCUCAUCCCAAAAGAAAUAUUACAUGUAUGAAUAGUUGCAUCGAUCCAUUCAUGCAAGAGUAUAACCAAUUAGAAAUUGAUAGCAUGCAUGAGCGACUCAACAAGACCAAGGUACCCGAAGACUCCAUGAGGAUCAUACGGUGGAAAAUGAGAGCCAUACUGCUCCCUAAAUAUUAUGAUCAGAAGUUGGCAUUAAGGCUAGAAUCAUAUAUAGUAUUUACCACAAAAGUAAGCCGACGAGUUGAAGCUUGGCAAUGGAUGCCACCACCAAAAAGUAGAAACGCUAAAAUUUGCAAGAGGAAAACCUUCAUGAUCAGCCACAUCUUCUUUGGAACAAAAGCCUCUUCUCUUGUCCUAAACACAACUCCUUCAAUUUUCUUACUAUUUCUAAUAAGCACGACUCAUUCAACAUUAUUCUUGAUCUGUUGAAUGAUGCUCAAAUUCAAGAAAUCUAAUUUUCUCAAGUAAAUUAGAUUUUUCAGCAUUAAGCACAUCAAUCUUAUUUUUAUUUGCAUCAAGAACUCUUAAUUAAUCUUUCAUGCUCAAUAAAAAGAUUGUCAAAGAAUUCAACCAUUUGUUUAUCAGUAAACUCAUCAUCAUUAAUAUCACUAUCACUAUGACAAUAAGAAUUAUUCUUAUAUUCUAUAGAUGCAACAAAACUUAACAUGUCAUUGGGAUCGUACCUUGCAUAUUCAGAAAUUGUAACAACACCGUCUUUAGAAUACAAGUAACUCCAUGUUGCUUAUAUAAACGUUUUAAUAUUUUUGGGGCUAGGACACUCUUAAGAGUAGUGUCCCAUGCCUCCAUACACUACAAGAAAAAGAGUCAUUAUUGACAUAUAUCCUCUUGACUUAAGAUAAUAUAUGUGAAGAUAGUCUAUUUAAAUGAACAAUUAUGACAUAUACAACUUUAUUUAAACCAAUAAUGACAUAUAUAAUAGUUAUUGUAUUUUUCCAUGACUUAUGAUGAUGCAACCAUGAUAAAUAAUUUAUAAGUCAAUCUAUAAUUAAUAUGUUCAUAUGUCAAGGUAUCCAAAUGAUAUCAAUAUAUAUAUAUAUAUUCAUGUCAAGGUAUUUAUAGAGGCUGGAGGUGAAAGCUGAACAGCUGGUUUCUCUCCAACUUUUGCUGUAUUUCUUUAAUAUAUAAUUCAUAAUCUAUUCAAGAUGAUUUUCCUGGGGUACAACCAUUCCUCGCCGCGUAUCAAUAUAAGAGAAGUAAUUUGAAUGUGUACUGGUUUUGAACGUUCUUCCAGGACCACUUCAAAGAGCAGGUUGUGUAUGAUAUCUGAUCACUUACCAAAAUUUAAAUAAACCAAAUGCCUGAAGACGAGUUUCUUAGAAUCUCUUGAAUUUUCUAAUUCAAAAUACAAGUUUGACUUUGAGAAUUGACCAAGAAAUUAAUCAAACACACUAUUUUAGAAUAAAUUUAAAAUAUAUGUAGAAUACUUUUAAAACUUUGACCUCGCAUAUAUACGAUACCUUUAUCAAGAUUAGUCAAGAUUUUCUCUUUGUAUUUGGUAGGAAGGGAAAAGUCAGCGCUGCUUUCAGAAGGAAUGUAGGAUUCCAUUAUAGGAAAGAAACAAUCAUUCAAUUAUAGGAACCGGAUCGGAAAUUCCUUGUCCGGUUGGAGGGUCAAUCCAGACAUUCAAAUCAUUAGGUCAGCGAUGAAAUCAUUCAACAUGCUCACCAUCAAAUAAUUAUUGGUUUCCUUUGCAUAUUUCCUCCAUACCGGCUUUAAUCUUGAUAAGACAUAUUGCACAGAUAAAUUGCAAGCACCAACAUAUAAAUUAGUUUAAACAUUCAGACAUUUUCAAACAUCAAAUCUCCACUUUUUAAAAAAUAAUAAUAAAUAAUAAAUAAUAAAUAAUUAUAGAUUUAAAAAUAACUUUUUCCAGAACAAAUAAAAAAUAAUUCAAACUUCCUUCGUUUAUUGUACCAUAUACAAAGAAAAAUCAUUAUAUAAAUAAAAUAUGCAAAGAUGUAUAUAUUUUUAAAUUAUUUAUAAACAGAAAAAAUGAUGAAUAAAAUUUAAGAUGUGAAAAUUUGAUCAAGUUAAUUUAAACUUCUUUUAUUUUUUUUCACUUUUUUUCUCCUAUUUUUUCACACCAUUUUUUUUUUCUCACAUUUCCUUUUAAACUUUUGGAAUAAAUUCCCUACUAUUUGUGGAGCUUUAAUAUAAUUUUUUUCUCCAUAUUAUACAUAUUUAUGCAAUAGUUGGUUAAACUAUUUUGAAUGUCUAUUUUUACCUUAACAAGAAACAUUUCUUGAAAAUGAAGAUUAUUUUCUCCUUAUUUUCAAAUUUGUGUUUCUCCACUUUUUAAAAAAAAAUAAUAAAAAAAAAUUGUAGAUUUAAAAUAACUUUUUUCAGAACAAAUACAAUAUAUAGCCGGCUUAUACAAACUAUUAUCUAAAAAAAGGAAAAGUAAAAUAAGAAAUAAUUCAAACUUCUUUGUUUGGUUUAUUGUACCAUAUACAAAGAGUUUUAAAUAAUAAAUUUGAAGCUCAUCCCAAACACUUUAAAGAGUUUUAGAAAUCGAUACUAAAUUCAAUCUUAUAUUAAAACUCCUAAAUAAUCAAUUGUAAAGUUGUUUUCAAAUGAAACCCAUCUUAUCUUGAUUUCCCCUCACUAAGAUACUUAAAAAGUGGAAUAAUAGAUAAGAGUGAACUUAAAACUCAAUUAAGAAAAUAGGUCAAUAAGGAAGAUCAAUUAUAGUACAAAGUUAAAUCUUAGGAGAUAUUACAUCUUUAUAAAAAAAAAAUUGAAUUAGUACGAGUUCAUUUAAUUCAAUAAUUAAAUUCAUUUUGUUCAAAAAAUUAUGCACUUUCAAUUUAAAGAUAGAAUUAAAUAAUAUACUUUACAUACUUAAAUUAUAAACAAACAUUUUACUCUGACUCAUUGAUAAUAACAUUGUGCCCAAAUAGUAGAACUUACAUUAGGUGGUUAGUCUCACUUUGUGCCUUUUACCAAUGGACAAAAUGAUUUAUAAUCAAUGAUAUACCAAAGGCUAAUAACACCCUUAUUAGCUAGACUUACAUUAUAUCACUAUCCUCACCAAAGGUAACGCAGGUCAACAACUUUUCUCUUAAACCAAUAUAAUAAAUUAAAUGAUAAAAUUCAUUUGCAUAACAAUAAACAAAUCAUAUGAUAUUCCCAAUUUAUUUUAUAAACUAAGGAACAAAUCAUAACAUUUUUAGUAAAAUAUUAUUUGAUCCACUUUAAGGAACUUAAACAUUUUGAUAGUUUAAAAAUAGAUGAAAAAAAAUAAGAAAUUAUAAAAUGGUUUACUAUACUAUUAACCAUUACCUUGAAGAAAUCAUUCAAAAUUCUGAAAGACUUAAUCUACACCUAAUAUAAAUAUAAAUAAAAAAUAAUUAUUAAAGAUUAAUUAUCUAAAUUAAUGUCUUCCUAAUUCUUUUGUAAAAAUUACUUUAAUUCCAAACCCUUUUCUAAAGUUCUAUUUUUUUUAAUUGAAUUUUUUAUUAACCAUAUUAUUAUUAUUAUCAUUUUCACUUCCCAUAAUUACAUUAAUGGGUAUUCUUGAAUUAUUAAUGUUAAUAUUCCUUCUUCUUUUUUUCAUGGUAGGAAGUAGGUAAUUAUUUAUUAAUUUACUACUAUUUUUACUUAUCUCCUACCCACAACCCAAAUCUUAUUAUUACUUUAUUAUUUCUUUGCCACAACCACUUUCCUCAUUUCCUCAAUUCUUCUUCCUAUUAAUCUAAUGAAGCAAAUAAAAAAGUUUCUUCUUUCUAACCCUUCGAACCAAACUUCUCUACAGACCUUUCUCUUGUUUCUUUUUCCUCAAUAUUUUAUAAUUUCAAAUUUUAAUAAUGUGGAGAAAUCAAUGGAAUUUAGGGGUGAAUUAUACUUUUAUCGCUAAAAAUAACUUUUAUUGAUGGAAUUUUAGAUGUUGUCAAUGUUGCCAAUUUUUUUAAAAAAAAUUUCUGACGAGUUUGAAAAUUUCAUCACUAAAAGACAUAAUGGGAAAAUUUUGGCGUCGUCAUUUUUUUGGCACAAACACUUUUGUGAUAGAAAAAACCUAUUUUCUCACAAAAGUAUUUGUCACUAAUUACAAUUUUUGGUGACUAAAAGUUAUAACUUUAUAUAUAUAUAUAUAUAUAUAUGCUUGCAAAAUGGUUUCAUUAAGUGGUUGUAUUAUUUCUUGAAAAAUUUGGUAAUUUUAUCGUUAUUGAAUUGUGAUAUUAAUAAGUAAUAUUGAUAAAUAACUAGAUGAUUUAUAUUGUGAAAUAACAUAUGUAUUUUUUUAGACUUAAGAUUUAUACUAUAAUAUUUUAUUUCUAUUAAUAAUAAAAAAAUAAUUACAGAUCCAUAAAAUGAAAUACUACAAUACAGAUUUAUUUAAAUUUAAAUGUUUUGUAAUGUAAUAAUAGUAUUGUUAUGAAAUAAUAAAAAGGUAAAUUAUUUGAGCAGUUAAUAUUUAUAUUGUAAUAUGUUACUUAUAUUUUUUUAUAUAAAUAAUAACAACAAAUAAUUCAAGACAUGUAAGAUUAUUUCAUAUAAUAUAAAUUUAUUUAAAUUUCAAUAUUAUUAUAUGAUGUUACCCAAAUAUAAAUAAUACUAAAUGAUUUUUAUUAUACUCGGUAAAACUUAUCUAUAAAACUCUAAAAUAGUAUUGAAUUUAAGUUAGUUAUGAAGAAGUUAUAGUCCACUAAUUUGUUCUCAUUCAAAAUCAUACCUUGUCAACUUAAGAAGUAAACUUAUACUAACUUUAAUUACAUAUUUUAAAAUAAUAGAGUUUUUUUUUUAAUUAUUACUUGGUUUUUAAAUAAUUGUUCAAAAUGGAGUUUAUCAAAUGUAAAUAUUAUUUAAAAAAUUUGGUACAUCCUUUACAAAAUUUGGUACAUCCUUCACAAAAUUUGGUGCAUCCAAUCCUUGAGCUAUCGAGACCCCUAUUUAAUUACCCAUGGUCCGUUUAUUCCUUUAGGGAUCUUUGUGAAGUGAUUAGAGGUCAAUCCUUAGCUACUUCGAAACAAACUUUGGAAUCCUAGGUACAUCCUUACGAAAAUUUGUUACAUUCAAUCCUUGAGCUAAUGGGACACCUAUCUCUUUUCUCAUGGUCCAUUUAUUCAUUUGGAGACCCUCGGAAAGUGAUUGAAGGUCAUUCCCCACCUUAAAACUAACUUCAACUCCCAUAGUACAUCCUUUACAAAAUUUGGUACAUCCUUUAUAAAAUUUGGUACAUCAUUCACAAAAUUUGGUACAUCCUUAAAACAAUUUGGUACAUCUAAUCCUUGAGCUAUCAGGAUCCCUAUCUUAUUACUCAUGGUUCGUUUAUUCCUUUAGAGAUCUUUGGGAAAUGAUUGGAGGUUGUUCCCUAGUCCGAAACAAACUUUGGAACCCUAGGUACACCCUUAAGAAAAUUUGAUAUAUCUAAUCCUUGGGAUAACGAGACACUUAUCUCCCUUCUCAUGGUCCAUUUAUUCCUUUGGAGACCCCCAAGAAGUGAUUUAAGGUCGUUCCCACCUCAGAAUAGACUUUGGCACCCUUGGUACAUCAUUUACAAAAUUUGGUACAUUCUUCACAAAAUUUGGCACACUCUUCAUAAAAUUUGGUACAUCCUUAAAAAAUUUUGGUACAUCUAAUUCUUGAGAAACUAAGACCUCUAUCUUAUUACCCAUGGUCUGCUUAUUCCUUUAAGAAUCUUUGGGAAGUGAUUAGAGGUCAUUCUCUACUCUGGAAUGAACUUUGGAACCCUAGGUACAUCCUUAAGAAAAUUUGGUACAUUCAAUCCUCGAGCUAUUGGGACACCUACCUCCAUUCUCAUGGUCCAUUUGUUCAUUUAGGAACACUUAGGAAGUAAUUGGAGGUCGUUCCCUACUCUGGAAUGAAUUGUGGAACCUUAGGUACACCUUUAACAAAUUUUUGUAUUUUUAUGGUUAUGUAAUGGUUUGAUGUUGUUGAUCAAAAUGAGGUGGUUGAGUCACAAUUUAUAAUCAUCAAGGGAAAAGAAAUUGUGUUUAUUCAUGACCAGAUGAAAAUGAAUAACAAAUGGAAUUAUUGUCACUUUUAAUGGUAUUAUAUUAUGAAUCAUUUGAAUAGUUUUCUUAAACAAUUUGUCAAUUCCAAAUGGAUUAUAGCUGAAUUGAAAAAUGAAGGAAUAUAGUUGUAGAAAAGAAGGGUUGAAUUUUUGUGGGCAUUAUGGAAGAAAGAAGUCAAACCUUAUAUGAAAAACAGAUUGUUAACACUAGGCAUAAUAGUGGACGACCUUUUCAUGUAGGGGCUAACCCUUUUUAGCUUAUAACCCUUAGUCAUAAUAUUAGUUUUGCUUGAAGUGGUUAGUAACAAAAAUAAGGGUCGACCCUUUAGUUCAUAGGCAAUCCCAUCGUGUUUUUAAUAUUGGUUUUGUUUUAUGUUGGCGGUAGGCAAAACAAAGUUUGGCCCAUUGUUUAAUAGGUAAGCCUUUGAAUAUGGACAUUAUAACCUUAGAACAUGGACAGUGAGGAAAAUAGUGGUCAGCCCAUGUAUUCAGAGGUAGAGCCUGAACUUAUAUUACAUAUCAAAUAAGUACCUAACAAAUAAAUAAAUAAAAGUAAAUGCAUUGUGUGAUGUUUGGUAUAGACAAUACAUUUCAAUAUUUAACACAUUAAUGUCACACCAUAAAGUGUUAAUGAAACGAACUUGGAUUGUUCAUAAUCUGAAUGAGACAUUAAUAUAUGAUGACUAUAUAUGUGAUCGUGACAAUUGUUAUAAGUAAUUAGUUUUGACAGGGUUAUUUACAAAUAUAUAUUUAAACAACUAAAUACCUAAUGAGGUCUAAGUGUGAGAAUAAAAUAAUUUAUGCUUGUUUUGUAAAUGUUGAAAGUAUUUUUGUGAUGAAUAUGUAUUAUUGGAAAUAUUUACGAACAUGCCUAGCUUAUUGAUAUGUGUGUAUGUGUGUGUGUGUGUGUGUGUGUGUGUGUGUAUUAAAAAAGUAAAAUCAAUGAUGUUCAUCCUUUCCUCGUAAGAAUAUACGUUGGGUUCCGAAGUCCAUUUUAGGGUAGGGAAUAACCUCCAAUCAAUUCUCAAGGGUCUUUAAAGGAAUAAACCAACCAUGGCUAAUAAGAUAGGGGUCCCGAUAGCUCAAGGAUUGGAUGUACCAAAUUUUGUGAAAAAUGUUACAAAUUUUGUAAAUGAAAUACCAAAUUUUAUAAAGAAUGAACCAAGGGUGCCAAAGUCCGUUUUGAGGUGAGGAACGACCUCCAAUCACUUCUGAAGGGUCUCCAAAGGAAUAAAUGGACCAUGUGAAGGGAGAUAGGUGUCUCAUUAGCCCAAGGAUGGGAUGUAUCAAAUUUUCUUAAGGAUGUACCUAGGAUUCCAAAGUCCGUUUUGGAGUAGGGAAUGACCUCCUAUCACUUCCCAAAGAUCCCUAAAGGAAGAAAUAGACCAUGGGUAAUAAAAUAGGGGUCCCAAUAGCUUAAGGAUUGGAUGUACCAAAUUUUUUAAAGCAUGUUCCAAGGGUGCCAAAAUCCAUUCCAAGGUUGAGAACGACCUCCAAUCACUUUCUAAGAGUCUCCAAAUGAAUAAAUGGACCAUAGGAAAGGAGAUAGGUGUCCCGUUAGCUCAAGGAUUAGAUGUAACAAAUUUUCUUAAGGAUGUACCUAGGGUUCUAAAGUUUGUUUUGAAGUAAGGAGCAACCUCCAAUCACUUCCCAAAGAUCCUUAAAGGAAUAAACAAACCAUGGAUAAUAAGAUAGGGGUCUCGAUAGUUCAAGAAUUGGAUGUACCAAUUUUUUUUUAAGGAUGAACCAAAUUCUGUGAACGAUGUACCAAAUUUUGUAAAUGAUGAACCAAAGUUGCCAAAGUCUAUUAUGAUUAGGGGGUCAUUCAGUCACUUUUCGAGGGUCGGCCUCUAAAGGAAUAAAUAGACCAUGGGAAGUGAUAUAGGUGUCCCUUUAGCUUAAAGAUUGGAUGUACCAAAUUUUCUUAAGGAUGUACCUGUGGUUCAAAAGUCCAUUUCAGAGUAAGGAUCAACCUCUAAUCACUUCCCAGAGAUCCCUAAAGGAAAAAAUAGAUCAUGGGUAAUAAGAUAGCGGUCCUUAUAGUUCAAGGCUUGGAUGUACCAAAUUUUUUUAAGGAUGUACCAAAUUUUGUGAAGGAUGUACAAAAUUUUGUAAAGGAUGUACAAAAUUUUGUAAAGGAUGUAUCAAGGGUGCCAAAGUCCAUUUUGAGGUUGGGAACGACCUCUAAUCACUUCCUGAGGGUCUCCAAAGGUAUAAACAACCUCCAUCUAUACUAAGGUAGGAAACGACAUAUAAUGACUUCCCAGGAGUUCCUAAAUGAACAAAUGAACCAUGGGAAGGGAGAUAAGGGUUCCAAUAGCCCAAGGAUUGGAUGUACCAAAUUUUCUUAGGGAUGUACCUAGGGUUCCAAAGUCUAUUUAGAGGUGAGGAAUGGCCUCCAAUUACUUCUCAAUGGUCCCCAAAUGAUGAAAUGACAUAAGGGUCCCAAUAGCCUGAUGAUUGGAUGUACUAAUUUUUAUUAUGGAUGUAAUUAGGGUUCCAAUGUUAGUUUCAAGGUGGGGAAUGGCCUUUAAUUACUUCCUGAUGAUCAGAUAUACCAAAAUUUCUUAAAGAUGUAUCUAGGGUUCAAAAGUCAGUUUUGGGGUGAGAAAUAACCUCCAAUUACUUCCUAAUGGUCCCUAAAUGAGCAAAUAAACCUUGGGAAGAGAGAUAGAGGUCUCAAUAGCCCAAGGAUUGGAUGUACCAAAUUUAUAUAAGGAUAUAUCUAGGGUUCCAAAGUCUAUUUUAAGGUAGGAAACGACAAGGGUCCUCAAAAGAUCAAAUGGACCAUGGGAAUGGAUAUAUGGGUCCUGGUAGCCCAAGGAUCGGAUAUACCAAAUUUUCUAAAGGUUAUACCUAGGAUUCCAAACUCCAUUCCGAGAUGGGAAACAACCUCCAAUCCUUUCCUAAAGGUCUCCAAAAGAAUAUAUGGACCAUGAGAAGAGAUAUAGGGAUUUUGAUUUCCCUAGGAUUGGAUGUAUCUAUUUUUGUUAAGGAUGUACCUAGGGUUUCAACAUUCGUUUUAGGAUGCAGAAGGACCUCCAAUCACUUAUCAAAGGUCCCCAAAGGAAUAUAUAGACCAUGAUAAGGGAGAUAGGGAUCCUUAUUCCCUUAGGAAUGGAUGCACCUAUUUUUCUUAUGGUUGUACCUAUUUUUUAUGAAAUUAAUAUAAAAGGUUAACUACAAUUUUUUUAGUGAAAAAUAUACUUUCUUUUAUAUUUUAUUUUAAUUAAAAAUUAAAUAUUUUAAUGAAAAAAAAAAAAGAUCCAUGAUCAAGGUAAAACCAUAAAAAUAAAAAAUAAGGAUAAAAGAAUCAUCACUUACUAUGAUUUUGAUAUGAUAAAUUUAAAAUAAAAUAAAAAUAAAAAUAAUAUAAAUAAUAAAAUAGUAUUACAAAUAUAUUUUUACUUUUAUGUGUGAUAUGAUUUAUAAAAUAAAUAAAUCUUUUAUUUAGCAUUAAUAUAACAAAUCUUAUAUCAUAAACCUAUAAAUAAUAAAAUAUAAUUUUUAAGUUUAAUCCUUGAUUUAUUAAAUGUAUUACUAUAAUUAAUAUUUAAAAUCAUCAAGUAUAUUAUUUGUGGAAUAAUAUUUUCAUUUUUGUCCAUUAUAUAUUUAUGUUUUUAUUUAACUUGUUAUAUUAACUAUUUAUUAUAUAUUAUUAUUUUAAAGUUAAUAUGUCCAAAAAAUAAUUAAAAUCAAUAAAUUUGGACAUAUUAGAGAGUUAAAAAAAAAUUGAAGAAGUUUUAUGAGAUAAUACAGAGAAAAAAAUAGUUAUUGGUGUACUUGACAACAACAUUUAAUGUGGUAAGUGUACUUGCCCUCAACUUUUGAGGGUGAUUUUGCAACAAAUUCAUAAGCACUAUUGGAGUGCAUGAAUUGGUAAAAAAAAAUUUCAUUUUACAUUAAAAUUGAAAAAGUAAAAGCACAAUUCUAAAAACCAUAUUUUUUUUAAUUUGUGAUGUACAAAGCAUGAUUAUCCCAAUUUUAAAUAAUACAAAAAUCAUAAAUUUUUAAUUUUAAUUUGUAAAUUUUAAUGUUUAAUUUUUUUAAUUUCUAAAUUUUAAAUAAUAUAAAACUAAUGGCAUGAUGAAGUGCAUUAAAUGUGUUGUAGUAGCAUGUUGUAUUUUUGUAGCAGAUAUGACAUAGAUGGAGUUGUGUGGAGUGUUGUUUGGGAAAAAAAGAUGAAAAAAAAAAUUCUCAGACCCUCACCUAGUCAAGCACCAUUGCAAGUUUGAAAAAAAAAAACCCAUUUUUAAAAAGGGAGAAAACCACCAUCGCAAACAAUGGCUCACCAUAUUUGUACCUGAUGCCAUAUCAUCUUCAACCUUUCAUCAUUUUCACCACCAACCCAGCUACCUUCUUGAAAAGUCAUUUUACAAGUGCCAAUCAUACCCACCAUUCUCCAUGACACAUCUGUAUCUGAUAAUAAUUGUGAAAAUGGGCCAUUUGAUUAAGCAAAUCACUAAAGGGGGGGAAGAGAUGAAUUAAGUGUUAUAUUUUUUAUUUUAUUUUUUCAAAAACAACCAAUUAAUAACAAAAAGAAUAAGAGAUGUUAACUAAGGCAAUAAUUAAGUAAAAGAUAAAGAGAAGAUAUAUGCAAACUCUUUUAUAGUGGUUCAAAAAUCCACAUAUAUCCAUUGUUUUUAACCUCCUAAGUAAGUGAGGGUUCCACUAUCAAAGGCCUUCAACCUAAGCCUUCAAGCUUUAUAUUUGGAUUCAUGGGCUUCAAUGGACACUCACAAUCCUUUCAAAUACUUCACCCACUUGAAGUCUCUUCACUCAAAAUGAGUAAAUAAGGAAAGUUCUAAUGCUUUCUAUUAAGACAUUGAGUCUUAUUUAUAUGUUGGAAAUUUUCUUUUUAUUUUAUGUUUCAUCAUAGAAGUCUUUUUAGAUAGUGGCUUGCUCCCCAUUGAAGAUCAAGGGUGGUUGUUCGUCCAACCAAGAAGUCAUAGGUAUAUUUAAAAAGGUUUGACUUGUUGCAUAUAAGGCUUCUUUGAGGUAUAAAAGGUUCAGUAUCAUUUUUGGACAUAGAAUGUUUUAAAAUGAUUUUUCAAAAGAAGUAGGGGCUGCUCAAGUGGAAAGGACCACUCAACCAGUUAGCCUGCUCAAGUGGUAAGGAUCGCUCAAGUAGUCUAAGUCUACUCAAGCGGUCAUAACAGUCCUGCCAAGUUUAGACACAAAUUUUGGAUGAAUUUCACUCAAACUCUAGUUUGAAAACUUAAGAUAUUGAAACCAUUUGGGCUAUAACUACUUUCUUAAUAACCCCUUAAGGGUUAGGGAUCAAAGAUUGAAGAGAUCUUAGAUAUUAAAAUACUUUCAUUCUUAAAAAAAGGGACUCCUUGAGAGAAAGUCUAAAUUGCUAUAUCAUUCAUGAUUUCUCAUUCAAGGAUUUGAAUCUUUAAAUCGUGGGUUGAAGACCAUAAUUCCUUAGAAGUGGCAAAAAGAUCUACUAGGGAGAAAUAGGAAGUUGCUAUGUCACAAACGUGGAUUAAGUUGUAGGUGUUGAAGAGUAAGUCUUUAGGGUAAAGCAACCAAGUAAAUUUGUGUAACUUGAUUUCGAAUAGUGGAUUUAGAUUGGUAGGUCUUAGAUCUUGUGGUUUUUUUUCUCCAUAGUUUGUGAAUCUUAUGCCUCAUUGUCUAUAUUUUUUAUAUUUGAUAUUAUGUUUGUAGGGUUUUCAUAAAAGGUGCAUAUCUAUAUAUUCUUGCUUAGAUUUUAUUUGAUUAAGUUUGACUGAUUUCUUGGGAUUGUUAUUGAGGUUAUUAGGGUUGUUAUCUUGGUGGUUAUGAUUGUUAUCCUUAUAAUUAAUUAUUAUUAUCCCUAACAUCUCUCAGGAUAUCCUUUGGAUAUUAAUAAUUAAUUUAUAUUAUCCCAAAUAAUCUUUGGAUAUCAAUUAACCAUAAAAAUCAAGUUUUACCAUUCUAAAUUUGAGGUGAACUCAUUUUUUAAUAUCCAAGAUAACCUUGAAAAUUUCUUAGAUGUAUAAAAAUUUGAUAUAACAUAUAAAUCUUUAUUUAAAAUUUUAAAUCACCCAUUCAUCCCACCUUUGGAUGUUCGUUAUUGGACAUUCAGUUGUUAUUCAAGUGAUAUUAAAGCAAUACCCACUUUUCAAUUGGUAUUAGAGUGGAAUAAAUAAUCGAUUCUUUAUCCUAUUGAUUAAAAAUCCAAUUUUUAUUGAUCAGAUGGUUUAAAAAUCAAUUUUUUAUUAUUCAAAUAGGAUAAAAAUCAAAAUUUUAUUGAUUCUAUAUGUCUAAUGUGGAACAAUAAAAAAAUGGUGCUCCUUUGAAUAGUCCACCUUAUUUUGAUGGGAAUAAUUACUCCUAUUGGAAAGCACGAAUGAUGUUUUUCCUCAAAAUGCAAGGUGAAAGGGUGUGAAACUUAAUUGAAUAUGGUUGGGGACUACCAUUAAUCCUUGAUACUCAAGGAAGAUCAAUAGGUGAACUUAAACCUAAAAAAGAAUGAGACAAAGCCGAUAAUGAAUGUAGUGAAGCCAAUACUAGGGCUUUAUUUAAUAUUUGUAAUGGAGUUUGUCCAUAUAGGUUUUGCAGGAUAGCUAAUUGCAAACAUGAAAAUGAAGCAUGGGAUAUUCUUCAAGUCACUUGUGAAAGCACGUCCUCUGUAAAGAUUUCUAAAUUACAAAUGCUUGUUACUAGGUUUGAAAAUAUUAGGACGCAUGAAAAUCAAACUUUUUCUUCCUUUUAUUUUGAAUUAAGUGAUAUUGUAAAUUCUUCGUUUAAACUUAGAGAACUUAUUCCUAAUUCUAAGGUAGUUAGGAAAAUAUUAAGAUCUUUUCUAGAGAAAUUUAGACCUAAGGUAACUACCAUAGGGGAGAGUAAGGACAUUGAUUUCGUGAGUUGAUGAACUUGUAGGCUCCAUUCAAAUUAAUUUGCUUUUAGAUUUCAGAUUGAUUGUUUUUUUUUCUAAAAAAAACAUUUAAAAAAUUUUUUGACUAAACAAAAAAAGUCAAAAUAUUUAAUUUUUUUUAAUGAUAAAAGUAACAUAUUGAUUUUUCGUCUGAGUGGUACAACCUAGAUGGAUGGAAUUGGAGAUAUGCUUGAAGUGAGUUUGAAAUGUUGGGUUAUGUCUGUCCAGCCCAUGAGCCCAUAUAUUUGACUAUUUUAUAUUUGGAUAUUCCCUAAGCCCAAAUAUGGAUAUAUGAAUAGCAUUAUGGCUUUGGUAUUAUGAGAAAAGGGCAUUUGAUUGAGAAAAUGAAAGAAGAUCGGGGUUUAUUUUCUAGGCACUAUUCUAGGGCUCAAGGGUGAAGUUAUAGGUUCCUUUCAUCAACCUUUUAGGGAAAUCCUAUGGUAUGUUUUCUCCUUAUUUCUUUUUGUUCAUGUUUCCUAGGAUGAUGGAUUCUCACCUCAAGUAUUUAGUUAUUUAUAUAAGUUCUCAAGGAGAAGAAACCUGAGGACUUAAUUAUUGUAUCCCCAUUUAUUAAAGUGGAAGAAAUUUUCUCUGUGGUUUUUUUACCUCAAUUUGAAGGGUUUUUCCAUGUUAUAUUUGGUGUCCUCUUUUUGGUUUAAUGUUCUUGAUUACCAUUCUUGAUUCUUGUUAGGUUGUUAUUAUUCUUGAGAAUGUUAUUAUUAUUCUUGAGAAGGUGGUUAUUAUUGUUCAGUGAUUGUUAUUAUUGUGGAGGAAUCUUUUAAUCUUGACAAGUUAAUACUCUAGAUAUCUCUCUUUAUCUUCCCAACAAGUGGUAAUAGAGCUUGGUUGUGGGAACUUUUAUUCUUUAAAGGGAUGAAGAUAGAAGGGAAUUCAACCUCCAUGAUAAAACUUAACAAUUCAAAUUGGGUUAUAUGGAAGUCCAUGAUGGAAGAUUUUCUAACCAUCAAAGAUUUGUUAGAUACUCUUGAGGGUGAAGAAUCUAAGCCCAAAGAUAUUUCUUAUUUGGAAUGGAAUAAGAUGAAGAAAAAGAUAAUUGCCUCUAUUAGGCAAUGGAUUGACACAUCCUCACGUCAUCAUGUGGCAAAUGAAAUAAAUGCCUAUAAUCUCUGGAAGAAAUUGGAAUCAGUGUUUGAAUAAAAAACUAUUGGGAAUAAAAUUUUCUUGGUAAAGAGUUAGUGAAUAUGAAGCUAAAGGAAGGAACACUAAUGAUAGAUCACUUGAAUGCUUUUCAGAGCAUUGUUAAUCAAUUGGAUGCUAUGAAAAUGGUAAUAGAUGAUGAGAUGCAAGCAUUUUUAUUAUUGUGUUCAUUACCAGACAAUUAGGAAACUUUUGUUGUGACUAUUAGCAACUCUGUUUCGAAUGGUGCAUUAUGUAUGGAGCUUGUGAAGGGAAAUUUGUUCAAUGAAGAGACAAUAAGAAAGGCUUAUGAGAUAGAAAAUGCAUAGACCCUCAUCAUAGAAAGUAAAGGAGGAAAUAGGAAUAGAUGACAGAAAGGUUAUAUCAAAUUUGAGGGAAGGUCCCAAUCUAGAAAUAAAAUCAAAUUUUUUCUUUGUGGAAAAGAUGGGCAUAUGAAAAGGAAUUGUCGAAUUUGGAAAAGAGAACAAAAUAAGCAGAAUUAGGGAAAAGAAGAUGACAAGAAUACCACAGCCUUUGUAUCCAACAGUGAUGAAGUUUUAGUGCUCUCAGAUGAGUGUUUGCAUGUAGAUGAGUAACGAGUUGAGUGGAUUAUAGAUAUCGCAACCUCCUACCAUGCUACUCCUCACUUGGAGUUGCUUUCUUAUUAAAGAGUUGGAGACUUUGGCAUAGUCAAGAUGGGAAACUCUUGUCACUCCAAGAUUGUAGGGAUGGGUGAUGUUUUCUUUGAAACUAACAUAAGGUGCAAGUUGACAUUGAAAUAUAUAAGGCAUGUUCUAGAUUUACGCCUUAAUGUGGUACUUUGUCACUUUUAUUGAUGAUGCUACCAAGAAGGUAUGGAUUUAUUUUCUUAGAUAAAAAAAAUCAAGUCAUUCAGUAUUUUCUAUAGUUUCAUGUCAUGGUUGAGAGAAAGACUAGAAGGAAACUGAAGUGUCUCAGAUCGAUAAUGGAGGUGAGUACACCUCAAGGGAGUUUGAAACUUACGGCACUAGGAAUGGUAUAAAGCAUGAGAAAAUUGUUCCUAGCACUCCAUAACAUAAUGGUUUGGCUGAAAUGAUGAAUUGCACCAUCAUUGAGAGGGUUAGGUGUAUGCUGAAGACUACAAGCUUGUCUAAGGCAUUUUGGGGUGAAGCUACUCAGACUGCCUGCUAUUUGAUAAAUAGAUCUCCAUCAGGUCCAUUGAACUUUAAGGUUCCAAAUAAGGAAUGGACAAGAAAAGAUGGUUCCUGUUCCCACUUGAGGGUCUUUGGAUGUAAAUGUUUUGUGCAUGUUCCCAAAAAACAGAGAUCCAAACUUGAUGAUAAGGCAAUUCCACAUGUCUUUAUUGGGUAUGGUGAUGAAGAGUUUGGAUUUAGAUUGUGGGAUCUAACCAAGAAGAAAUUGGUGAGAAGUAAAGAUGUGGUGUUCCAAGAUGAUCAAACCUUGGGAGAUUUUAACAAAGCUAAUCAAUCUAAAGGUACAAGUGAUGACUUCAUUGAGUUGAUACCUAUUCUUCUAUCAUUAGAGUUAGAAUUUAUAGGAUCAAUUCAUGCAAAAAUAAAAUUGGGCCUUUGUGGGAGCCCAACAUCCAUGAUAUUUUCCUUCACAAUAACCCAAGUGAAAUGCAGGUUAGGUAUUUAUUGACUUUGAUCCGAUUCAUGAAGUGUGUGAGAUUAUUUUCUAUGGUACACUAAUCUUUUUCCUUUGAGGCACUUUUCUUGUUGCAUAGGUAUGCUCUUAUCUCUACCUUGUCUAUUUAUUUAGUCCUCAUUAUCAUGCAUGAUUUGUUUUAGUCCAUGACUCUUGCUCCUUGGUAUCCAACAAUUAACUAGUCAAUUGGCAUACUUGCUUUAACUUGAUUAGUAGAUACCUGAUUUUAGGGCUUAGAGGUGUGCAAUGACUUAUCAUCAUACCUUCCUGAUAGGUAACUUGACCCCCGAAUCCUAACUCGGUUUUCACAAACUUCUUUUUCCCUUAUAAGAGUCACAAUUAGGGUUUUCUUUCUUAUUUUGUUUUCAUUUCUUAAAAAUAAUAAACAAUAACAAGUGACUCCAAGUUUUUUCCUAAAAAUCAAAAUUUUCACAAAUAAAAAGCAAGUCUUGGUAUCGAGUGGAAAUGCAUGUGAAAAAUACGAGUUCAUAAGAUCCUAUACUGGGGCAUAUUUCCUGACUUUGAGCUUAUAUUCAUAUCAUAUUCAAUUGGGACUUCAUUAGGGACAUGCUUCUAUUCUUGAGACUAUCAAACCUCUUGUCAUUUUGGUCAUACUUUUGAGAUUUAAUUUGGAGUAUUUCCUUUCAGACAUUGACAAAUUUAAAUUUUGAUUUCUUAGUGCAUUAUCAUUAAGUUAGAGACAUCAUGAUUACCAUAGUUUCUUCAGGAGUAUCUUUACCCAAUCAAAUAAAUGAGGAUGUUUAUGCUUUUAGUGUAGUUGAUGAGUUUAGUUUCUUCUCAUAAACAAAUUUUCUUAAGAAAUAUGUUGAUAUCUCAUUAGUGAGUUUAGGUUGAUGUCAUCUUAUUGAAAGCAUUUGAUCAGCAUCUUAUUUUUUCUCAGUUGAGCAUCUCAUAUGUCAUUUUGGCAAUUGUAGUUUAAGUGUUAGACAAAGUUUUGAUAUGACUCUUGUUGUUAUGAUAGAGUUUCAAGUGAUAUAAUGACUUUUCAAUAUAGGAUCAUAUUUUUUUAUUCACUUUCAGGACACUUUUGAGACAAGCAAAGUUUGACCUUGUUGAUGGUUGAUUGUUAUUUGAUAUUAGGACAUACCUUUUUGCAAUUUUACCUUGGUGGAUGAUUUGUCAAUUUUAUCCUUGCACAUUGGGGCAUACCCCUUUCAUUGAGAUUAUACAAUCUUUCGUUGACUUUGUGGCCUCUUGAUUCAUUUGCUAAUUCCUAUGAGUUAUCAUAUUAGGCUUGUCCUCAUUUCUUUUGUUCUCACUUAUGUUAGGUAUUCUCAGUUGCAAUCCUUGUACUCACCCUUCUUUCAAUUUGUUUAGGCACACCCCUUUGAUGAGCAUAUUUAUGGCAUCCUUUCAAUUUGGUUUCCUUUGAGCAUCAUCUAGGGCAUACCCCUUUCAUAGCCUAAAGUUGUUCAUCAUAUCUCAAUUUAGAGUUUAUUAUCAUUUUAGUUUCAUUUGUGGCAUUCCUUUUAUUUCGAUUUCAUUUGUUGCAUUCUUAUCUUUGAGUAUCAUUUAUGGCAUACCCUCUUCUUUUCAAUGAGUUGAUCAUUUAUAUUUUUAGUCAUCCUUUAGUGGUUCAACUUGGAGUCACAAAUCAUGAUUUCCCUUAGGCAUUUAGAAUCCACAACUCCUCUCUUUGAGUAUCAUCUAAGGCAUACCCUCUUCUAUUUAGUGAGUUGAUCAUCCUUAUCUUAGUCACUCUUAGUGGUUUAACUUGGAGUUGCAAAUCAUGAUCUCUCUUAGGCGUUUAAAGCCCAUAGCCUAGAGUUGUUCAUUUUAUCUUAGUCAAGAGUUUAUUAUCUUACAUUUUUCAUUUACAACAUUCCUUCAUUCCAGUUUUGUUUAUGGCAUUCCUCUUUGAGUAUUAUUUAGGGCAUACCCUCUUUUAUUUAGUGAGUUGAUCAUCCUUAUCUUAGUUAACCUUAGUGGUUCAACUUGGAGUCAUGGAUCAUGAUCUCCCUUAAGCGUUCAAAGCCCACAGCUUGGAGCUAUUCAUUAUAUCUUAGUUCAAAGUUUAUUAUUAUUUUUGUUUCGGUUAUGGCAUUCUUUCAUUUUGAUUUUGUUUAUAGCAUCCUUAUCUUUGAGUAUCAUAUGGGGUAUACCCCAUUUUUUUCAGUGAGUUGUUCAUCCUUAUCUUUAGUCACCCUUCAGUGGUUCGACUUGGAGUUGCAGAUUGCAAUCUCCCUUAGGUGUCACUAUAAGAAAUUUUACUUUUCCUGACUAAUAUACAUAGUUGAAAUAAACAUUUACUAACGGAUAAUCUCGACGCAUGGUAGUUAGAGAAAGGUGUGUUGGCAAAAGUUUAUUGAUGGGAAUUUUUCGUUGCCAGUAAAAAAAAAUUAGCAAUAAACUAUCCAAUGGAUUUGGACCAUUGCUAUUACCAACAAAUUAAGUUGGUGGGGAAAUGUAAAUAAUUAAAUAUUUUAGAAUGUCAUUUAAUCUCGAUUUCAUUAUAUUCAACAUAGAGCACCUUGUUACACUCCUUGCUAGUUUUCGAUAUUUACUUGGUUGUUGGCUAACCACAACACUCUUUGCUAGUUUUGGAUAUUGACUUGGAUGCUUUUUUUUUUUUUCCUGGAAUUGAACUCAUGACGCCAAGUUUGAAAGGAAGAAACUAUGCCAUCAAGCCAACUUUGUUAUUUGCAAGAUAAAGAAUAGAUAUAAGAUUCAUAAGUGUAAAUAUCCUAUACUUACACGUUUAUAUUAUAAAUAUUAUCUAUAUAUAAAUACAUAUUAUAAAUUAUAUAUGCAUGAAUUAAUAUUAAUGCAUAUAUGUGUAUAUAUAUAUAUAUAUAUAGAUAGAUAGAUAAUAAAUUAAUUAAAAUAAAAUUAUCAACAUUUUAAAUAAAAAAUACUUACACAUGCAUUAUCGUUUUUUAUUUUAUAUUAUUGAGUACAUUCAAAUUAGAUAAAUCUCUAUAAAAUGUAUUUUAAAAUUCUAAAUAUUAUUAUUGGACGUCACAAAUUAUAUUAUACAUAUACUAAUUUCUUUAAUAAAACAACCUCAAAAUUUCUAUUAUUACUUUUUAUACCAUUUAUUUACAUUUUUUCUCAACAUUUUCAUAAGUUUUGAUCAAUUUUCAUCUCAUCGAUGUUUUGUGUCAGAAUAUCCAUCAAUAUUUCCAGAUAUACACUUCAAAACCAAUAUAUAUAUAUAUAUAUAUAUAUAUGGAUAAUAAUAAUAAUAAUAAUAAUAAUAAUAAUAAUAAUAAAGUAGUUAAAAAUUAUUAAAAUGUUAAAACUAUUAUGAUUAUAAAAUAUAUAUAUAUAUGUUCUCUAUAAAUAUUUUAUGAAACUAAAAAAAAAAAAAAUCAUAAAAUUGUUUUGUCAUUGGCUAGAUCAUAUUUAUCAUAUAACUAUGGUAAAAAGAUUUCAUAUUCAUAAGACAACAAUUAUGUGAGGUAUUAUUAUUGACUAUAAUAACACUAUUUUAGUGACUAGUAAUUUUUAUAGAAAAAUUGUUUAUGAAAUUUCAUUUUUUUUUUACAAGUAAAUUGCUUUUGUGACAAAGUAUAUUAGUUGAGCAUUUACAACGGUUUAAAUCCAUCGCAAUAAUACUUUUCUGGACAAGUAUUUGUUGUUGCAAUUAUUGUUGGUAAAUAGUUGCAUAUAAGUGAUAGACAAUUCAAUUAGCAAUGGAAUAGGUGUGUUAGAAUUUUGUGAUAGCUUAAAUUUGUCGCAAAAGUAAAUAUAAAUGGAUCGACAAUACUUAAUUUUUUGGUAAUGUGUUUAGAGCCUACAACUCGAAGCUAUUCAUUAUAUCUUACUUUAAAGUUUAUUGUCAUUUUUGUUUCAUUUAUGGCAUUCCUUUAUUUCGAUUUUGUUUAUGGCAUCCUUAUCUUUGAGUAUCAUCUAAGGUAUACCACUUUCUUUUCAAUGAGUUGAUCAUCCUUAUCGUAGUCACCCUUAGUGGUUUGACUUGGAGUCAUGGAUCGUGAUCGUUUUUAGGCAUUCAAAGCCCAUAGCUUGGAGUUGUUCAUUAUAUCUUAGUUCAAAGUUUAUUAUCGUUUUCAUUUUGUUUGUGGCAUUCCUUCAUUUCAAAUUUUUUUGUUGCAUCCUUAUCUUUGUAUAUCAUUUGAUGUAUACCUCCUUCAUUGAGAUAAUUAGAUCUUCAUUUUCAUUCAGUUGAUCAUUCUUAUUUUAGUCACCUUUUAGAGGUUUGACUCAAAAUUGUGGAUUGCAAUCUUGAUCCCUUAGGCUAACACUACAGACGGUACUAUUCAUUACAUCCACAACCUUAAGUUGUUCAUUACAUCACAACCUUGAGCUGUUCAUUACAUCAACAACCCUAAGUUGUUUAUUGCAUCACAACUCUAAGUUGUUUAUUCUUGCACAAACUUGAGCCUUACAUUAUUUAGUCACCUUAGAGUGGUUUGUCUUGGAGUUUGCUUAUCGCAUUCUUCUUUUUGACCGAUUUUAGGGUGUUCAAAGCCCCCAUCUUUUAAGUGUUUAGAGCCUACAACCUUGAGUUGUUCAUUGCAUCACAACCUUAAGUUAUUCAUUGCAUCAUAACCUGAAGUUGUUCAUCAUUUUCAAUUAUCUUUGAGUUAUUUAACCUAGAUUUUGUGCACCACACUCCCCCUUUCAGCUAAAUUUUAGGCAUUCAAAGCCCACAUUUUUUAGUUAUUCAUUGCAUCACAACCCUAAGCUAUUCAUUAUAUCCACAACCCUUAGUUGUUCAUUGCAUAUACAUUCUCAAUACCUUGUCAUCUUUUGUAUGCAAAGUUAUUCUUUUACCUAGUUUAGUGAUCUUGAGUUCUGAGCUUACUGAAUCAUGUGAUAGGACAAAAUUUCUAGUCCCUUUUAGUUCUUCAGCAUAGUUCACUUCAUUCCACUCGUUACUCUUACUUCUAAUCCUAUUCCUUUCACUAGUGAUCUAUAUUAAAGAGGGGCAUAUUUGUAGAUCCCUCAUUUUGUCCUCCUAACACAUGUGAUACUUUAUGUUUUCCUAAGCUUCUCUCUUACCCUAUGGUUAUCCCUUAAUGACCCAUUAACACCCAUAUAGAUUUUUUUUUUCCUAAGCUACCUUUGGGGACACUUUGGUGAGGGGCUCAUUUGGACCCGCAAUGUGACUUUGACAGCUUCUCAAGUUAGUUUUUAGGUUAGACUUCACUUAGGCUUUGUUUCCAAGAUAACGUCACUUAGAUCUUUUUUAUACUAGGAUCACUUAGACACUUCACUAAGCUUAGUUCACUUAGGUUGGUUUGCUUGAGUUUGAUUGCUAGGUUUUAGGUUUAGGUGAGUUCUUGACUUGGGUUAAGUAUCAAUCUUUAGUUAUGUGAGUUCGACACAUUGAUUUUCUUAUUAUCUAUUACAUUAAGAUUAAUAUUUAGAUUUUGAUUGCAUGCGUUAAAUUUCUUUUCUUUUUGUUUUAUUUAUUUAUUUAUUUUAGAAAAUUUAUAUGAGACUAAUGUUAUGACUUUUAAUUGCUUGAAUUGAUGUUUGAUCUUAAAUAUGAAUACGAUUGACCUUUAAUUUUUAAUUGCAUAAUUUUGAUUUGCUUUAAUUUUCAAUUUCAUGACUUUUACUAAUUUUAAACUUUAUUUUAAUUUUACAUGAGAUUUGAAUGUAUACAUUGGAGAAGAUCCCUUAGCGUACACAAUUGCCCUUAUAAUAGGAUGAAGAUCAAGACACUUUGGAGAUCCUUUUUUAGUUGAAGUGAUACAACCUACAACCUACAUGUGAACAACAUGCACCCAUUAACCUUCUACAAGGUGCAUAGUCUACACAAAAGAAGACAUUUAUGCAACAUAGAUACAGGUUUCUUUCCUCAAAAAAGUGUAGGUUGUAUGACCCAAUCUAUAAGGAUAUAUGACCACUUUAGGGUCUCACCCAAAUGUUGAACCCUCCUAUUUAUUUUGGCAUAGACUCAAUAUCCUCUUAAGGUUAAGAGUCAAUGUAGUAUGGUAACUUGGUGAAUCAUGAUAAUCGAUAGCCUUGUGUCAUGAUUCACCAUAGACCUUGUCUAAUAUGCAUCAAAUACACUAGUGCACUCACCAUGGGAAACCCAUCCCGAUGGCCAAGACAAGCCACCCCUCCAAUUAGGAGGUGAUGCACUAGAGUCUUUACUGGAUUGCCCAAAUCCAUGAACCAACGGUGGACAACUUAUCUACUUACAAGGAACCCAUGACUUGUAUCUUUUGUGCAACUCAUAAUGCACCCAAGUCAUGUACAAUGUAAGAGACAUGGACUAAAUGCUCAAAUCAAUGUCAAUACACUAAAAGGAUAGCAAGGGGAUGGUUAAGUCUAACUUUGUUACAUCAUGUCUUGCUUUUAAAGGCUCAAUCCUAAAAAACUCCCACUAGCCCUAAAAUCAAACUGGGCAUCAUAGAAAAAAUUGUUUCAUGUCUCAUAACCUCUCUAUACUAUCUCACAAUAAGGUAACACUUCUUAUUUAUGUGUUUCCUCUUCUGGUGGUACUUCAAUUCUUUAGACCAUGUCAUUGUCCUACUGUUAUCACAUAACAGGAUCUUAGAUGAUAUAGCCAAGGGAACUACCAAUAAGUCAAAAGGCUUUCUUUGUUGCUAUAAAAACAACAAAAACCCACUUAGAGUGUACACAUACCCAGAGAUAGACUUAUAAGAGUCCUUAUCAAACUAAAGUCCAAUUUCCUAGUAUGAAAGGAGUACCACCUCAUCACAAAGGCUCACAAACAUAUAAUUCCUUGUUUUCCAAAGAUACUAGAGUAUAUGUUUGAAAUCUGGCCAAAGCUCUAAUAAGGAAAUGGACUAAUAUCCACUCAUUAUUCCUACAAAAAAGCAAAUAUAUAGUCUAGCACAUAGUAUCGCAUAUUUAAGGCAAUCCAUUAUAGAGACAUUGGAUAUCGCCUUAAUGCAAUCUCUCUCCAUAGAUGUCUAAGGACAUUGAUCCUAAGAAAGAAAAGUCUAAAACCAAAAAGUAACAAACCUUCUUGGCGUUUUGCAUCAUGUACUUGACCAAGUGCUCAUCUAUGUAGGUGACAUGGUGAAAUUUUCCUAUUCUUGCAAUCCUGAAGGAUCAUAACCCGAAGAAUAUAUUGCAUCUUCCUCUAGAUUUUCAUCCAGAAUUGAGUAGACUAUCAGAUCUUGACUUAUGACAAUAUCCCCACAUCAUAUCCAAUGAGUAGAUUGCAUAUACCUACAAGAUCUUAGAGCAUCACGACGCUUUCUUAUGUCUUUUUGUACACACAAGGCUAUUUGCUAUGAAAAUGUUUGGUUGUCAUAUCUUACAAAUAUGACACACUGCAAUAGAUAGUAGUAAUAUGAUGGAUUUGAGUAUGAUCACUAUUGAGAAGGUUUUCCAUAGUUGAAACAAAUUUCAAAAGGAUCACAAUUCGGAGUUGAAACAAGGGAGUUAUAGUCGACUAAAGCUAGGUUGAGCAAAGAGCAUGGUAACACAAUGAUGCUGACUUUAACUCAAAAUCGGGGCUACCUCCCGUGAGCUUUUUAAGGCAAACCACAUAUGGUUUUGAAGCUUAAGAAGUAAAAAAUCCAGUACUUCAAAAGGAUUUCAAUUUGGCAUUGAAGAAACGAGGGAGAUAUGGUUGAUUGAAGCUAAAUUGCACAAAGGGCAUGCAAUUACAAGAUGGAGUUCAAGCCAAAUUAUUUUUGGUUGUUUGGGCUCAUUUUUUGGGCAUCUUUUCGGGCUUUUUUAGUGGCAAUUAGGCUCGUUGGGUUUUUCUUUUUUCACUAACCCUAUCUUUGGUUGCAGAGCUAUUUUGGUAAUUUGGAUUCUAUCCAAGUUUUAGUUACCAAAUUUGCAACAAGAUCCCUAAGGAUUAAUUUCCUUUCGUGUCUUUUAUACUUUUUUAUUUUUGGCAUAGAAUACAUUUUAUUAUUCUUAAGUUAAUGAAUUUUCAUUUUUUUUUUCCUUUUUUUUAGAUAAUUUAUUAAAUUAGAAUGUGUUAGGACUUUAGGAAAUUUUUAUUUUCGGUAAAGACAAGUUGGAAAGAAAUAAGGAACCUACUUCCUUUUCAAAAUUAAACUCUUAGAUUUUUUUUUUUAAAUAAAUCUUUUUAGAUUUUAGAUCUCUAUGAAUCUUUUUAUUUUAAGGAAGAAGUUUUAUUUUUUCAGGUCUUUGUGAAAUAAAAUAUUUUCUAUUUAGCACAAGAUUCUAAAAUAAAGAAAUAAUUAUUUUUUGAAAAAUAUCUUAUAGAUAAUUCAUGAUUAAGAUAGCUUACCAAUAUAUUGUUUCAAAUAAAAUAAAUUAAAAUGGUAAUUUUGGAUUUUCUUAAAAGAAUAAAUUUUCAUGAGUUUUAUUUCCAUUAUUAUUUAUUUAAAAAAUUGGUUGUUGUCAUUUGGAAUUUCAAAUUCCUUUUGGGAAUUUCUUUUUUCUUUUCUUUUUUGGGCUAGGUAGUUCUCUAAGCUCUCUCUCUCCCCCAUCCCCCACCCCCAGAAAAAAAGAGAAUUAAACCUACAUUGGUCCUCUAGGAUUUCCCUCCCUAAGAGAGAGAAAACCGUUUAGUUUGAAAAGGAAAGUUCAAGGAUAAGGAAUAUGAAAGAUAUCCUUAUUUGGCAUAGGAGUCCCAAUUCAAGUAAUAAAUAAAAGUUUUUGAAAUUUUCAUGACAAAUAAUUUAUUUUAAGAUAGUUACCAAAAUUAUCUUAAAGGCUCUCUUCCAAAAUAUUAAGUGGAAGCGGGCCAUAGGCAAGCCCAUAGCCUCUAAGAUCGAGCCUAUUUUCAUUUCCAUCCUAAAGAUGGGGUGGCCUAAUAAAUCAAGGGAUAUGGACUAUCCUUUAUGAACAAGACUAUAUAUGUUUAUAGUGGGAGUGGCCAAUCCUAAAGAUAGAACUCUUCACUUGGUAACAUGGAUAUCAAGGAUCUUGAUUACACACUUAACUUAGACAUGAAAUGGUAGAAUCACCUAAAGUGGUCCCACUUGCAUGGGCUAAGGGCUCAACAUAAAGGUAUGUUGAUCCAUGCCUUAGGAAAACCUUCGGAAGUUUAAGGCAGGUUGAUUAAUUAGAGAGGGUCUCUACCUAGUAAUAAGAGUCAUAACCUGUCUAAAGUAAGCUUGAUUCUUAUGAUACUAGGUUACCUUGUAUGGAUACAUGUAGUUUGAGAGCACUACAGUUUUGCUAAAUUAAUUACCAACUUGCCUUGAAUGCUCAAUUCCUUUUGUUAAUGCAUCGAAUUAUUAUUUUUAUUAUGGAUAUCAUGUCUUUAACCUAUCACCUUUUAUUUUUUGUUUAAAUUGGACCUAAUUUUAGAUUAGAAAUAAUCUAGAUAUAGUAUUAAUUGCAUAGAAGCUGUUUUUGGUAGAGUUUGUUAUUUCCUUUGAACAAACCUAACAUCAAGUAAGAGAAGCAUAUCAAAGGUGGCAUAAGACGGAUCAAAAGACUAAGUCUCUCAUACUUGGGUCUUUAGAUAAUGUGUUGCAAAAGCAACACAUGUCUAUUGUCGUAGUCUAUGAUAUUCUCUUCAAAGUUGCAAGGGUUAUUUGGUGAUAAGGGCAAGUCAACUAAACAAGUUGCCCUUAAGACCAUUAUGAACACCAGGAUUCAUGUUAUCUUACAAAUCUUACCAGAUUCUUUUGGGAUGGGUAAGAAGAUUCUCAAAGAGUGGAAAGGUGUUCAUAUGGAAGUCAAGGUUCUUCAAGCUCUUCUAACACUAUCUCAAGCUACCUACAUAGAUAAGAUUUUGGUUAAGUAUGUGAUGCAGGAUUCCAAGAAAGGUUUUUUACCUUUUAAGCAUAGAAUUCCCCUUUCUCUAAAUCAGUGUGCUAAAACACUUGAGGAGAAAGAGUGCAUGGAGUUAAUACCUUAUGCCUCUGCAGUGGGUAGUCUUACAUAUUUGAUGCUAUGUACUAAGCCAUAUAUUUUCUUUGUAGUGGGUAUGGUGAGUAGAUAUCAGUCUAAUCCAGGUCCAAAACAUUGGACAACAAUCAAGCAUAUACUCAAGUACCUAAGGAGAAUGAGAGAUUAUGUGUUUGUGCUCCAAAGUGUUGAGAUAGUUUAAAGGGUGACAUGAUGGUUGACAAGAUACCUUCUGUGAAGAACCUAGGGGAUCUUUUCACCAAGACAUUGUCAGGGAGAGUCUUUAAUGGUCACAAGGAUAACAUAAGUUUCAAAUGAAUAUCUGACAUGCUUUAUAGGCAUGAUGCUUUUAGGGCUAGUGGGAAAAUGUUAGGAUAGAGCCCUUAAAAGUAUGACAUGAUGUAAUAAAUUUGGAAUUCAUUAUUUAUUUAACGAUGUUCCAGUUUCACUUUUAUCGAUCCUUAUUCCAUGUAUUAUACUUUACAAGCAUUCUUGCCUACAUCAUUUGCAUUGUACGUGACUUAGGUUCAUUAGGAGUUGCACAAAAGAUUUAAGUCAUGGGUUCCUUACAAAUAAAUGGCUUGUUCACAACUAGUUCAUGUGUCUAGGCAACCCAUUAGAGGUAAUAGAGCACCACCUCCUAAUUGAAGGGAUGACUAGUCUUGGCUAUCGGGAUGGUUUUCCCAUGGUGAGUGCAUUAGUGUGUAUGGUUACAUAUUGGAUAAGACCUAUGGUGAGUCAUGACUUAAGGCUAUCAAGUAGUCAUGACCUCACCAAGAUGCUUCAUUAUGUUGUCUCUCAACCUUGAGAGAAUAUUGAGCUCGUAGUAAAGUUAGCAAUGACUUUGAUCUAUGGGUGAGAUAGUAAGCUGAUCAUAUAUUCCCUAUGUAUUAGGUCAUUGUUGAUGGAAGCCGGUAGCAAUAGGUAUUCUCAAUAGAGGCACCAUGAUAUCUUUUAGGAUUGAGACAGUGUGUCCCCUUGGGUGAUCAUAAGGAGGUGUGUUCAUGGAAACUAUGGCCAUAGUAGUUCCUUAAGUAAAACUUGACAUAAACUCUUUGAGAGUUAAGAUAUGUAAAUUGAACACACAAUAGGAGGAUCCGUAACUCAAGGAUGGUAGAGGUAAUCUUGAAAGGCCGAUAGCUUUCCCCUAGUUAGACUAUGGACACCAGCUCAUGGGAAGAGUGAACACAAUGGAUAGCAAGUCAUAGACCCGAGCACUUGGUGUCUCGUUGUUAUAUACAUAGGAUACUGGAGUUCAAUUGAUUCUCUGUAGUGGGAUGUUGAAUCCACUUUAGAAUUGGAUUAUGAGGGAGCUAGUAUUCCUAUGGGUCCUAGUGGUCCCCGCUCUAAGCUUAUUUACCUUGUUAGCAUGGGUUAUGAGGGUUAGAUUGGCUCUAGGUUCACUUUUGUGCAUAAGAACGUUUUGGUAGUUAAGUAAGGUUGCACAGGGGUAAGUGAACAAGGUCUUUGGAUUAGGCUAAUUGUUUAAUUAGUAGGCCUUAUUGGGUUAAUUAAUCAAAUAAGACCCAUUUUGGGCUCGAUUUAGUUACCCAAUCACAUGUGGGCUCAAGUCACUUAAGCCCACUUAGGAACCCUAUAAAUACACUCUAGGGGUUAAGGUUUCCAUAACUUUUUAUCUUCCACCAUCCAGAGAGAUAGAGAGCCAUAACCUUCACCCUCUUUUCCUCCCCACUGGAAGUGUGUGAAGAUCAAGGUUCAAGUCAUCGGGAGAAAGAUCGUAGGUUUAUGAGACUUAUGUGAUUUCAUUCUUCAUCUUCACCAUGUAGAUUUGAUUCAGUAACUAUUUUUAAAACAUCUUGCCAAACAUUCUUAUUUUUAAAAAAGGUAAAAACUGUUUUUUGUUCUCUAUUUUGAACAAAAAAAAAAUUAAAAAAACAAAUUUUUAACAACACUACAAAAUAGGCCCUAAGUUAUCCAAAGAUCGUUUUUUUUUUAAUGAAAUAGGUUCAAUAUAACAUUUCCAUUAAAUAAGAAAAAGGGACCCAAAAAUUUCUUUUAAUAAAAAUAGGUUUUAGACAUUUUUUUUAGAUAUAAUAGUCCAAAAAUUUUGUUUUGAUAAAAGAAAUAGUUUAGAAUUUUAAAAUAAAUAAAUAAAUAAAAGGUUAAGAAAUAUUUUUUAAAUAAAAUAAAAUACUCCAACAAUCUUAUUUUAAUGAAAUAACAAUUCAAAAAAUAUUAUUUUUAAUAAAAGAAAGUUUUCUUAAUAGAAAGUUCAAACAAAUGUUUUUAGAAGAAUCUAGAAAAAAUAAUAAUAAUAAUUCAAAAUUUUGUUUUUAAUAAAAAGUAGUCUAGAAAUUCAUUUGUUUAACAAAAUUUUCUAGAAAAAUUGAUUUUUAAAUAAAAUUGUCCAAAAAGUUAAUUUUAAUACAGUCGUCUAAAAUUGAUUUUUAAAUAUAACUCUCUUUCCUUGAUAAGAAAGGGAUUAAAAGUAAUUUUUAUAAAUAGAUGUCUUAAAGAAUUUUUUUAAAUAAGAAUAGCAUGAGUAAACUUUGAAAUAGAACUGAAAAACCUUCUUUUUUUAAUAAAUUGGUAAACAAAUCUCCUACUAAAUGAAAUCCAGAAUUCUUUCUUAAUAAAAUUGGAAUCCUUGGGAACAAAUUUGUGAAAUUCUUUCUCUAAAUAAAUUAGUAAUAAAGAAUCUUUUUCUAGGUAAAAUAAAAAGUAUAUAUAUUUUUAAUAAAAUUGGGUUGAAAUUCCUUCUUAUAAACUUGUAAAUAUAUUUCUUUAAGUUUGUAGAUUUUUUUUUUAAAAAAAAAUAAAGAUUGAAUCAAAACACUUUUUAAAAUAAAUUAGUAAAAUUCACCCCUCUUAUUAAUAAGGUAAACAAAAAUCAUUUCUUGUAAAUCAAAUCAAAUCUUUUUUAAUAAAUUGAAGCCUUGUGAAUAAAUAAAUUCAAAUCACUAAUUUGAAAUUGUUGUUAAACUAAAAGAAUUCUUUGAAAAUUUAUGGAAUUUGUAUUAUGAUAUUUGAAAUAAUAAAAUCUUUCUAAUAAAUUAUUCUGUGCAUUUCUCAUGUAUCAUUUCUACAUAUCCUUAUAAUUUGCUUUUGCAUUAUUCCAUGUACUUGUAUUAUUCUUUUUUUUUCAGUAUUCAUGAUUAACUAAUUAAUUAUCAUAAUUCUCUUUUACGUGCUUACUAGAAACCUUUUUAAGGCUUAAAAGGGUGCUACCCUAUGGUACCUUCACAAUAGGUAACCUGACUUCGAGAUUCGAAUUCGAUUUUUACCGACAUGUUUUUUCUUUAAAAACGAGUAACGAUAGGGCUUUACUUAUUUAUUUUUUUCUAAAAAAUAAAAAGAGUGACAACUCCAACUUUAAAAAAAAAAAAAUCAGUUUUUUUAUAACAAAAACAAAUUUCACCAUCAAGUGGGGACGCACAUGAAAAAUGAGAGUUCACAAUUGUAUUUCUUAGACUUAAAAUAUAAUACAAUUACUAAAUCAACGAAUGUUGUGAGUUUUUACAUCUUUGAUCAUAAAAGAUUCAAAGUACAAUGGAACAAAUAGUUUUCAAAAGGAAAAUAAAAAUGUUUAAAAUGGAAAAUCUAACAAUAAAGACAAUGAAACAAGGUGAUAUGGUAGGAGUUAAAUAGAGAAAUCUUUUAUCCAUGAAUUUAUAGUUUAUUUAGUAGAAAAAAGUUCAAAAGAAAUAUUGCAUACAUUAAUGAAUUAAGUAGAUAAAAGGGAUUUAGGUAAUUUGAUAUUUAUGCUUUAGUUUGAUAACAUCAAAUAGAAAUUUGAUAUUAUUAGUUUCCAUAUUGAGUUUGGAAAUCUAUCAAAUGGAUGUUAAGAUUAUCUUUCUUUGAAUGGUUACAUAAAUUAAGAGUAUAUGGGGUAACCUAAAGGAUUUAUGACAAGAACACAAAGUUAGGGAUAGAUACAUUUAGCUAGGUUGGAUUAUAACCAAUCCAAGAAUCAAAUAGAAGUUGAUUGGUUUUAACUAAAGUAUAACAAAUUUAUUUAUUGACUCAAACUAAUCCAACUUAAUAUUAGUUUGAUUCAGUUUAGUUAACUCAAUUUAGACCAAAAUAUUGAGUCUAUAUGUUUUUUUCUCCACAUUGACCACAUAACCAAAAUGAUCAAAUUGUUUUAGAUAAAUAUAUAUAUAUAUAUAUAUAUACACACAAAUAAUACAACUAAAAAUUUUAAAAAUAAUGUGUAGGAGCAAACCAAUGGAUUAUUUUCUUAUUGGGAGUAAGUCAAUGAGUAGUAUUAUUGACAUAUUGGGUGCUUGUGACUUGAAAUUAUAUUAUCAUCAUUAUUAAGUCCCACAGUACUAGGAUUUUAAAUUUUAGAUCAUGCUUAUGCCAUAAGCAACUUUUAAUUUGUAAUAAAGCCAUGGGAGUUAGGUUCUAGGCCUCCAACAUCAAACUGUAGCCUAACUAAGUUAGCUUUGGAUGAGCAUGGUUUGACUCACAAAGUCUCAAGAUUCUCCAUAACACUCCAAAAUCCAAGCAAUUAUAUUUGUCCCACUCCUCUACUACUUGGGUUUGUUUGCCAAUCCACUAUGAUCUAGGUUGAACCUUUCAUAAGCCAAAUACUUAAACUAGUUUGAUCUCUAGUUUCACUGCACUACCAAAAUAAAGUAGAAACGCUAAAAUUUGCAAGAGGAAAACCUUCAUGAUCAGCCACAUCUUCUUUGGAAUAAAAGCCUCUUCUCUUGUCCUAAACACAACUGCUUCAAUUUUCUUACUAUUUCUAAUAAGCACGACUUAUCUUCUCUCUGACAUGAAUAGAUGAAUUCUUAAACGUAUUUAUAGAGGCUGGAGGUGAAAGCUGAACAGCUGGUUUCCUGGGGUACAACCAUUCCUCGCCGCGUAUCAAUAUAAGAGAAGUAAUUUGAAUGUGUAUUGGUUUUGAAAGUUCUUCCAGGACCACUUCAAAGAGCAGGUUGUGUAUGAUAUCUGACCACUUACCAAAAUUUAAAUAAACCAAAUUCCUGAAGACGAGUUUCUUAGAAUCUCUUGAAUUUUCUAAUUCAAAAUACAUGAAAGAUGAUUUUCCUGGGGUACAACAAUUCCUCGCCGCGUAUCAAUAUAAGAGAAGUAAUUUGAAUGUUCUUCAGAAAGCAGGUUGUGUAUGAUCAGCUUCAAUCAGGUUGUGUAUCGUACAAGUUUGACUUUGAGAAUUGACCAAGAAAUUAAUCAAACAUAUUAUUUUAGAAUAAAUUUCAAAUACAUGUAGAAUACUUUUAAAACUUUGACCUCGCAUAUAUACAGUACCUUUAUCAAGAUUAGUCAAGAUUUUCUCUUUGUAUUUGGUAGGAAGGGAAAAGUCAGCGCUGCUUUCAGAAGGAAUAUAGGAUUCCAUUAUAGGAAAGAAACAAUCAUUCAAUUAUAGGAACCGGAUCGAAAAUUCCUUGUCCGGUUGGAGGGUCAAUCCAGACAUUCAAAUCAUUAGGUCAGCGAUGAAAUCAUUCAACAUGCUCACCAUCAAAUAAAUAUUGGUUUCCUUUGCAUAUUUCCUCCAAACCGGCUUUAAUCUUGAUAAGAUAUAUUGCACAGAUAAAUUGCAUGCACCAACAUAUAAAUUAGUUUAAACGGAUAAGAGAACAUUCAGACAUUUUCAAACAUCAAAUCUCCACUUUUUUUAAAUUGUUUAUAAACAGAAAAAAUGAUGAAUAAAAUUUAAGACGUGAAAAUAUGACCAAGUUAAUUUAAACUUUUUUUUAUUUUUUUUCACUUUUUUUCUUCUAUUUUUUUUUUCUCACAUUUCCUUUUGAACUUUUGGAAUAAAUUCCCUACUAUUUGUGGCGCUUUAAUAUAAUUUUUUUUCUCCAUAUUAUACAUAUUUAUGCAAUAUUUGGUUAAACUAUUUUGAAUUUCUAUUUUUACCUUAACAAGAAACAUUUCUUGAAAAUGAAGAUUAUUUUCUCCUUAUUUUCAAAUUUGUGUUUCUCCACUUUUUUAAAAAUAAUAAUAAUAAUAAUUAUAAGUAAUUAUAGAUUUAAAAAUAACUUUUUUCAUAACAAAUACAAUAUAUAGCGGGCUUAUAAAAACUAUUAUCUAAAAAAAGGAAAAGUAAAAUAAGAAAUAAUUCAAACUUCCUUAUUUGGUUUAUUGUACCAUAUUCAAAGAGUUUUAAAUAAUAAAUUCGAAGAUCAUCCCAAACACUUUAAAGAGUUUUAGAAAUCAAUACUAAAUUCAAUCUUAAUUUAAAACUCCUAAAUAAUUAAUUGUAAAGUUGUUUUCAAAGGAAACCCUUCCUAUCUCGAUUUCCUCUCACUAAGAUACUUAAAAAGUGGAAUAAUAUAUAAGAGUGAACUUAAAACUCAAUUAAGAAAAUAGGUCAAUAAGGAAGAUCAAGUAUAGUACAAAGUUAAAUCUUAGGAGUUAUCACAUCUUAAAAAAAAAAAAAAAAAUCAAUUAGUAGGAGUUCAUUUAAUUCAAUAAUUAAAUUCAUUUUGUUCAAAAAAUUAUGCACUUUCAAUUUAAAGAUAGAAUUAAAUAAUAUACUUUACAUACUUAAAUUAUAUUAAAAAAAUAUAAACAAACAUUUUACUUUGACUCAUUGAUAAUAACAUUGUGCCCAAAUAGUAAAACUUGCAUUAGGUGGCUAGUCUCACUUUGUGCCUUUUAGCAAUGGACAAAAUGAUUUAUAAUCAAUGAUAUACCAAAGGCUAAUAACACCCUUAUUAGCUAGAGUUACAUUAUAUCACUAUCCUCACAAAAGGUAACACAGGUCAACAACUUCUCUCUUAAACCAAUGUAAUAAAUUAAAUGAUAAAAUUCAUUUGCAUAACAAUAAACAAAUCAUAUGAUAUUCCCAAUUUAUUUUAUAAACUAAGGAACAAAUCAUAACAUUUUUAGUAAAAUAUUAUUUGAUCCACUUUAAGGAACUUAAACAUUUUGAUAGUUUAAAAAUAGAUGAAAAAAAAUAAGAAAUUAUAAAAUGUUUUACUAUACUAUUGACCCUUACCUUGAAGAAAUCAUUCAAAAUCCUGAAAGACUUAAUCUACACCUAAUAUAAAUAUAAAUAAAAAAUAAUUAUUAAAGAUUAAUUAUCUAAAUUAACAACUUCCUAAUUUUUAUGUAAAACUUACCUUAAUUAUCUAAAUAAUGAGUAGUAUUAUUGACAUAUUGGGUGCUUGUGACUUGAAAUUAUAUUAUCAUCAUUAUUAAGUCCCACAGUACAAGGAUUUUAAAUUUUAGAUCAUGCUUAUGCCAUAAGCAACUUUUAAUUUGUAAUAAAGCCAUGGGAGUUAGGCUCUAGGCCUCCAACAUCAAACUGUAGCCUAGCUAAGUUAGCUUUGGAUGAGCAUGGUUUGACUCACAAAGUCUCAAGAUUCUCCAUAACACUCCAAAAUCCAAGCAAUUAUAUUUGUCCCACUCCUCUACUACUUGGGUUUGUUUGCCAAUCCACUUUUAGUAAGUGAUCUAGGUCGAACCUUUCAUAAGCCAAAUACUUAAACUAGUUUGAUCUCCAGUUUCACUGCACUACCAAAAUAAAGUAAUUCAAGUAGAAUUAACCAAAGGCACAUGCAUGACAAGUUUUGCUAUUGGGGACGUUUACAAAUAAUAUAUGGAGACAUUUUUCCAGUAUAAUUUGAGACAAAUGCUAAUGGGGUUGCCUAUGAACUAUUCUCCAAGGCUUUUUAGGCUUAUCUAUUAAACAAUGGAAAUUGAAGAUUUGGGGGUCAAAUGAAAGUAAUCAAGUUUGAAGUUGAUGGAAUUGUUUAUUAGCUCAAUAUAGAGGCUUAUCUCAAGCACUUUCUUAGUACAAUGCUUCAAGUCGAUUAACUGCAUGCAUGCACUAAAGACUUCCACAACAAAGGAAAUUUUGCAAGAAUAAUCUAAAGAGCUACUACAAGAGAGAAUGAUCUUUUGAACAUAUGUAAUUGAUUGUGUAUUAAUUAAGAAGGCUUCUAAAGUUGGAUAAGUUGUUUAGAACUUUUAAGAGGGAAUUUGUAAACUUCACAAAAUUGAUCUAAGAGACAUUUACCAAGUUCUAUCAUGAUAAUAAAGUAUUGAGGAGAAAAUGUACCACCAAACCAAGUUGUAUUUGCUAAGAAUACUCACUACAUUUCUAUUAAGAAAGAAACUAUCUAGUGGUAAAGGACAAGAUAGUUUUAGUUCGUGAAGUUUUCACUGCCCAAGCUAACAUCAAAAGCUAUAACAAGACAAAUCCUAAUAAGGUAAGAUAAAAGGUUGCACAAAAGGGACAUCUUGCUCCUUGUUGAAAAUCUCAUUCAAUUGCAAAUCUACCACAUCAAGAAUGCUCUCUCUUCUAUAAUUUUCUCAUACCCAAUCCACAAUACUAUUAUUAUACUUGUUUUGCAUGUUUUUUUCUUUUCUUUUCUUUUUGGCUUUCUAAGUUAUGUUUUCUUUGGUUAUAGCAAUAGCAUCAUUAGUGUGUUAAAUUCCCUUAUAGAUAAUUCCUCAAGCAUUUAAUGUCCUCAUUGUUGCUAUUAAGUCUUAUAGUAUGAAACGAAAAAUAAAAAUUCUUGUAUUCAAAAUCAAAUGGAAGCACAUGAAUUAAAAAAUGCAAACACAAGAGAAACAUUGAAAUCCAAUUACAAAGAGUAGUAUCAAAAUUUCCAUAUCUACAAAAUUCAAGUGUUAAGAUUUCUAAAAAUGAAAUAUAUAUAUAUAUAGGGUUCAUUGGGAGAAGACCUACAUCUAUAAAACAUCAAGGUCUGACAUUAAGAGAGGAAUUCAAUCCAUACCUAAUAUGAAGGCAUGGAUUCGAACACAUUGACUAGAUUUGAAGAAUGCAAUUCAUCCAUGGGAAUUUGUGUACCUAAAGAGGGUUGGUUUUUGGAGGUACUGGAAGAUGGUUGGAGUAUGGUAGUGGCUAUUGAAAGGGUCGAUGGCGGUGGGAAGCCAUAACUACUAGUGAAGAGGAAGUUAGGUGAAUUGGAGACUUGAUGAAGAAGAUAAUGUGAGCUCGAUAAAAUUUCCUCCAACUUUUCCUUUCUUUUUCUCUCUUAUUUUCCUCACUAAUUUUUAAGGAAAGUAGAAGAGAAAAUAUUACAAUAUUUUCUUUAGUAUUUUCUUUUAUAUUUUUUCCAUCAUAUUUUUCAUGUCACCAAUAUUUUCUUUAGUAUUUUCUUUUAUAUUUUUUCCAUCAUAUUUUUCAUGUCACCCAAACUAAGGAAAAUAACUUUCCAUAGUAUUUUUUUUCCUUUCCCUUGCAUUUUCUAAAAACCAAACACAAUCUUAAUAAAUAAAAAUUAAGAACUACAACAAGAUUGUAUAUUUCCUCUUUAUUCUUGCAUUUCUACAUCUACUACUCUAUUUGACAUCAUAUUUUUACUCCCUUCUUCAAUCAACAUUCCUCCCUUAUUAUAGAGUUAUCUUCACACCAAUUCAUAAGAUAAGAAAGGUGAAUGAACCUUGGGGCAAAUUUGGACAACUAGUGGCAACUAGUCAAGAUUUGAAGUCAACUUUUGCUUGAUUUUUUUUGGCAUGGGCAGCAACUUGUGGACCCUCUUUAGCAUGAAAAUGACUAGAAUAUGUUAAGCUCUCUUAUUAGAUGGUUAAUGAUGUAUGAACCUGUAGACCCCUUAAAAGACUAAGGGUUUUUCCAGUUGGUUUGAGGGACCACUCGGGUGAUUUUUUUUGAAGUGAGGGGGACCCCUUUUCUGCCAUGAAGGAGCUGCAUUGGACGCGUGGACACGGCAAGAGGCAGGGGCGACCAUGCUGGUUGUUGAGGAGCCCAUGCUUGCUGAUGGGUGAACAGCAGAGCCGGUAAUGGCUUGCCAAAGAGAUUUUUUUUUUUAGAGAGGGAGAGGUAUAGAAAAGGCGAGGAGGGCUCUUUUCAUGGUGGCCGUGAUAGAGACUCGGAGCUGGGGGGGAAAAAGUUUUUUUACUGAUCUGGGAGGAAGAGAAAAUACAGGAAGCUGAGUAAGCACUGCCUGAGAAGCUCAGGUAUGGCCAACAUGGAUUUCUUUGUUUUGGAUCUUCUUCAUCUUCCUUCUCUAUUAUUGCUGUGAUUUUGAUAUAGUUGAUUCUGGUCACAUUCCCUGGAGUUUUGUUUGAGCAUGAACUGUCUCUGUUGCAGCUUUCUUAUAAAAUGUCUAAAUCAUGCCUGGGUCCUAGUCUAAAAUAUAUUGAUCUCACUCGCCUGCGUUUAAGUACAUUGAUUGUAAUAUGAAACGUGGCUUUUCGCUGGUUCAUUUUAUUUCAUUCUUUUAUGCUCUGUUUUUUUGUUAUCUUCCCCUGUUCCGGGCACCCAUCCAUGGCAUACACCAAAUUUCCUAUCCUUAGAUGGAAAGGUAAGGCACCGUGUGAAACGCGCUCUCAGUUUGUGGGGUAUGUAGAUCUGCGUUCAUGAGUCGGUCAUGCCGUGGUAUCGAGUUCUCCUUUAUUGAGGGUAAACAGAGUUGGUGUCGCCAAGUGGGGAUGGGAAGGAUAUGUUGCUAACAGAGCAGCCCAAGAAAUGUUUCUUCAUCUAAGAACGAAAUCAUUCGCUGGAAAGUGUAUCAAUGAUCUCCACUGCUGUCUGUUUAGACACAAUAUGGAACGACUGGUGGUGUAGAUAUUGACAAGGUGACCGAGCACCUAUGUGCAAACUACGGACGUACCAGAUUUGAAAAAUCCAGCAUGGAUUUCUCUAGAGAAUGCAUGAUGCGCCUGUAGACAUUUCUGGGAAUUUCUGGCAGGUCCAGAGUCGAUAUUAGCAACCCUCUGGCACUCUUAAUUGGAGAACACUAAGGUCCAAUUCGACUCUCCAUGCAAUGAGUAGCCUCUCUGAUGCUUAUGAAGAUCAUCUUCUGGGUACCGAACUCGCUGAAACCUGUUUUGGAGCUGGACGAUGGUCCUUGCACAGGAGAAUCUAAGUUCAGAGAGCCAUUCUUCAAGGUCAGCAGCAGUGAUAACGGCGCUGCAUGGGUACCAUGAUCAUCAACAGAAAUUAUUCCAUUGUUUGAAUGUGGGAAUAUUUUUAGCGAGAUGACCAUUUGCAAUUUACACGACCACCUCCCUCUCAUACCUAUUUUCCUCAUACUCCCAUCACCCAACAAGCCAAACCAUUCCAUCAUUCCCCUCAGUACCUCCUGCAUGCAAAUCCAUUGUUCCCAAACCCAUUGCCCAUAGCCGAUACCUAUCUCACCAUAUUCUUCUCAUUUUUUUUUCUUCAAACCCACUGCUUAUACUUCAUGCAACCAUACCCACUGCUAUCCACCCGCGUACACAUCCACCUUUCAUAAUACCCAUCUUCUCACCACCUUUUCUCUCUCAUACCCAUAUUUCUAACAUACCCGUCACCACCCGUUUCUCUCUCUAAACUUAUUCACACCCAUCUCCUGCACCCAGCAGCCGCAAACCACCCAUUUUCCAUCUCAACCCGUUCGGCUGUUCUGUGAUUGAUGGACCUCAUGGUGACAUGGGUCUCACGACUCUUAAAAAAUAGGUUUUCGUUGAAGAAGCUUCAUGUCGUUCUAUAUUUGCUGAAGCCUUUUUGUUUCCCACUGAUGGCAUUGUUUAAACAAAUUGGUGGAUAAAAGUCAAAGACAUGAGUUUUUUAUAUUAUUUUUUAUUCUUCAUUGGUGGCAUGGUUCCCGUAGGCUUCAAGGUGGUUUAUUAUUAUUUUUUCUCUUUUCUCCCACGUGCCAUCUUCUUAAUUCCACUUUACAUAUUAAAAUUUUCAUUUUUUUGAAAGUCCUAAUUCUUUUAAAAAUCCCAACGUUUCAAAUUCAUUCAUUUAUUCAUUUAUUUUAUCUAUUUUAUUCAUUUAUUUUUUAUUUUUCUAUUUAUUUAUUUAUUAUUUUAUUUAAGAAUAUAUAUAUACGCGUAUCCUUUCCAAAAUAAUCUCGUAAAAUAUGAUUUUUAAAUUUAUUUUACGAAACUUCAAAUCUAACAUUCAAUUUUCCAAAACUCCAAUAUUUUAAGUUUAAUUUUUCAAAAUUCAAUUCUCGAACUAAUUUUCUAGAACUCUAACUUUAAAUUUAAUUUUCCCAAAAUUCAAAUUUUCAGUUCCAAUAUUUCAAAAAUUCCAUUAUUCACGUUCAUUCGUUUAAACAUUAUUUUUGUUAGUAUUAUUAUUAUUCCAUAUUUAUUUAUUUAUUUCUUUUAAAAAUUUCGAUCAUUCAAGUUUAAUUAUUCAAAAAAAUCUGACUUUCGAAUUUCAUUUUCAAUCUAAAAAAUUUCACUAUUCACAUUCAUUCGUUUAAACAUUAUUUUUGUUAUUAUUAUCAUUCCAUAUUUAUUUAUUUAUUUCUUUUAAAAAUUUAAAUUAUUAAAGUUCAAUUCUUGAAAAAUCUGACUGUCGAAUUUCAUUUUCAAUCUCAAAUAUUCCACUAUUCACAUUCAUUCAUUUAAAUAUUAUUCUCAUUAUUAUUAUUAUUAUUAUUAUUCCAUUCAUUUAUUUUACAAAUUCCAAUAAUUAAAGUUCAAUUUUUCAAAAUUCCGUUUUCCGAAUUUAAUUUUCAAUCUAAAAAAUUCCACUAUUCACAUUCAGUUGUUUAAUGAUUAUUUUCGUUAUUAUUAUUAUCCCGUUCAUUUAUUUAUUCACUUAUUCAUAUAUUUAAAAAUCUCAUCUCCAAAUAAUUUCUCAAAAUCUCAAUCUUUAAAUUCAAUCUCCCAUCUCUAAAAUUCUAUUUUUCGCAAUUAUUUACCAAAUCUUUAUUAUUUCAUCAUUAUUAUUAUUUACUCAUUUAUUUAUUCACUUAUUUGUUUAUUAAAAUUCCGUAUUUAAAUAAUUCUUCAAAAUUCCGAUUCCCAAAUUUAGUUCUCUGAAACUCCAAUUCCUUUCAAAUUCAAUUACUAAAAUUCUCAUUCUUAUAUUUAAUUUCUAAAAAUCCAAUUUUCAAAUAAUCUUUAAAACUCCAAUUUUCAAAUAAAUUUCAAAAAUCCAGUUUUCCCUCAAACAGUUUUAAUUUCUAUUUGAUGACGCAUGUGAUAUGUUUUGUGCUCUUUAUUAUACAUUGACCCCAUUUUUAUGAUAGCGCAUUACUCGUUCGUGGCCCAGGUAUGCAUCCCUUCCCAUUUUGGUCAUUCUCUAUGCAUGUUUUGAUUCUCAUGUGUGCAUGGUCGAUUUGAGUAUCCGUUGGUUUUCUUAUUGAUCGUCACGUCGGCUUCAUUUUAUUAGUAGAUAUCCGACUUUAGGGACUUAGAGUGGUGCUACGGUCUUUACCGUACCUUCCUGAUAAGUAACCUGACCCCCGAACCCGAUUCGGUUUUUCAUAGACCACCUUUUCCAAAAUAAGGAGUCACACUUAGGGUUUUCUUUCUUAUUUUGUUUACCCUUUUAAAAAUAAAACAAAAAUAAGUGGCGACUCCAAGUCAUAUUUUUUUAAUAAAUAAAAAUCAUUUUCGAAUAAAGAUCGAGCUUACCAUCGAGUGGAAAAUGCAUGAACUGAAAUGCGAGGUCCAUAGAACCAUACGACAAUCAUAGGGUGGGGAAUAUAUGGUAAUUGUGCAAUAAAUAAAUAAAUAAAAAAUGGUAUCCAAUUAUAUAAAAAGGCAUCUUCCAACAUUUGAUAUACAUAUGUAAAAAUUAAGAGGAAAAUACUAAAAAAAAACAUAUUAAACCUAAAAAUAGGGACUUAAUAUAAAAUAAAGCAAAAAGGUAAAAUUAAAACCAAAUAUUAAUAAUGAAUAUAGUUUAAGUAUUAAAAAUAUUAUUAUUUAGGUUUUAAUCAUUAGGCUUGCUAGAGGAGUUUAUAUAUAUAUAUAUAUAUAUAUAUAUAUAUAUAUAUAUAUAUAUAUAUAUAUAUAUAUAUAUAUAUAUAUAUAUAUAUAUAUCCUAUCUCUGCAUAAAAUUUGUAAAUUAAAUAUUUAUUUCUGUUAUUUAAAGGAAUCAUUGAAAUGUUUGCAUGAAAGAUUUAUUCCAUAGCCUAAAAUGAUGAUAUUGGCAUUAUAUAUAUGUGUAUGUAUGUAUGUAUGUAUAUAUAUAUAUAUAUGUAUACAUGUGUUUGCUCAAAUGAUAGGCUGAUUUUAAGCUAUAAUAAUAAUAACUGUAUUAUUGUAUUAUUGAAAUGAAAAGGUUGUUGUUCUUUAAUUUUGAUUUGAAAUACAGGGGAUAUUUCUAACACUAAGAUGAUGUUUAUUUUUUUAAUUGAAUAGAAAAAAUUAAAAUAUUUGAUUUUUUUUUAUUCAACUAAAAGUAACAUGUUGAUAUCAACCAACAUAACUAAAGUGAACUUAUUCUUAAUAGGCUUAGUUUAGUUAUGUUGGUUGAUAUCAAUAGGUUAUUUUUAACUAAAUAGAAAAAAAUAUAUAUUUUAGCUUUUUUUAUUCAAUAAAAAAGCAAACACAUCUAAAAUUUUAUAUAAAAAUGCUUUAACUAGAAAUGAAUUUCAUAUGGACCAUUGUAAAAUACCAUGCAUAGGGAGAAAUCUGGAUCCUCACUUGCUCUUUGAUUUUAAUGCAUUGAAUUUGAUGUUGGCUAAAACAAAUUAUAUUUCAUGUCCCGUAUUAUGAGUAGACAUUCCUUAUGUUAGAUUUUAGAUAAAUAAUGGAUAUUGGAGAUUGGAGUUGUAAGAAAUUAGGAGAUCCUAAUUUUAAAUAUGUAACAAAGUUCUAUAAUCGCUUCAAUCCAUGUUUUAAAAUUUGUAUUUCUUUCUAAUAUUAGAGCAAACUUUUUCUUUGUUUCUUAUAAAUUUCAUUUGGGAAUGAUUUAAAAAUAAAUAAAUAAAAACCCUUCUAAAUAUUAAAAAGUAACACUUUCUUAUAAAAAUUAAUUAGGUAGAUGGUAAGGUCAAAUUCAGGAUAGCUUCAUAUUUUUUGCUUUAAUUGAAAAUUAAAAUCAAAAUUAAAGUAAUAAUUUUUAAGGUUUCUUACAUUCAUAUUCGUAUUAUUUAUUAUAUCAAAUUAAUUUUAAUUUACAAAAUAUUAAAACUUUAUAAUUAUCAUUAUUAUUUAUAUUUUAGUUUUUUUUAAAUAAAUUUAUAUUUUUAAUAUUUUAAAAUAAAAAUAUUCAAAAUUAAAAGGAUAAAUAUAAAAAAAAUUAAAAAUAAAAGUGAUAGUAAUUUUUUAGAAUAGGAUUAAUGAGAAUUAUGAUACAUUUUAUCUCUACUAAAUCUAAAACUCAAAAGGGCCACCCACUUCUGUCACUCGAGGCACCGAGAAGCCCUUGUUUGAAGUUGCCGUCCAGACGAGAGAAUCCCUAAAAAUGCCUUAUUUCCUCUGCCACUCUCAAUCCUCACAGGUACUAAUCUAAUCAUGUUAUUUUGUUUUAAUUUUUUUUUUCAACCCCCGUUUGAUUCCCAAAGAAAAUCUCUCCCCCAUUUGAUUUUCGGGAAAAUUCAUCCUCGUUUGAUUUCCGAGAAAAUCCAUGCAAAACCCCCAAGCAAAACAAAAAAAAUUGCUUUUUUUUUUUUUUUGCUCCCUGUGUUUUCUGGAUCUGUUCUAGGGGUCUCUUUGCUUUUAUGCCACUGGAUUUAAAUUUCACGAACCCUAGAUCCACGAUUUUUGAGCCAGGCGGAAAAACACAACCUUCGCCUGCAAAUCAUGAUCAGAUUACCAAAUAGCAUCUUAUUUUUGCUACUGGAUUUAAAUUUCACGAACCCUAAAUCCAUGAUUUUUGAGCCAGGUUGAAAAACACAACCUUUGUCUGCAAAUCAGAUUACCAAAUAGCAUCUUAUUUUUGCCACUGGAUUUAAAUUUCACGAACCCUAAAUCCAAGGCUGAAAAACGCAACCUUUGCCGGCAAAUCAUGAUCAGAUUACCAAAUAGCAUCUUAUUUGAUUUAAAAAAAAUAAAAAAUAAAAAUUGGACAGAUUUUGUAUCCUGUGCGUGGGCUGGACUGGUAGGAAAUGUCGGGAAAUUUCCCGAAAAAUGGGUAAAAAUACCGAUAUUCCCGAAAAUUACCAAAAUUUCCAUCUACAGAUAAUCGGUGACGAGCCGGCCGAUAAGCAAAAUUUCGGAGAAAUAUCGCCGAAAUUUUUCGAUAUUUCAAACACUGCAUGCUUGUUGGGUUUCAAAUCAAAUGGGUUCUUUUUCCCUAGGCACUUAAUUUUGUGGCUUUGAAUGGGUCUUUGCCUCUUGCAAUCGAUCAAAUGAAGGUGCGGAAAUGGUAAUAUUUCAUGUUUUUAUUUGUUCUUGUUUGUUAAAUUCUAAUAAUCUAUUUUCCUCUUUUGGUCAUGUGGGACAUCAUUGAUUUUGGUUUCGCCUACAUUAAACUUGGAAGUUUGCUUUGAGAUUUAUUGAGGAAAAAGUAUGGAUUGUGUGAUGGUUGAAAAUAUUUAGUUACUAGGAAAAGCCACGACCUUUCACUUAAAUCCAUAGAUUUCAUACCAACUCGUGUCUUGCAACUUGUAAGCUUUCUUCCUUUUAUGUUUCAUUUUUUAAUAUAUUAUUAAUUUCUCUUAGUAAUUAAUUAUUUGAUAUAUAUAUAUAUAUAUAGGUAAAAUUUUAAGUCACUAUAAUAAUGUUACUUCUUUUUAUAUUCAAAUAUAUUAAUAAAAAGACACUAUUUUUUUUUAUUAAAUUGUGCACUUUGGCGUGUCCUUCAUGUCAAAUAAGUUUGGUUUUAAUUAAUCUAAAUUGAUAUUUAAAAUAAUACAAUAAGACACUUUCAAUUUUAUCAUAUAAAGUUUAAUAGUGUUUGAGAGUUUAACAUAUAAUGGGAAAAAUACUGAAAGGGUGAGCAUAGUCUUUCAGUAUUUGUUAAAAAAAUUAUUUUUUAUUUUUUCAAUUCACUUAUUUUUUAGUUAAUUUUAAGAAUAGUACAAUUCCAUUGAAAAUGAUGCAAUGAGUUGUUUUAAUAUUUAAUAACAACACGUUGGCUUUGCAUGUAGAGGGUAGAAAAUAUGUUGUCCACCAUGAUAUGUAAUUAUAAUUAUAUUUAAAAACUAUAAUUACAUUUAAAAACAUUUUUCUUAGUUUUAACUGAUUACUUAAUUUUUAGUGGUUAGUAUUAUAUUAAUAUAGGAUGGAGAGAGAGAAUUUAGAGUUAUUAUGUCAUAGUCUCUAUCCAACUCAUGUGGGAGUGUUCUUACUAGGAAGGCCAUUACAACUGCUAUAAAGUUCCAUUGCUUAUUAUGCAUAUGUCAAUAGUUUAAUAUUUGAGAGUUGGUUUGUUUACCUGUGUUAUUAAGAAAUAAUCUAUUAUUGUCUAAUAAAGGUGUAGUGGCUAGCUUGUUAUUAAAAUUCUUCAUAAAGCUUGAUAUUUGAUUGCUCCGCAUUAUACAUUUUUCUUUUUAAUUUGUUAAUAUGCUUUACAUUUUCUGCUACAGAUUCGGAGUUUGGGUGUUGGAAAUUUAAGGCUUUCCUAUAAAGUAAUGCUUCAAGACGGAGGCAAGAGGCUUGGUUGUAGAUAUAUACAUGAACAACUUAAUUUAAGUUUAUGUAUAUUGUCUUAUAGUGUGUUUUUAAUUUCGUUGUAUAUUAUAUGAGUUUCUUCUAUAUAGAGAAAUUGGGGACAACUUUAAACAAGUUAAUUGAUUUGUGCUUUAAUUAAUAAUCAAAUGUAUAUUAAAUAUGUUUUUAUUAUAUAUAAAAUCAUGAUAAUUUGAUUGUCAUUAUCGUUCUUAAAUAAUAUCAAAUUGAUUAUACAUGGCAACAGGUUCAAUUUUUCAUAUUAAAAAAUAAUUUUAAAAUUUUUCUAGGGGAACCUUGACAAUUGUACUUAUUCCCAACCUUGACAUACAUGAUACUCAAAUUUGAGAUAUAUGGAAGCAAUCAUGACAUAUGUGGUACCUAUCCUUAACAUAUAUGGUGCCCACCAAGACAUAUGUGGUUCAUAACUUAACAUAUGUUAGAGAUAUCAUGACAUAUGAUAAGUAAUGAAAUAUACAUAUGUCAAGAUUGCUUAUACCUCAAUCUUGACACUCGGAUAGAUGACAUAUAGAAUCAGAAUGCUAUAAUGACAUAUAACCCUUACCAUAAUGGUCAAACACCAUCAAGGAAAGCCUUUUUUUUAGUAGUGUUUUAAGGGGAAAUAUUGAUAUUGUAAGAGUUUUAUUAAACAUGAAAGAAUUUCUUUUAUAAACAAAAAUAGAAUUAUAAAAUUCUUAUAAGAAAUAACAUUUUUAUGACUUUUACAUGAAACCUUUUUUUUUUAAAGUUAUAAGUUUUUUAAAAAAUAAUUAAAUUGGUAUAAAAACUUUUAUUUAACUCUUAAAAGUCAAUCCAAAUAAAAUUUAUAUAUAUAUAUUUGAAAGUCACUUUUAAAAAUCCAAAAAAUCACUUAAAAAUAAUUUCUAAAUAUUUUUUUUAACUUACAUUUAAAAAACAAAAAAAAAAUAAAAUGAUUUGUUUUUACUAGUUAUUUAAAUUAAGGAAGCAGGAAAGAGGAAAGAGUUUGCUCUAAUGUUAAAAAAAAAAGGGGUUGAAAAGUAAUUAAAUCACUAAAAAUAGACUUGGAGUUCUUUUAGUGUGUGGUUAGACUCAAUUUGUCCCCAUGCAAUGGAAAUGGAAGAUUUUUUGUUUUUUGUUUUCCUUUUCCUUUAUCUUGGUGUAGUCUUGUGAUAUUGUUACUAAAAUAGGAGGUAAAAAUAUAAAUUAUAUAUCAAUUAUUUUAAAUUUAGGAAAAAAAAAGUGCUUAUUUUAAUUUGAAAUAAAUAAGUAGAAAAAAAAUUGAUUUUAUCUCAAUUGUGAGACUUCAUUAAAAUUUUCUUAUUUACAAAAUAUUUUGGGUUGUAAAAGUAAAAAUUAAACAAAUCAUUUCAUGACCUUUUUCACAACAUGAUAUUUUAUCAUGUUGAAUAAAAUUGGAAUGGUCAAAAGUUGUCAAAUCAAGACUUCCAUGGCAAAUUACACCAUUGCAUAUCUCAAAGAUUAUUCUACAACAUUAUCUUUGUAGACUUUUAACAAUCCAAGAAAUUGACAAAUUAUAUAAUAAUCCCAUACACAAUAUUCUAGAACUUUACAUUAUUCUUUUUAUUUUAAUACAAGAGGAAUCCUAAGUCAACAAUUUUUUUGAACAAAAAAUAAAUAAUGAAAUCUACAACUUUACAAUAUUCUACAAUUUUUUUGAACAAAAAAAUAAAUAAUGAAAUCUGAAUAAUGGAAACAAUCAAUGAAAUCUGAAUAAUGGAAACAAUCAGUGAAAUCUUUGGCAUGUUAAUUCUUUGUAGCUUCAACAUGGUGGCAUGUCGGAUGGUGGAGGCAACAUUUGAGCUUUUGGGUGUUUACCAUUUUUCACUAUGAACGCAGUUUCCAUGCCCCAAGUCAGAUGGCGUUCUACAUGGCAGUGCAUGAACCACACCCCUGCAACAGAGAAAAUAUACCAACAUUAAACCUAAUUUAUUGCAAUAUUAAGAAAAAUUAUUCCCUUGGUAUGCAGGUUGGCAAUUUCAAGGGUUUUUUUUUAAUAGAGGACAUGAGUGCUUGAAACAUACCAGGGUUGGAUGCCUCGAAUCUGAUUGCAGCCCAACCAUUCGUAGGAACAGAGAUGGUACUCUGAAGGGGAGGAUCCACUAGAUUAUAGCGCAAAGGGUCCUUAUUUUUAUCGAAAUUCCCAAAUCCCCAUCCAACAAGGUAGAAACUGUAUCCAUGGAGAUGCAUGGGGUGGUGUGUCCCUGCAACCAAGUUUGUCCCUUGAAAAACAAUCUCCACUGUGGAGUUAUACUCAAGCACCCUUACUUCUGUUCCGUUUUCCGGCGUUUGAUACUCUAAUGGAAGAUAAUCAGCUGUAAAAUCGAACACCAGUGGUGGAACGCUAGGAAAUUUAUCUCCAUAUACACCACUGAUGUUAUAAUAGUAAGCUUGUAGUAUGUCAAUUGUAGGGGAUUGGAAGCUUAUGUUGUUUAUACUCGCGGAGAAUCGCGUCCCAUUGGGCCCUGCACAUGAAUUAUUGGGGCAUAGGAACGAGUUUACAGAAACAGUGUAAAUCAGUUUAGUGCUCGGGCUCAACGGGACAUUGGAAGGAUGUUCUGCAUUUGCUAAGCUUCGGAGGCCAGCCAUGACCUGAACCGAUGCAUUUGUGUCAUUGUAUGCAGGAAAAUGAGGCAAGGAGGGAGGUGAAGAUGGAGUGUAGUAUCCCUUGUACUGUACAAUAGCUGUGGUGGUUGUGUUAUCAUAAAAAUUUUGAGCUGCUGGGGCAAUGGAAUAAGUUUUAGCCGCCAUGUAAUAGUGAUCCGGGUGUUGGUUAGCUUCUAGUAAGACAUCGAAGGUUUGGCCAGGAUAUAUUGUGAUAUAAUCUUGUGUCAAUGGUUUCAUGUAGCUACCAUCUGUUCCAACCACUGUCAUUUUAUGCUUGGCAAUUGAGAAGAAGAGAGCCUCGUGCAGGGCAGCAUUGAUUAUGCGAAGUAGAUAUGUCUUUCCAUGAUCCACCGUUAGCUUGAAUGUGUCUGCAAUUAGAAAAGGAAAGUUGUAUACUUACGACUAGAGAAAAGAAAAGGAAAAACUUUCCAUGAGGAUCCACCAAUUAUGAAGUGAUUGAUUUAUUAGGGGUGUAAAUUUGGCUCCAUAGUUCAAAAUUAUAUUUGGAUUGGCUUUUGCUCAUGUGUUAAAUCAUGGCUCUACCAUCCUCAUAGCUAUAUUCCUCUUUCUUAGCAUUAAGUUUUAAAUAUGUUGAUGUUAAUAAGAAAAAGUAAUAUGGUUAACAUACAAGAAAAUGAGAUCAGUGUACAAUUUUAAAAUGGGAAGUUAAACUUUAUACCUGAUUUUGAGCAUGGAUAUAGAUCACCGGGUUGUCCAUUUAUCAAUAAAGAAUCAGAGGCAUUGGGGUCAGCUCCAGUUGCAAGCCCUUCAUCUCGAACCGCAUUCACAUCACUCUUCCACCAUUGUCCUGCAUUUCAACAACUCCAAUAAUUUAGAUUUUGCUUUGUUGGUUAAUUCAUGAUAUGUAAAUUAACCUUUAAAAGCAACUACACUUAUACCUAAUAUGAUGGGAAUUUCUGCGUUAGGUUUGGGAAAAGGAUACUUGGUUCCAUUCUUGGGAUAGACGAUUAUAGCUCCAUGAACGGUGGCUCGAGUCCAGUCACUAUGAGCAUGCCACCAUAGAGUGCCUUCCUCAGAGGAAAGGAUGAUCUUCUGGCUAAACUUUGACCCUGGUUGAAUUGGGCAUUGUGUGAUAUACUCGGGACCAUCUGUCCAUGGAUAUCUAGGCAUGUUCACCCCAUGCCUGCAAAACGAUAACUAUACAUUAAAACUAGUACUAAUUUUUAGACUAACAAAAGAUGGCAUGUAGCAACAUAUUAUCAUAGUAACAAGAGGCAUCAACUAUAUUUCAAUGGAACUGAUGCAAAUAACCCUAAAAUAUUAUUUUAGAUUUAACUUUAUUUGCAAAGCAAUACAUUGCAGCCCCCUCUUAGAAAUAAAAGAAUGUAUGUCAUGCAAGCAUGUUGCCCACUGCUAUCUUUCUCCGAGACAUGCAUAGGACUUACCAGUGAAUGGUGAUAUUUUCUUUUCCCCUGUUAUAAACGUUGACGAUGAUCGUCUCUCCUUUCUUAGCAUAUAUAGUUGGUCCUGGAAAUUGUCCAUUUACUGUUAAGAUGUUCUUGGUGCUACAAAGCCUUGUAUAUGAAGCCUCCUUCACCUGCAACCAAUUAAAAGUUAACCAUGCAACCUCAUCCCAAAAGAAAUAUUACAUGCAUGAAUAGUUGCAUCGAUCCAUUCAUGCAAGUGUAUAACCAAUUAGAAAUUGAUAGCAUGCAUGAAGGACUCAAUGACACCAGGGUACCCGAAGACCCCAUGAGGGUCAUAACGGUGGAAAAUGAGAGCCACACUGCUCCCUAAAUAUUAUGAUCAAAAGGUGGCGUUAAGGCCAUAAUCAUAUAUAGUAUUUACCACAAAAGUAAGCCGACGAGUUGAAGCUUGGCAAUGGAUGCCACCACCAAAAAGUAGAAACACUAAAAUUUGCAAGAGGAAAACCUUCAUGAUCAGCCACAUCUUCUUUGGAAUAAAAGCCUCUUCUCUUGUCCUAAACACAACUGCUUCAAUUUUCUUACUAUUUCUAAUAAGCACGACUUAUCUUCUCUCUGACAUGAAUAGAUGAAUUCUUAAAGGUAUUUAUAGAGGCUGGAGGUGAAAGCUGAACAGCUGGUUUCCUGGGGUACAACCAUUCCUCGCCGCGUAUCAAUAUAAGAGAAGUAAUUUGAAUGUGUAUUGGUUUUGAAAGUUCUUCCAGGACCACUUCAAAGAGCAGGUUGUGUAUGAUAUCUGACCACUUACCAAAAUUUAAAUAAACCAAAUUCCUGAAGACGAGUUUCUUAGAAUCUCUUGAAUUUUCUAAUUCAAAAUACAUGAAAGAUGAUUUUCCUGGGGUACAACAAUUCCUCGCCGCGUAUCAAUAUAAGAGAAGUAAUUUGAAUGUUCUUCAGAAAGCAGGUUGUGUAUGAUCAGCUUCAAUCAGGUUGUGUAUCGUACAAGUUUGACUUUGAGAAUUGACCAAGAAAUUAAUCAAACAUAUUAUUUUAGAAUAAAUUUCAAAUACAUGUAGAAUACUUUUAAAACUUUGACCUCGCAUAUAUACAGUACCUUUAUCAAGAUUAGUCAAGAUUUUCUCUUUGUAUUUGGUAGGAAGGGAAAAGUCAACGCUGCUUUCAGAAGGAAUAUAGGAUUCCAUUAUAGGAAAGAAACAAUCAUUCAAUUAUAGGAACCGGAUCGAAAAUUCCUUGUCCGGUUGGAGGGUCAAUCCAGACAUUCAAAUCAUUCAACAUAUAAAUUAGUUUAAACGGAUAAGAGAACAUUCAGACAUUUUCAAACAUCAAAUCUCCACUUUUUAAAAAAUAAUAAUAAUAAUAAUAAAUAAUUAUAGAUUUAAAAAUAACUUUUUUCAGAACAAAUAAGAAAUAAUUCAAACUUCCUUGUUUGGUUUAUUGUACCAUAUAUAAUGAAAAAUCAUUAUAUAAAUAAAUUAUGCAAAGAUGUAUAUAUUUUAAAAUUAUUUAUAAACAGAAAAAAUGAUGAAUAAAAUUUGAGACGUGAAAAUUUGAUCAAGUUAAUUUAAAAACUUCUUUUAAUUUUUUUCACUUUUUUACUCCUAUUUUUUCACACUAUUUUUUUUCUCACAUUUCCUUUUAAACCUUUGAAAUAAAUUCCCUACUAUUUGUGGAGCUUUAAUAUAAUUUUUUUCUCCAUAUUAUACAUAUUUAUGCAAUGUUUGGUUAAACUAUUUUGAAUUUCUAUUUUUACCUUAACAAGAAACAUUUCUUGAAAAUGAAGAUUAUUUUCUCCUUAUUUUCAAAUUUGUGUUUCUCCACUUUUUUUUUUUUAAAUAAUAAUAAAUAAUUAUAGAUUUAAAAAUAACUUUUUUCAUAACAAAUACAAUAUAUAGCCGGCUUAUAAAAACUAUUAUCUAAAAAAAGGAAAAAAAGAAAAGAAAAGAAAAGUAAAAUAAGAAAUAAUUCAAACUUCCUUAUUUGGUUUAUUGUACCAUAUACAAAGAGUUUUAAAUAAUAAAUUGGAAGAUCAUCCCAAACACUUUAAAGAGUUUUAGAAAUCAAUACUAAAAUCAAUCUUGAUUUAAAACUCCUAAAUAAUUAAUUGUAAAGUUGUUUUCAAAGGAAACCCUUCUUAUCUCGAUUUCCCCUCACUAAGAUACUUCAAAAGUGGAAUAAUAGAUAAGAGUGAACUUAAAACUCAAUUAAGAAAAUUGGUCAAUAAGGAAGAUCAAGUAUAGUACAAAGUUAAAUCUUAGGAGAUAUCACAUCUUUAUAAAUAAAAAAUAAAAAAUCAAUUAGUAGGAGUUCAUUUAAUUCAAUAAUUAAAUUCAUUUUGUUCAAAAAAUUAUGCACUUUCAAUUUAAAGAUAGAAUUAAAUAAUAUACUUUACAUACUUAAAUUAUAUUAAAAAAAUUAUAAACAAACAUUUUACUCCGACUCAUUGAUAAUAACAUUGUGCCCAAAUAGUAGAACUUGCAUUAGGUGGCUAGUCUCACUUUGUGCCUUUUAGCAAUGGACAAAAUGAUUUAUAAUCAAUGAUAUACCAAAGGCUAAUAACACCCUUAUUAGCUAGAGUUACAUUAUAUCACUAUCCUCACCAAAGGUAACGCAGGUCAACAACUUCUCUCUUAAACCAAUGUAAUAAAUUAAAUGAUAAAAUUCAUUUGCAUAACAAUAAACAAAUCAUAUGAUAUUCCCAAUUUAUUUUAUAAACUAAGGAACAAAUCAUAACAUUUUUAGUAAAAUAUUAUUUGAUCCACUUUAAGGAACUUAAACAUUUUGAUAGUUUAAAAAUAGAUGAAAAAAAUUAAGAAAUUAUAAAAUGGUUUACUAUACUAUUAACCAUUACCUUGAAGAAAUCAUUCAAAAUCCUGAAAGACUUAAUCUACACCUAAUAUAAACAUAAAUAAAAAAUAAUCAUUAAAGAUUAAUUAUCUAAAUUAAUGACUUCCUAAUUUUUUUGUAAAACUUACUUUAAUUCCAAACCCUUUUCUAAAGUUCUAUUUUUUGAAUUAAAUUUUUUAUUAACCAUAUUAUUAUUAUCAUUUUCACUUCUCAUAAUUACAUUAAUGGGUUUUGUUGAAUUAUUAAUGUUAAUAUUCCUUCUUCUUUUUUUCAUGGUAGGAAGUAGGUAAUUAUUUAUUAAUUUACUACUAUUUUUACUUAUCUCCUACCCACAACCCAAAUCUUAUUAUAACUUUAUUAUUUCUUUGCCACAACCACUUUCCUCAUUUCCUCAAUUCUUCUUCCUAUUAAUCUCGUGGUUAAAGAAAGGUAAAAGAAUCUAAAAAGAAAAUCAUACAUGAAGAACUUACCUUAAAUUUCAUAAUGAAGCAAAUAAAAAAAGUUUCUUCUUUCUAACCCUUCAAACCAAACUUCUCUAUAUACCUUUCUCUUGUUUCUUUUUCCUCUCUAUUUUAUCUUUUCAAAUUUUAAUAAUGUGGAGAAAUCAAUGGAAUUUAGGGGUGAAUUAUACUUUUAUCGCUAAAAGUAACUUUUAUUGAUGGAAUUUUAGAUGUUGUCAGUGGUGCAAAUUUUUUUUAAAAAAUUUCUAACGAAUUUAAAAAUUUCAUCACUAAAAGACAUGAUGGGAAAAUUUUGGCAUCGUCAUUUUUUUGGCACAAACACUUUUCUGAUAGAAAAAACCUAUUUUCUCAGAAAAGUAUUUGUCACUAAUUAUAAUUUUUGGUGACUAAAAGUUACAACUUUUUAUAUAUAUAUAUAUUUGCUUGUAAAAUGGUUUCAUUAAGUGGUUGUAUUAUUUCUUGACAAAUUGAGUAAUUUUAUCAUUAUUAAAUUGUGAUAUUAAUAAGUAAUAUUGAUAAAUAACUAGAUGAUUUAUAUUGUGAAAUAACAUAUGUAUUUUUUGAGACUUAAUAUUUAUACUGUAAUAUUUUAUUUCUAUUAAUAAUAAUAAAAUAAUUACAGAUUCAUAAAAUGAAAUACUACAAUACAGAUUUAUUUAAAUUUAAACGUUUUGUAACGUAAUAAUAGUAUUGUUAUGAAAUAAUAAAAAGGUAAAUUAUUUAAGCAAUUAAUAUUUAUAUCGUAAUAUGUUAUAUUUUUUUUAUAUAAAUAAUAACAACAAAUAAUUCAAGACAUGUAAGAUUUGUUACUUUGAAACAAACUUUCGAAUCCUAGGUACAUCCUUAAGAAAAUUUGUUACAUUCAAUCCUUGAGCUAACGGGACACCUAUCUCUUUUCCCAUGGUCCAUUUAUUCAUUUGGAGACCUCGAAAAGUGAUUAGAGGUCAUUCCCCACCUUAAAACGAACUUUGACUCCCAUAGUACAUCCUUUACAAAAUUUGGUACAUCAUUCACAAAAAUUCGUACAUCCUUAAAAAAAUUUGGUACAUCUAAUCCUUGACCUAUUAGGACCCCUAUCUUAUUACUCAUGGUUCGUUUAUUCCUUUAGAGAUCUUUGGAAGUGAUUAGAGGUCGUUCCCUACUCCGAAACAAACUUUGGAAAUCCUUGGGAUAACGGGACACUUAUCUCCCUUCUCAGGGUCCAUUUAUUCCUUUGGAGAUCCUUAAGAAGUGAUUGAAGGUCGUUCCCCACCUCGGAAUAGACUUUGGCACCCUUGGUACAUCAUAUACAAAAUUUGGUACAUUCUUCACAAAAUUUGGUACAUCUUCAUAAAAUUUGGUACAUUCUUAAAAAAAUUUGGUACAUCUAAUUCUUGAGCAACUAAGACCUCUAUCUUAUUGCCCAUGGUCUGUUUAUUCCUUUAAGAAUCUUUGGGAAGUGAUUGGAGGUCAUUCUCCACUCUGGAACGAACUUUGGAACCCUAGGGACAUCCUUAAGAAAAUUUGGUACAUCCAAUCCUCGAGUUAUUGGGACACCUAUCUCCAUUCUCAUGGUCCAUUUAUUCAUUUGGGAACACUUAGAAAGUAAUUGGAGGUUGUUCCCUACUCUGGAAUGAAUUGUGGAACCUUGGGUACACCUUUAGAAACUUUUUGUAUUUUUAUGGUUAUGUAAUGGUUUGAUGUUGUUGAUUGAAAUGAGGUGGUUGAGUCACAAUUUAUAAUCAUCAAGGGAAAACAAAUUGUGUUUAUUCAUGACCAGAUGAAAAUGAAUAACAAAUGGAAUUAUUGUCACUUUUAAUGGUAUUAUAUUAUGAAUCAUUUGAAUAGUUUUCUUAAAACAAUUUGUCAAUUCCAAAUGGAUUAUAGCUGAAUUGAAAAAUGAAGGAAUAUAGUUGUAGAAAAGAAGGGUUGAAUUUUUGUGGGCAUUAUGGAAGAAAGAGGUCGAGCCUUAUAUGAAAAACAGAUUGUUAACACUAGGCAUAAUAGUGGACGACCUUUUCAUGUAGGGGCUGACCCUUUUUAGCUUAUAACCCUUAGUCAUGAUAUUAGUUUUAUUUGAAGUGAUUAGUAACAAAAAUAAAGGUGUUGUUCAUAGGCAAUCCCAUCGUGUUUUUAAUAUUGGUUUUGUUUUAUGUGGGUGGUAGGCAGAACAAAGGUUGACCCAUUGUUUAAUAGGUAGGCCUUUGAAUAUGGACGUUAUAACCUUAGAAUAUGGACAGUGAGGAAAAUAGUGGUCAACCCAUGUAUUCAGAGGUAGAGCCUGAACUUAUAUUACAUAUCAAAUAAGUUCCUAACAAAUAAAUAAAUAAAAGUAAAUGCAUUGUGUGAUGUUUGGUAUAGACAAUACAUUUCAAUAUUUAGCACAUUAAUGUCACACCAUAAAAUGUUAAUGAAACAAACUUGGAUUGUUCAUAAUCUGAAUGAGACGUUAAUAUAUGAUGACUAUAUAUGUGACCAUGACAAUUGUUAUAAGUAAUUAGUUUUGACAGGGUUAUUUAAAAAUAUAUAUUUAAAAAACUAAAUACCUAAUGAGGUCUAACUGUGAGAAUAAAAUAAUUUAUGCUUAUUCUAUAAAUGUUGAAAGUAUUUUUGUGAUGAAUAUAUGUAUUAUUGGAAAUAUUUACAAACAUGCCUAGUUUAUUGAUGUGUGUGUGUGUGUGUAUUAAAAAAAAAAAAGUAAAAUCAAGGAUGUUCAUCCUUUCCUCAUAAGAAUGUACAUUGGGUUCUGAAGUCCAUUUUAGGGUAGAGAACAACCUCCAAUCACUUCUCAAUGGUCUUUAAAUGAACAAACCAACCAUGGGUAAUAAGAUAGGGGUCCUGAUAGCUCAAGGAUUGGAUGUACCAAAUUUUGUGAAGAAUGUUACAAAGUUUGUAAAUGAAAUACCAAAUUUUAUAAAGAAUAUACCAAGGAUGCCAAAGUCCGUUCCGAGGUGAGGAACGACCUCCAAUCACUUCUCGAGGGUCUCCAAAGGAAUAAAUGGACCAUGUGAAGGGAGAUAGGUGUCUCAUUAGCCCAAGGAUUGGAUGUAUCAAAUUUUCUUAAGGAUGUACCUAGGAUUCCAAAGUCCGUUUUGGAAUAGGGAAGAACCUCCAAUCACUUCCCAAAGAUCUCUAAAGGAAGAAAUGGACCAUGGGUAAUCAAAUAAGGGUCCUAAUAGCUUAAGGAUUGGAUGUACCAAAUUUUUUAAAGCAUGUUCCAAGGGUGCCAAAAUCCAUUCCAAGGUUGAGAACGACCUCCAAUCACUUUCUAAGAGUCUCCAAAUGAAUCAAUGGACCAUAGGAAAGGAGAUAGGUGUCCCGUUAGCUCAAGGAUUAGAUGUAACAAAUUUUUUUAAGGAUGUACCUAAGGUUCCAAAGUUCAUUUCGAAGUAAGGAGCAACCUCCAAUUACUUCCCAAAGAUCCUUAAAGGAAUAAACGAACCAUGGCUAAUAAGAUAGGGGUCUCGAUAAUUCAAGAAUUGGAUGUACCAAAAUUUUUUUAAGGAUGUACCAAAUUCUGUGAAGGAUGUACCAAAUUUUGUAAAGGAUGUACCAAAGGUGUCAAAGUCUAUUCUGGUAAGGGGAACAACCACCAUUCACUUUUCGAGGGUCGGUCUCUAAAGGAUAAAUAGACCAUGGGAAGUGAUAUAGGUGUCCCUUUAGCUUAAAGAUUGGAUGUACCAAAUUUUCUUAAAGAUGUACCUGGGGUUUAAAAGUCCAUUUCAGAGUAGGGAUCAACCUCCAAUCACUUCCCAAAGAUCCCUAAAGGAAUAAAUAGAUCAUGGGUAAUAAGAUAGCGAUCCUUAUAGCUCAAGGCUUGGAUGUACCAAAUUUUUUUAAGGAUGUACCAAAUUUUGUAAAGGAUGUAUCAAGGGUGCCAAAGUCCAUUCUGAGGUCAGGAACAACCUCCAAUCACUUCCCGAGGUCUCCAAAUGAAUAAAUGACCUCCAUUUGUUCUAAGGUAGGAAAUGACAUAUAAUGACUUCCUAAGAGUUCCUAAGGGAACAAAUGGACCAUGGGAAGGGAGAUAAGGGUCCCAAUAGCCCAAGGAUUGGAUGUACCGAAUUUUCUUAAGGAUGUACCUAGGGUUCCAAAGUCUAUUUACAGGUGGGGAAUGGCCUCCAAUAACUUCUCAAUGGUCCUCAAAUGAUGAAAUGGCAUAAGGGUCCUAAUAGCCUGAUGAUUGGAUAUACUAAUUUUUCUUAUGGAUGUAAUUAGGGUUCCAAUGUUAGUUUCAAGGUGGGGAAUGACCUUUAAUCACUUCCUGAUGAUUAGAUAUACCAAAAUUUAUUAAAGAUGUAUCUAAGGUUCAAAAGUCUGUUUUGGGGUGAGAAAUAACCUCCAAUUACUUCCUAUUGGUCCCUCAAUGAGCAAAAUGACCUUGGGAAGAGAGAUAGGGGUAUAAUUAGCCGGAGGAUUGGAUGUACUAAAUUUAUAUAAGGAUAUAUCUAGGGUUCCAAAGUCUAUUCUAAGGUAGGGAACGACUUGCAAUCACUUUCUAAGGGUCCUCAAAAGAUCAAAUGGACCAUGGGAAUGGAUAUAUGGGUCCUGGUAGCCCAAGGAUUGGAUGUACCAAAUUUUCUUAUGGUUAUACGUAGGAUUCCAAACUCCAUUCCGAGAUGGGAAACAACCUCCAAUCCUUUCCUAAAGGUCUCCAAAAGAAUAUAUGGACCAUGAGAAGAGAGAUAGGGGUUUUGAUUUCCCUAGGAUUGGAUGUACCUAUUUUUGUUAAGGAUGUACCUAGGGUUUCAACAUUCGUUUUGGGAUAAGGAAGGACCUCCAAUCACUUAUCGAAGGUUCCCAAAGGAAUAUAUAGACCGUGAUAAAGGAGAUAGGGAUCCUUGUUCCCUUAGGAAUGGAUGCACCUAUUUUUCUUAUGGAUGUAUCUAUUUUUUUAUGAAAUUAAUAUAAAAGGUUAACUACAAUUUUUUUUUAAUGAAAAAUUAUAUUUUCUUUUAAUUAAAAAUUAAAGAUUUUAAUGAAACAAAAAAUUAGAUCCAUGAUCAAGUUAAAACCAUAAGAAAAAAAGAUAAAAGAAUCAUCACUUACUAUGAUUUUGAUAUGAUAAAUUUAAAAUAAAAAAUAUAUAUAUAUAUAAUAUAAACAAUAAAAUAGUAUUACAAAUAUAUUUUUACUUUGAUGUGUGAUAUGGUUUAUAAAAUAUAUAAAUCUUUUAUUUAGCAUUAAUAUAACAAAUCUUAUAUCAUAAACCUAUAAAUAAUAAAAUAUAUUUUUUAAAUUUAAUCCUUGAUUUAUUAAAAGUAUUACUAUAAUUAAUAUUUAAAAUCAUCAAGUAUAUUAUUUGUGGAAUAAUAUUUUCAUUUUUGGCCAUUAUAUAUUUAUGUUUUUAUAUAACUUGUUAUAUUAACUAUUUAUUAUAUAUUAUUAUUUUAAAGUUAAUAUGUCCAAAAAAUAAUUAAAAUCAAUAAAUAUGGAGAUAUUAGAGAGUUAAAAAAAUAUAAAAUUGAAGAAGUUUUAUGCGAUAAUACAAAGAAAAAAAUAGUUAUUGGUGUACUUGACAACAACAUUUAAUGUGGUAAGUGUACUUGCCCUCAACUUUUGAGGGUAAUUUUGGAACAAAUUCAAAAGCACUAUUGGAGUGCAUGAAUUGGUAUAAAAAAAAUUCCAUUUUACAUUAAAAUUGAAAUAGUAAAACCACAGUUUUAAAAACCAUAUUUUUUAAUUGGUGAUGUACCAAAGCAUGAUUAUCCCAAUUUUAAAUAAUACAAAAAUCAUAAAUUUUAAAUUUUAAUUUUAAUCUUCUUUUAAAAAUUUGUAAAUUUUAAUGUUUAAUUUUUUAAUUUUUUAAUUUAUAAAUUUUAAAUAAUAUAAAACUCAUGGCAUGUUGAAGUGCAUUAAAUGCAUUGUAGUAGCAUAUUGUAUUUUUGUAGCAUAUAUGACAUAGAUGGAAUUGUGUGGAGUGUUUUUUGGGAAAAAAAGAUGAAAAAAAAAAAAUUCUCAAACCCUCACCUAGUUAAGCACCAUUGCAAGUUUGAAAAAAAAAAACCCAAUUUUUAAAAAGAGAGAAAACCACCAUCGCAAACAAUGGCUCACCACAUUUGUACCUGAUGCCAUAUCCUCUUCAACCUUUCAUCAUUUUCACCACCAACCCAUCUACCUUCUUGAAAAGUCAUUUUCCAACUACCAAUCAUACCCACCAUUCUCCAUAACACAUUUGUAUCUAAUAAUAAUUGUGAAAAUGACCAAUUUGAUUAAGCAAAUCACUAAAGGGGGGGAGGGGGGAAUGUGGGAAGAGAUGAAUUAGGUGUUAUAUUUUUUAUUUUAUUUUUUCAAAAGCAACCAAUUAAUAACAAAAAGAAUAAGAGAUAUUAAUUAAGGCAAUAAUUAAGUAAAAGAUAAAGAGAAGAUAUAUGCAAACUCUUUUAUUGUGGUUCAAAACUCCACCUAUAUCCAUUCUUUUUAACCUCCUAAGUAAGUGAGGAUUCCACUAUCAAAGACCUUCAACCUAAGCCUUCAAGCUUUAUAUUUGGAUUCAUGGUCUUCAAUGGGCACUCACAAUCCUUUCAAAUACUUCACCCACUUGAAGUCUCUUCACUCAAAAUGAGUAAAUAAGGAAAGUUCUAAUGCUUUCUAUUAGGACAUUGAGUCUUAUUUAUAUGUUGGCAAUUUUGUUUACUUUAUGUUUCAUCAUAGAAGUCUUUUUAGAUAAUGGCUUGCUCCCCAUUGAAGAUCAAGGGUGGUUGUUCGUCCAACCAAGAAGUCAUACGUAUAUUUAAAAAGGUUUGACUUGUUGCAUAUAAGGCUUCUUUAAGGUAUAAAAGGUUUAGUAUCAUUUUUGGACUUAAAAUGUUUUAAAAUGAUUUUUUAAAAGAAGUAGGGGCUGCUCAAGUGGAAAGGACCGAUCAACCAGUUAGACUACUCAAGUGGUAAGGAUGACUCAAGUAGUCUAAGUCUACUCAAGCAAUCAUAACAGUCCUUUCGAGUUUAGACACAAAUUUUGGAUGAAUUUCACUUGAACUCUAGUUUGAAAACUUAAGUUACUGAAACUCUUUGGAUUAUAAAUACUUUCUUAAUAACCCCUUAAGGGUUAGGGAUCGAAGAUUGAAGAGAUCUUAGAGAUUAAAAACCUUUCAUUCUUAAAAAGAGGGACUCCUUGAUAGAAAGCUUAAAUUGCUAUAUAAUUCAUGAUUUCUCAUUCAAGGAUUUGAAUCUUUAAAUUGUGGGUUGAAGACCAUAAUCCCUUCGAAGUGGCAAAAAGAUCUACUAGGGAGCAACAGGAAGUUGCUACGUCACAAACGUGGAUUAAGUUGUAGGUGUUGAAGAGUAAGUCUUUAGGAUAAAGCAGCCAAGUAAAUUUGUGUAACUUGAUUUUGAAUAGUGGAUUUAGAUUGGUAGGUCUUAGACCUUGUGGGUUUUUUUCUCCAAAGUUUGUGGGGGUUUUUCACAUACAAAUCUUAUGCCUCAUUAUCUAUAUCUUUUAUAUUUGAUAUUAUGUUUGUAGGGUUUUCAUAAAAGGUGCAUAUUUGUAGACCCCUCAUUUUGUCCUCCUAACACAUCUGAUACUUUAUGUUUUCCUAAGCUUCUCUCUUACCCUAUGGUUGUCCCUUAGAGACCCAUUAAAACUCAUAUGAAUUUUUUUCCCUAAGCUACCUUUUGGGACACUUUGUUGAGGGGCUCAUUUGGACUCACAAUGUGACUUUGACAACUUCUCAAGUUAGUUUUUAGGUUAGACUUCACUUAGAUUUUUUUUCCAAGAUAGGGUCACUUAGAUCUUUUUUAUACUAGGAUCACUUGGACACUUCACUUAGGUUGGUUUUCUUGAGUUUGAUUUCUAGGUUUUAGGUUUAGGUGAGUUCUUGACUUGAUUUCAAUAUUUGAAUGCAUGGGGUGAGUAUCAAUCUUUAGUUAUGUGAGUUCAAUGCAUUGAUUUUCUUAUUAUCUAUUACAUUAAGAUUAAUAUUUGGAUUUUGAUUGCAUGCGUUAAAUUUCUUUUAUUUAUUUUUUAUUUAUUUAUUUAUUUUAGAAAAUUUAUGUGAGACUAAUGUUAUGACUUUUAAUUGCUUGAAUUGAUGCUUGAUCUUAAAUAUGCAUACAAUUGACCUUUAAUUUUUAAUUGCAUAAUUUUAAUUUGCUUUAAUUUUCAAUUUCAUAACUUUUACUAAUUUUAAACUUUAUUUUAAUUUUGCAUGAGAUUUGAAUGUAUACUUUGGAGAAGAUCCCUUAGCGUACACGACUGCCCCAAUAAUAGGAUGGAGAUCAAGAAACUUAGGAGAUUCUUUUUUAGUUCAAGUGAUACAACCUACAACCUACAUGUGAACAACAUGCACCCAUUGACCUUCUACAAAAUGCACAGUCUACACAAAAGGAGACAUUUAUGCAACAUAGAUACAGGUUUCUUUUCUAAAAAAAAGUGUAGGCUGCCAUAUGAUAGGGCUUUAAACUAUUAAAGGAAAGUUAUUCAUGAUUAUUUAUUUUUUAUUUUAAAAAAGAAACUUAUAGCACACAUAGGAUGCAAGGGGCCACUUUCUAAAAAGAAAAGGGAUUCUUUCUUUUGGAUGAGGAUGUAGCAUAAAAAGUGAGGACCACUUUGAGAAUGGAGUCCGGUUUGGAGAAGAAAAAAAAAAAAAGACCACACGGUUCCAUGGAGAGGGGAGGGCAUAGUCUACCAUUGAAGGAGAGUUGACAGCCAUGUGUUCCUUGAGAAGGGGGUUCGCUCCCCACAACACACAUUUCAUCCUAAGGAGAGGAGGAUCUUCACACGUUGUCGAUUAGGGAGAAUACAAAUGCACAUGGAGGAUCACUUAUAGCCAUGAAUAAUAGCAGCUCAUCCAUAGCCCCACACACAACCAUGCAUAUUGGAGAAGAACUAGAAAGUUGUCACUUCAAGAUUUACCAUAGGUGCACACAUCAUUUGGAGAAGGUAAGUUAGGUUUUUUUUUUUUUUUCAAUUCUUAAUUUUCAGUUUGCAAGUUAGUUUUCUUUGUAUUUGUUUUGAUUCCACUAGAUUGAAAGUGGGAAUUAUUAAUCUUAGUUAGUUUUAUUAAUCUUAGUUUUGAGUCAUCCUAUAUAGUUUAGACACUUUCAUAAGUUUAGGUUCAUUAAUAAAAUUAAUUUUAUGCUUGAAAGUUCAUGUUUUUAGUUUGCUUUGACUUAGUCUAGCUCAUUUUAAUUAGUUUAAGUACUUUUAUAAUUUUAGUUAUUCUAUGUUUGAAAGUUCAUGUUUUUAGUUUACUUUAAUUUAGUCAAACUCAUUUUAAUUAAUUUAGGUACUUCUAUAAUUUUAGUUUCUUAGCUGAAUUUAUCCCAUUUUUUUUUAGUUUUUAUUUUAAAAUCAUUAAUGUUAGUUCCUAAUCAUCCUUAUCUUAAUUUAUAUGUUUUUAAGAUCCUAGUAGUUAGUUCAUGAAUCGAUAUCUUGUUAGUUUGUCUAAUAUAAAAUGCUUUGCUUGUUGCUUUACUGAUCCUUCAUUUAAUUUGAUUGUUUUUUAGGCCCUUGGAAACUCAUGAUGAUUGGCCUCUACUCUCACCUAGUUUAGGUUGCUAUAAAUUAUCACUUUCUAAUGUUAUUUUCUCUUUUAAAAAGAAAGUCUUUUCCCAAAAUUUUAUUUAUUAAAAUGGAUUUAAAAAACUUCUUCUAUAAUCCUUAGGGUUAAAAAAAAAAAAUCAUUUUCUUAAAAACUAUACAACCAUGUUUUAAUAUAUUUACACCUUUCUUUUAUUUUCAAUAAAAAUUGUGAUUUUUAGUGAAAUAUGAAUCCAAGCUUGUGGUCCCAAACGAAUGGGACAAUUCUUGGCUUUGAUGAGUUUGUCAAUUCUCAUGCAAGGUUGGGAAUCCAUAACCUAAAUUUGUGUAUAACAAAUGAGGAUUUGGUGACUAACCCCUUCAUAAAAUUAUUUUUCAAAAACCUUUUAUUGUUAACUUGUUGGAUUUGUUGCAUCUUUGGAAUAAAAUUUUGAUUUGGAUAAUUUAUGAUAUUCCUAAAAAUUUUCUUGUGGUUGAUGAUAUUAUGAACUUCAUUAACCUCAUUUUAGAAGUUUGAUUGAAUCAAAAAUCAUAUUUUUAAUGGAAAUUAUGAAUUAAUCUUUUGGUAGGUUCAGUUUUUUCCCAAUUCUGGAUACCCAAAUUGUUUUUUGUAUUUUCAAAUUGCUAAAUGACUUUGAAAAAUUAUUUUGACUUUUCUUCCUUCAUUCUAGACUUCUUGAAAUUUAUUUUAUACACAUAAAUAUUUAAAAAAUGUUUUGAUAAUUAGGAAAAAUAUAUUUUCUUUGUUCUACCCACUGUUGGCAUCUUAGAUCUAAGCAACAGAAGCAAUACCAUUUUUUUAAAAAUUAAUAUUUUAGGGUUAAAGAACUAACCUUUAGGUUUUGAGGUUCCCAAACCUUAAAUUCCAAGUGUUGAAGACGAUCCUGAAGUUGUUAGAAGUCUUGUAAACCUAUGAUCUUUCGCCCAAUGACUUAACCUUGUUCUUGGAAAACAAUGAGAAGGAAAGGCGGGUGGAGGCUAUGACUCUCUUUCUCUUUGAAUGGUGAGAGGCAAAAGCUAUAGAAACCUUAAUCCAUAUAGGGUAUUUAUAGGGAACCUAACUAGGCUUAAGUGACUUGAGCCUAUAUGGUCGGGCUUAGGUCACUUAAUCUAUCCCAAAAUGGGUCCUAAUUGAUUAAUUAACCUAAUAGGGCUUACUAAUUAAUAAAUUAGCCCAAUCCAAAGACCUUAUUCACUUACCCUUAUGCAACCUUGAAAAAUUACCAAAACACCCUUAUGCACAAAAGUGAACCUAGAGCUAAUCUGACCCUCAUAAUGCAUUCUAACAAGGUAUAUGAGCUCAGAGUGAGGAUCACUAGGAUCCAUAUAAGUAUUGGCUCCCUCAUAAUCAAAUUUUGAAUUUGAUUCAACAUCCCACUAUAAAAAAUCAACUAAACUCCAGUAUCCUAUGUAAAUAAUAACAAGACACUAAGUGCUCAGGUUCAUGACCUAUUAUCCACUACAUGCAGACUCUCCAUGAACUGGUGUCUGUAAUUUAACAAGGUAGUAUUAUUACCUUUCAAGAUUACCUCUUAAAUCCUUGAGUUAUAGAUCCCACUUAUUAUGUGAUCAAUUGACAUACUCUUACUCUAAAGAUAAUAUGUCAAAUUCCACUAAAGGAAUUAUUAUGGCCACAUAUUUCAUGAUCAUAUUUCUUUCGAUCACCCAAAGGAACACAUUGUCUCAAUCCCAUGAGAUAUCAUGGUGCCUAUAUUGUGAAUUCCUAUUACCAUCAACCUUUAUCAAUAAUGACCCAAUCCAUAUGGAUAUAUAACCACUUUAGGGUCUCACCCAAAUGUUAAACCCUCCUAUUUAUUUUGGAAUAUACUGAAUAUCCUUUUAAGGUUAAAAGUCCAUGCAGUAUGGUAACUUGGUAAAUCAUGAUAAUCGAUAACCUUGUGUCAUGAUUGACUGUAGGCCUUGUCUAAUAUUCAUCACAUACACUAGUGCACUCACCAUAGGAAAUCCAUCCAGAUGGCCAAGACAAGUCACCCCUCCAAUUAGGAGGUGAUGCACUAGAGUCUCUACUAGAUUGCCCAAAUCCAUGAACCAGCGGUGGACAACUUAUCUACUUGCAAGGAACCCAUGACUUGUAUCUUUUGUGCAACUGCUAAUGCACCCAAGUCAUGUACAAUGUAAGAGACAUGGACUAAAUGCUCAAAUCAUUGUUAGUACACUAAAAGGAUAGCAAAGGGAUGGUUAAGUCUAACUUUGUUACAUCAUAUCUUGCUUUCAAAGGCUCAAUCCUAACAAACUCCCACUAGCCCUAAAAGCAAACUAGGCAUCAUAGAAAAAUUUUUGUUCCAUGUCUCAUCACAUCUUUAUACUAUCUCAUUAUAAAGUAACACUUCUUAUUUAUGUGUUUCCUCUUCUGGUGAUACUUCAAUUCUUUAGACCAUGCCAUUGUCCCGUUGUUAUCACAUAACAGGAUCUUAGAUGAUAUAGCCAAGGGAAAUACCAAUAAGCCAAAAGGCUUUCUUUGUUGCUAUAAAAACAACAAAAAAGAAAAACCCCACUUCGAGUGUACACAUACCUAGAGGUAGACUUAUAAGAGUCCUUAUCAGACCGAAGUCCAAUUUCCUAGUAUGAAAUGAGUACUAACUCAUCGCAAAGGAUCACAACAUAUAAUUCCUUAUUUUCCAAAGAUACUAGAGUAUAUGUUUGACAUCUGGCCAAAGCUCUAAUAAGGAAAUGGACUAAUAUCCACUCAUUAUUCAUACAACAAAGCAAAUAUCUGGUCUAUCACAUAACAUCGCAUAUUUAAGGCAAUUCAUUAUAGAGGCAUUGGAUAUCGCCUUAAUGUGAUCUCUCUCCAUAGAUGUCUAAGGUCAUUGAUCAUAAGAAAGACAAGUCUAAAACUAAAUAGUAACAAACCUUCUUAGAGUUUUGCAUCAUAUACUUGACCAAAUGCUCAUCCAUGUAGGUGACAUGGUGCAAUUCUCCUAUUCUUGUAAUCCUGAAGGAUCAUAACCCGAAGAAUAUAUUGCAUCUUCCUCUAGAUUUUCAUCCAGAAUUGAGUAGACUAUUAGUUCUUGACUGAUGACAAUAUCCCUACAUCAUAUCUAAUGAGUAGAUUUUCAUCUACCUGUAAGAUCUUUGAGCAUCACUAUGCUUUCUUGUGUCUUUUUAUACACACAAGGCUAUUUGCUAUGAAAAUGUUUGGUUGUUAUGUCUUACAAAUGAGACACACUGCAAUAGAUAGUAGUAAUAUGAUGGAUUUGAGUAUGAUCACUAUUGAAAAGGUUUUCCAUAGUUGAAACAAAUUUCAAAAUGAAUCGCAAUUCGGAGUUGAAAUGAGGGAGUUGUAGUCGAUUGAAACUAGGUUGCACAAUGAGCAUGGAAGCACAAUGAUGUUGACUUCAACUCAAAAUUGGGGCUACCUCCCAUGAGCUUUUUGAGGCAAACCACAUAUGGUUUUGAAGCUUAAGAAGUCAGAAAUCCAAUACUUCAAACGGAUUUCAAUUUGGAGUUGAAGAAACAAGGGAGAUUUGGUUGAUUGAAGCUAAGUUGCACAAAGGGCAUGUAAUUACGAGAUGGAGUUCAAGCCAAAUUAUUUUUGGUUGUUUGGGCUCAUUUUUUGGGCCUCUUUUUGGGCUCUUUUAGUGGCAAUUAGGCCCGUUGGGUUUUUCUUUUUUUACUAACCCUAUUUUUGGUUGCAGGGCUAUUUUGAUAAUUUGGAUUCUAUCCAAGUUUUAGAUACCAAUUUUGCAACAAGAUCCCUAAGGCCAUGAGAAUUAUUUAUUUAAUUUUCUUUCAUGUCUUUUAUACUUUUUUUUUUAGAUAAUUUAUUAAAUUGGAAUGUGCUAGGACUUAGGAAAUUUUUAUUUUAGGUAAAGACAAGUUGGAAAUAAAUAAGGAACCUACUUCAUUUUCAAAAUUAAACUUUUAGAGAUUUUUUUUUAAAUAAAUCUUUUUAGAUUUUAGAUCUCUAAGAAUCUUUUUAUUUUAAGGAAGAAGUUUUUUUUUUUUUUUUCAGGUUUUUUUGAAAUAAAAUUAUUUCUAUUUAGCACAAGAUUCUAAAAUAAAGAAAUAAAUUAUUUUUGGAAAAAUAUAUGAUAGAUAAUUCAUGAUUAAGAUAGCUUACCAAGAUAUUGUUUCAAAUAAAAUAAAUUAAAAUGGUAAUUUUGGAUUUUCUUAAAAGAAUAAAUUUUCAUGAGUUUUAUUUCCAUUAUUAUUUAGUUAACAAAUUGGUUGUUGUCAUUUGGAAUUUCAAAUUCCUUUUGGGACUUUUUUUUUUGGGUUAGAUAGUUUUCUAAGCUCUCUCUCUCUCUCUCUCUCUCUCUCUCUCUCCUCCCCCCCCUUCCCCCUCUCCCCUAGAGAGAAGGAGAAUGACACGUACAUUGGUCCUCCAGGCUUUUCCUCCUUGAGAGAAAGAGAAAAUCGUUUAGUUUGAAAAUGAAAGUUCAAGGAUAAGGAAUAUGAAAGAUAUCCUUAAUUGGCAUAGGAGUCCCAAUUCAAGUAAUAAAUAAAAGUUUUGGAAAUUUUCAUGAUAGAUAAUUUAUUUUAAGAUGGAUUAUUUUAAAAUUAUCUUAAAGUCUCUCUUCCAAAAUAUUAAGUGGGAGCGGGCCAUAGGCAAGAGCCCAUCUUGAUUUCCAUCCUAAAGAUGGGGUGGCCCAAGGAAUCAAGGGAUAUGGACUAUCCUUUAUGGACAAGACUAUAUAUGUUUAUAGUAAGAGUGGCCAAUCCUAAAGAUAGAACUCUUCACUUCGUAACAUUGAUGUUAAGGAUCUUGAUUACUCAUUUAACUUAGAAAUGAAGUGGUAGAAUCACCUAAAGUGGUCCCACUUGCAUGGGCUAAGGGCUCAACAUAAAGGUAUGUUGAUCAAUGCCUUAGGAUAACCUUUGGAAGUUUAAGGCAGGUUGAUUAAUUAGAGAGGGUCUCUACCUAGUAAUAAGAGUCAUAACCUGCCUAAAGUAAGCUUGAUUCUUAUGAUACUAGGUUACCUUGCAUAGAUACAUAUAGUUUGAGAGCACUACAGUUUUGCUAAAUUAAUUACCAAUUUGCCUUAAAUGCUCAAUUCCUUUUAUUAAUGCAUGGAAUUAUUAUUUUUAUUAUGGAUAUCAUGUCUUUAAUCUAUCACAUUUUAUCUUUUGUUUAAAUUGGACCUAAUUUUAAAUUAGAAAUAAUCUGGAUAUAGUAUUAGUUGCAUAGAAGCUGUUUUUGGUAGAGUUUGUUAUUUCCUUUGAACAAACCUAUCAUCAAGUAAGAGAAACAUAUCAAAGGUGGCAUAAGACGGAUCAAAAGACUAAGUCUCUCAUACUUGGGUCUUUAGAUAAUGUGUUGCAAAAGAAACACAUGUCUAUUGUCGUAGUCUAUGAUAUUCUCUUCAAAGUUGCAAAGGUUAUUUGGUGAUAAGGGCAAGUCAACUAAACAACUUGCCCUUAAGACUAUUAUGAACACUAGGAUUCAUGUUAUCUUAGAGAUCUUACUAGAUUCUUUUGGGAUGGGUAAGAAGAUUCUCAAAGAGUGGAAGGGUGUUCAUAUGGAAGUCAAGGUUCUUCAAGCUCUUCUAACACUAUCUCAAGCUACCUACAUAGAUAAGAUUUUGGUCAAGUGUGUGAUGUGGGAUUCCAAGAAAGGUUUGUUACCUUUUAAGCAUAGAAUUCCCCUUUCUCUAAAUCAGUGUGUGCUAAAACACUUGAGAAGAAUGAGUGCAUGUAGUUAAUACUUUAUGCCUCUGUAGUGGGUAGUCUUAUGUAUUUGAUGCUAUGUACUAGGCCAAAUAUUUUUUUUGCAGUGGGUAUGGUGAGUAGAUAUCAGUCUAAUCUAGUUGCAAAACAUUGGACAACAGUCAAGCAUUUACUCAAGUACCUUAGGAGAAUGAGAGAUUGUGUUUGUGCUCCAAAGUGUUGAGAUAGUUUAAAGGGUGACAUGAUGGUUGACAAGAUACCUUUUGUGAAGAACCUAGUGGAUCUCUUCACCAAGACAUUGUCAGGGAGAGUCUUUGAUGGUCACAAGGAUAACACAGGUUUCAAAUGAGUGUCUAACAUGCUUUAUAGGCAUGAUGUUUUGAGGGCUAGUGGGAGAAUGUUAGGAUAUAGCCCUUAAAAGCAUGGCAUGAUGUAAUAAAUUUGGAAUUCAUUAUUUAUUUAACGAUGUUCCAGUUUCACUUUUAUCGAUCCUUAUUCCAUGUAUUAUACUUUAUGAGCAUUCUUGCCUACAUCUUUUGCAUUGUAUGUGACUUAGGUACAUUAGGAGCUUCAUAGAAGAUCUAAGUCAUGGGUUCCUUACAAGUAGAUGACUUGUUCACAACUGGUUCAUGGGUCUAAGCAACCCAUUAGAAGGGCACCACCUCCUAAUUGGAGGGAUUAGACUAGUCUUGGCUAUCGGGAUGGUUUUUCCAUGGUGAGUGCAUUAGUGUGUAUGGUUACAUAUUGGACAAGACCUAUAGUGAGUCACGACUUAAGGCUAUCAANNNNNNNNNNNNNNNNNNNNNNNNNNNNNNNNNNNNNNNNNNNNNNNNNNNNNNNNNNNNNNNNNNNNNNNNNNNNNNNNNNNNNNNNNNNNNNNNNNNNAUAUUGGACAAGACCUAUAGUGAGUCACGACUUAAGGCUAUCAAGUAGUCAUGACCUCACCAAGCUGCUUCAUUAUGUUGUCUCUCAACCUUGAGAGAAUAUUAAGCUUGUGCUAAAGUUAGUAAUGACUUUGAUCUACGGGUAAGAACAUAAGCUGAUCAUAUAUUCCCUAUGGAUUAGGUCACUACUGAUGGAAGCCGGUAGCAAUAGGUAUUCUCAAUAGAGGCACCAUGAUAUCUUUUAGGAUCGAGACAGUGUGUCCCCUUUGGUUAUCAUAAGGAGGUGUGUUCAUGGAAACUAUGGUCAUAGUAGUUCCUUAAGUAAAACUUGACAUAAACUCUUUGAGAGUUAAGAUAUGUAAAUUGAACAUACAAUGGGAGGAUCCGUAACUUAAGGAUGGUAAAGGUCUUGAAAGGCUAAUAGAUUUCACCUAGUUAGACUAUGGACACCAGCUCAUAGGAAGACUGAACACAAUGGAUAGCAAAUCAUAGACCCAAGCACUUGGUGUCUCAUUGUUAUUUACAUAGGAUACUGGAGUUCAGUUGAUUCUCUAUAGUAGGAUGUUGAAUCAACUUUAGAAUUAGAUUCUAAGGGAGCUAGUAUUCCUAUGGGUCCCAAUGGUCCCCGCUCUGAGCUCAUUUACCUUGUUGGCAUGGGUUAUGAGGGUCAGAUUGGCUCUAGGUUCACUUUUGUGCAUAAGGACGUUUUGGUAAUUAAGUAAAGUUGUAUAGGGAUAAGUGAACAAGGUCUCUAGAUUGGGUUAAUUGUUUAAUUAGUAGGCCCUAUUGGGUUAAUUAAUCAAUUAGGACCCAUUUUGGGCUAGAUUUAGUUACCCAAGUGCAUGUGGGCUCAAGUAAGUUAAGCCCACUUAGGAACCCUAUAAAUACCCUCUAGGGGCUAGGGUUUCCAUAACUUUUUGUCUUCCAUCAUCUAGAGAGAUAGAGAGUCAUAACCUUCACCCUCUUUUCCUCUCCAUCGAAAGUGUGUGAAGAUCAAGGUUCGAGUCAUCGGGCAAAAUAUCGUAGGUUUAGAGCAGGUUGUGUAUGAUAUUUGAUUACUCACCAAAAUUUAAAUAAACCAAAUGCCUGAAGAAUUCUAAUAAUUGUGAAAAUUUCUCACAGCUCAGCUUCAAUCAGGCUGUGUACCAUAGAAGAUGAGUUUCUUAGAAUCUCUUGAAUUUUCUAAUUCAAAAUACAAGUUUGACUUUGAGAAUUGACCAAGAAAUUAAUCAAACACAGUAUUUUAGAACAAAUUUAAAAUAUAUGUAGAAUAUUUUUAAAAUUUUGACCUCGCAUAUAUACAGUACCUUUAUCAAGAUUAGUCAAUAUAUGUAGAAAAGUCAGCGCUAUAUAAUCAUAAUCCAUCAAAGAUACACUAUUUGCUACUGUGGGCGUACCGGCCAUUAGUAAUGGGCCAAAAUGUUCUCCAUGAUUAAAAAUAAAAUACAAUCAUGGCAUAAAAAUCUUGACCCUCAUUUUCAAGAGGUGACUUUCUCCAAGAAAGAAUUAUUUUCCUUUUUAUUUUCUCAUGGGGAGAAAGUUGGAGAUUCACAUUGUUUAUAUUUUUAUAAUAGUUUUAGAGUAGUUUUAAAGCUUCCAAAAAUUUCUCCCUUAUUUUUAUUUAGUAGGUUGGCUCAGUCCACUUGGUACCCAAAAACAAACCCAAUAAAUAAUUAUUUAUUGAAUUUGGUCAAUCCCAAUGUUUUCAAAACCGAAUUAGACAUUGAAUUAGAAAAAUUAUCGAUUCAUAGUUCACUGGUCAGACUAGUGACCGAACUGGUGACAUCAUAAAUACAUAAUUUAUAUUUUAUUAAAAUUAAAAAUAAUUUUAAAAUAUAUAUAUAAUUAAAAAUUAAUAAUAUUUGUAAUAUUAUUUAUUCAUUUUAUAUAAAUUUAUUAAUAUUUUAAAUUUAUUAAUAUAUGUAUAUAUAUAUAUAUAUAUAUAGAAUAUUUAAAUAUGAAAAUAUAUUGAAAAUGGGUAUAUAUAUAUAUAGGUAGUCUUUGAGUCAACAUGCAUAACAAGAUUGGACAUCAAUUAAUUCAUUUAAUAAUUAUGUUGAUUAGUUUAAUUAUACUUUUUAAAAUAUUUAACUCAUAUUUAACACAUUUUUAAUUUGAUUUUAAAUAAAUAGGUUAAUUGAGUUAUAAAUAUAUUAAUCAUAUAAAUUAACACAAGACCUAACUCAACCUAAUUAUUAAAUGGGACAAAUGAGUUAUACGAUAUGUUACUUGUUUAGUAAUUAUGUAGUAUUUUAGGUUUACGUUUUUAAUCAAAUUAUUAUUCGUGUCAAGUUUGACAUAACACACAUAUGACCCACCAACACAAAUUGUAACCCCUAAGCUUGUUCACUCAAAAAGUAAAUUUAUACUAAUAUUUAAUUACCUAGUUUAAACUAGUAGGAAUAUUUUUAAAUUAUUGCUUAGUUUUUUUAAAAUUUUUAAUAUUGACAUAUGUAUAUAGUUUCUCUAAAGACAUUUCAUUGAUGUAGAAUUCCAAAUAUAAUUUGUCUAUAUAAAGAUAUCAUAUAUUUUUAAUAAAUAUAUAUUGUAAGUUAAAUAUUAUAUUGUAUAAUAUGUUGUACUAUAUGCAUAAGUAAUACAUUACUAUUUUACAAAAUAAAAAAUACACUAUAUAAUAGUAAUAUAUUAUAUACAUAAAAAGUUUUUGUGUGUAAAGUAUCCAACCACAUUUUAAUUAAUAAUUGAUUAUUUUAUUUUUAAAUAAUCUAAUUAUGUAUUUAUUAUUUUUAAUUAUUAAUAACUAAUUUUUCAAAAGUGAUUUGUUAUUAAGAAUAAAAUCAUAAAUUAUGCCAUAAAAGUAGUAAUUGUUGUACAUACUAAUUUGUUAAGGAUUAUUAUUAUUAUUAUUAUUAUUUUACUUGCAUACAUUGUUUAAUAAAAUAUUUAUUUUAAGUUUUAAAUUCCUUACUUUAAAUUUUCAAUUUUAUUUUUAGUCUAAUUUUUAAUCUAUAAAUUCUAAUUUUUAAUUUUUAAAAUUUUAAUUCCUAAAUUUUAAAGGGGAAAUCAUGUAACCAUACAUCACCAAUAAAAUAAAUAAAUGAGAUUUUUAGAACUUUGCUUUUACCUUUUUAAUUUUAAUGUAAGAUGAGAAAAAAUAUUGCCUAUUCAUGUAUUUCAAUAGUGCUUUCAGAUUUGUUUCAUAAUUACUCUUGAAAGUAAAUGACAAAACACACAUCACUUUAAUACCACCUAUUGACAAGUACAUGAAUAAUUUAUUUUUCUUAUUUCUCUCACAUCAACUCUCUCACAUGUCUCACUUACCACUUGCCACAUUUCCACUUUUUUCUUUUUUCUUUCUUUCUUUUUUUCCCCCUCUUUUACCACCAUAAUCCUUAGUCACCUAUUAUAUUUUUCACUACUAUUUUUUUUCCUUUGAUAUUCUUUUUAAUAAGCUCAUAUAUUUUGUCAUAAAACUUCUUUAAUUUUAAUUUUUUUCACUCUCUAAUUUCUCUAUAUUUAUUUAUUACAAUUAUAAUUUUUUGGACAUAUUAUACUUAAAAUGAUAAUGUAUAAUAAAUAGUUAAUAUAACAAAUAAAAUAAAAUAUAUGUAUAAUGGAAAAAAAUGAAAAUAUUAUCCCACAAAUAAUGUACUUGAUGAUUUUAAAUAUUAAUUAUAUGAAUAUAUUUAAUAAAUUAAGGUUUAAAUUUAAAUAUUUUAUUUUAUUAUUUAGAGGUUUAUGAUAUAAGAUUUUUUUAUAUUAAUGCUAAACAAAAGAUUUAUUUAUUUUGUAAAUUCUAUCACAUGUAAAAGUAAAAAUAUCUUUAUAAUACUAUUUUAUUAUUUAUAUUAUUUUUAAAAUUUUUAUUUUAAAUUUAUCACAUCAAAAUCAGAAUAAGUUAUUGUGCUUUUAUCUCUUUUCUUAUGAUUUUAAUUUGAUUUUGGAUCUAACAUUUUGUUUGUUUAAAAUCUUUAAUUUUUAAUUAAAAUAAAAUAUAAAAGAAAAUAUAUUUUCAUAAAAAAAAUUGUGUUUAACCUUUCAUAUUAAUUUUAUAAAAAAUAAGUACAUCCAUAAGAAAAAUAGGUAAAUCCAUACCUAGGGGAAUCGAGACCCCUAUCAUCCUUGUCAUGGUCUAUAUAUUCCUUUGGGACCCUUGAUAAGUGAUUAGAGGUCCUUGCCUACCCCAGAAUGAACUUUGGAAUCCUAGGUACAUCCAUUCUUAAGAGAACCAAGACCCUUAUCUCAAUUCUCAUGGUUCAUAUAUUCCUUUAGGGAUCCUCGAGAAUGAAUUAUAGGUUGUUCUUCACCUUGGAUCAGACAUUAGAACCCAAGGUAUAUCCUAAAGAAAAUUUGGUACAUUUGAUCCUUGGGCUACCGAAACCCUUAUAUCCCUUCCCAUAGUCUAUUUGAUACUUUGGGGACUCUUGAGAAGUGAAUGGAGGUCGUUUCUAAUCUCGGAAUGGACUUUGAAACCUUAAGUACAUCCUUAAAAAAAUUUGUUACAUCAAAUUCUCAAGCUAUCGGGACCCUAUCUCCUUUCCCAAGGUCCAUUUGUUCAUUUAGGGAUCCUCGGGAAGUGAUUGGAGGCUAUUCCUCACCCCAAAAUGGACUUUUAAACCCUAAAUACAUCUUUAAGAAAAUUUGGUAUAUCUUAUCCUCUGGCUACCCCAUAUCGCUUCUUAUGGUCCAUUUGAUCAUUUAGAGACCAUUUAGAACUUCUUAUAUAAACAAAAAUAGAAUUAUAAAAUUCUUAUAAGAAAUAAAAUUUUUAUGACUUCUACAUGAAACCUUUUUUUUUUAAGUUAUAAGUUUUUUUAAAAAUAAUUAAAUAGGUAUAAAAACUUUUAUUUAACUCUUAAAAGUCAAUCCAAAUAAAAUUUAUAUAUAUAUAUAUAUAUAUAUAUAUAUAUAUUUGAAAAUCACUUUUAAAAAUCCAAAAAAUCACUUGAAAAUACUUUCCAAAACUUUUUUUAACUUACAUUUAAAAAAUAAAAAAUAAAAAAUGAUUAGUUUUUACUAGUUAUUUAAAUUUCAGGAAGCGAGAAAGAAUUUACUCUGAUGUAAAAAAAAUGAGAGAAAAGUAAUUAAAUCACUAAAAAAUAGACUUGGAGUUCCUUUGGUGUGCGGUUAGACUCAAUUUGUCCCCAUGCAAUGGAAAUGGACAAUAUUUUAUUUUUUUAUUUUUUUCCUUUUCCUUUAUGUUGGUGUAGUCUUGUGAUAUUGUUACUAAAAUAGGAGGUAAAAAUAUAAAUUAUACAUCCAUUAUUUUAAAUUUAGAAAAAAGUGCUUAUUUUAAUUUGAAAUAAAUAAAUAGAAAAAAAAACUGAUUUUAUCUCAAUUGUGUAAGACUUCAAAAAAAAUUUCUUAUUUGCAAAAUAUUUUGAGUUGUAAAAGUAAAAAUUAAACAAACCAUUUCAUGACCUUUUUCACAAGUAUCCAUUUAGAUCAUAGUCUAGUUUUAAAAUAUUUGAAUAAUCCAAUUACUCUAAACUAUAUCAUUUAUAAUUUUUUAAAUUAUUACUAUCAUACCUAACCUUGUAUGGAAUUGGAAUAAAAUAUGGAUAAGUAAAAGAUGUCAAAUGAAAGAUAAUUUCAAACUUUUCUAAUACAGCAUGAUAUUUUAUCAUGUUGAAUAAAAUUGGAAUGGACAAAAGUUGUCAAAUCAAGACUUCCAUGGCAAAUUCCACCAUUGCAUAUCUCAAAUAUUAUUCUACAACAUUAUCUUUGUAGACUUUUAACAAUCCAAGAAAUUGACAAAUUAUAUAAUAAUCCCAAACACAAUAUUCUACAACUUUACAAUAUUCUACAAUUUUUUGGAAUAAAAAAUAAAUAAUGAAAUCUACAACUUUAAAAUAUUCUACACUUUUUUUGAACAAAAAAAAAUAAAUAAUGAAAUCUUUGGCAUGUUAAUUCUUUGCAGCUUCAACAUGGUGGCAUGUCGGAUGGCGGAGGCAGCAUUUGAGCUUCUGGGUGUUUACAAUAUCUAUUGUUGUUAUUUAAAGGAAUCAUUGAAAUGAUUGCAUGAAAGAUUUAUUCCAUAGCCUAAAAUAAAUAUUGGCUUUAUAUAUAUAUAUGUGUGUGUGUGUGUGUGUGUGUGUGUGUGUGUUUGCUCAAAUGAUAGGCCGGUUUUAAGCCAUAAUAAUAAUAAUUGUAUUAUUGUAUUAUUGAAAUAAAAAGGUUAUUGUAUUAUUAUUUAUUUUUUUGAUUGAAUAGAAAAAAUCAAAAUAUUUGAUUUCUUUUUAUUCAACUAAAAGUAACUUGUUGAUAUACAAACACCCCAUCUCAGUGACUAUCAAACACGUACUCUUGUUAACANNNNNNNNNNNNNNNNNNNNNNNNNNNNNNNNNNNNNNNNNNNNNNNNNNNNNNNNNNNNNNNNNNNNNNNNNNNNNNNNNNNNNNNNNNNNNNNNNNNNUAAGCCAUAAUAAUAAUCAUUAUUUUACUUAUUAUUGAAAAAUAUAAGGUUGUUGAUAUCAACAAGUUACUUUUAGUUGAAUAGAAAAAAAAAUAUUUUAGCUUUUUUUAUUCAAUAAAAAAGCAAACAUAUCUAAAUUUAUAUAAUAAAAAUGCUUUAACUAGAAAUGAAUUUCAUAUGGACCACUAUCAAAUACCAUGCAUAGGGAGAAAUCCAGAUCCUCACUUGCUCUUUGAUUUUAAUGCAUUGAAUUUGAUGUUGCCUAAAACAAAUUAUAUUUCAUGUCCUGUAUUAUGAGUAGACAACCAUUCCUUAUGUUGGAUUUUAGAUAAAGAAUGGAUAUUGGAGAUUGGAGUUGUAAGAAAUUAGGAGAUCCUAAUUUUAAAUAUGUAACAAAGUUCUAUAAUCGCCUCAAUCCAUGUUUUAAAAAUUGUAUUUCUUUCUAAUAUUGGAGCAAACUUUUUCUUUGUUUCUUAUAAAUUUCAUUUGGGAAUGAUUUAAAAAUAAAUAAAUAAAAUCCCUUCUAAAUAUUAAAAAGUAACACUUUCUUAUAAAAAUUAAUUAGGUGGAUGGUAAGGUAAAAUUCAGGAUAACUUCAUAUUUUUUGCUUUAAUUGAAAAUUAAAAUCAAAAUUAAAGUAAUAAUUUUUAAGGGGAAAUAUUGAUAUUGUAAAACUUUUAUUAAACAUGAAAUAAUUUCUUAUAUAAACAAAAAUAGAAUUAUAAAAUUCUUAUAAGAAAUAACAUUUUUAUGACUUCUACAUGAAACCUUUUUUUUUAACUUAUAAGUUUUAAAAAAAUAAUAAUUAAAUAGGUAUAAAAACUUUGAUCUAACUCUUAAAAGUCAAUCCAAAUAAAAUUUAUAUAUAUAUACAUUUGAAAAUCACUUUUAAAAAUCCAAAAAAACACUUAAAAAUAAUUUCUAAAUAGUUUUUUUAACUUACAUUUAAAAAACAAAAAAAUUUAAAAUGAUUUGUUUUUACUAGUUAUUUAAAUUAAGGAAGCAGGAAAGGGUUUGCUCUAAUGUAAAAUAAAAAAAAAAAAAAAUGAGGGCUGAAAAGUAAUUAAAUCACUAAAAAUAGACUUGGUGUUCCUUCAGUGUGCAGUUAAACUCAAUUUGUCCCCAUGCAAUGGAAAUGGAAGAUUUUUUAUUUUUUAUUUUUUAUUUUUUUCCUUUUCCUUUAUCUUGGUGUGGUCUUGUGAUAUUGUUACUAAAAUAGGAGGUAAAAAUAUAAAUUAUAUAUCAAUUAUUUUAAAUUUAGGAAAAAAAAGUGCUUAUUUUAAUUUGAAAUAAAUAAGUAGAAAAAAACUGAUUUUAUCUCAAUUGUGAAAGACUUCAUUAAAAUUUUCUUAUUUGCAAAAUAUUUUGAGUUGUAAAAGUAAAAAUUAAACAAAUCAUUUCAUGACCUUUUUCACAACAUGAUAUUUUAUCAUGAUGAAUAAAAUUGGAAUGGUCAAAAGUUGUCAAAUCAAGACUUCCAUGGCAAAUUCCACCAUUGCAUAUUCAAAGACUAUUCUACAACAUUAUCUUUGUAGACUUUUAACAAUCCAAGAAAUUGACAAAUUAUAUAAUAAUCCCAAACACAAUAUUCUACAACUUUACAUUAUUUUUUUUAUUUUAAUACAAGAGAAAUCCUUAGUCAACAAUUUUUUUGAACAAAAAAUAAAUAAUGAAAUCUACAACUUUACAAUAUUCUACAAUUUUUUUGAACAAAAAAAUAAAUAAUGAAAUCUGAAUAAUGCAAACAAUCACUGAAAUCUUUGGCAUGUUAAUUCUUUGCAGCUUCAACAUGGUGGCAUGUCAGAUGGCGGAGGCAACAUUUGAGCUUCUGGGUGUUUACCAUUUUUCACUAUGAACGCAGUUUCCAUGCCCCAAGUCAGAUGGCGUUCUACAUGGCAGUGCAUGAACCACACCCCUGCAAUAGAGAAAACAUACCAACAUUACACCUAAUUUAUUGCAAUAUUAAGAAAAAUUAUUCCCUUGGUAUGCAGGUUGGCAGUUUCAAGGGUUUUUUUUAAUAGAGGACAUGAGUGCUUGCAACAUACCAGGGUUGGAUGCCUCGAAUCUGAUUGCAACCCAACCAUUCGUAGGAACAGAGAUGGUACUCUGAAGGGGAGGAUCCACUAGAUUAUAGCGCAAAGGGUCCCUAUUUUUAUCAAAAUUCCCAAAUCCCCAUCCAACAAGGUAGAAUCUAUAUCCAUGGAGAUGCAUGGGGUGGUGUGUCCCUGAAACCAAGUUUGUCCCUUGAAAAACAAUCUCCACUGUGGAGUUAUACUCGACCACCCUUACUUCUGUUCCAAUUUCCGGCGUUUGAUACUCCAAUGGAAGAUAAUCAGCUGUAAAAUCGAACACCAAUGGUGGAACGCUAGGAAAUUUAUCUCCAUAUACACCACUGAUGUUAUAAUAGUAAGCUUGUAGUAUGUCAAUCGUAGGGGAUUGGAAGCUUAUGUUGUUUAUACUUGCAGAGAGCCGCGUCCCAUUGGGCCCUGCACAUGAAUUAUUGGGGCAUAGGAACGAGUUUACAGAAAUAGUGUAAAUUAGUUUAGUGCUCGGGCUCAAUGGGACAUUGGAAGGAUGUUCCGCAUCUGCUAAGCUUCGAAGGCUAGCCAUGACCUGAACCGAUGCAUUUGUGUCAUUGUAUGCAGGAAAAUGAGGCAAAGAGGGAGGUGAAGAUGGAGUGUAGUAUCCUCUGUAUUGUACAAUAGCUGUGGUGGUUGUGUUAUCAUAAAAAUUUUGAGCUACCGGGGCAAUGGAAUAAGUUUUAGCCGCCAUGUAAUAGUGAUCCAGGCGUUGGUUAGCUUCUAGUAAGACAUCGAAGGUUUGGCCAGGAUAUAUUGUGAUAUAAUCUUGUGUCAAUGGUUUCGUGUAGCUACCAUCUAUUCCAACCACUGUCAUUUUAUGCUUGGCAAUUGAGAAGAAGAGAGCCUCUUGCAAAGCAGCAUUGAUUAUGCGAAGUAGAUAGGUCUUUCCAUGAUCCACCGUUAGCUUGAAUGUGCCUACAAUUAGAAAAGGAAAGUUGUAUACUUACGACUAGCGAAAAGAAAAGGAAAAACUUUCCAUGAGUAUCCACUAAUUAUGAAGUGAUUGAUUGAUUAGGGGUGUAAAUUUGGCUCCACAGUUCAAAAUUAUAUUUAGACUAGCCUUUUCAUAUGUGUUAAAUCAUGGCUCUACCAUCCUCAUAACUAUAUUCAUCUUUCUUAGCAUUAAGUUUUAAAUAUGUUGAUGUUAAUAAGAAAAAGUAAUAUGGUUAACAUACAAGAAAAUGAGAUCAGUGUACAAUUUUAAAAUGGGAAGUUAAACUUUAUACUUGAUUUUGAGCAUGGAUAUAGAUCACCGGGUUGUCCAUUUAUCAAUAAAGAAUCAGAGGCAUUGGGGUCAGCUCCGGUUGCAAGCCCUUCAUCUCGAACCGCAUUCACAUCACUCUUCCACCAUUGUCCUGCAUUUCAACAACUCCAAUAAUUUAGAUUUUGCUUUGUUGGUUAAUUCAUGAUAUGUAAAUUAACCUUUAAAAGCAACUACACUUAUACCUAAUAUGAUGGGAACUUCUGCGCUAGGUUUGGGAAAAGGAUACUUGGUUCCAUUCUUGGGAUAGACGAUUAUAGCUCCAUGAACGGUGGCUCGGGUCCAGUCACUGUGAGCAUGCCACCAUAGAGUGCCUUCCUCAGAGGAAAGGAUGAUCUUUUGGCUAAACUUUGACCCUGGUUGAAUUGGGCAUUGUGUGAUAUACUCGGGACCAUCUGUCCAUGGAUAUCUAGGCAUGCUCACCCCAUGCCUGCAAAACAAUAACUAUACGUUAAAACUAGUACUAAUUUUCAGGCUAACAAAAGAUGGCAUGUAGCAACAUAUUAUCACAGUAACAAGAGGCAUCAACUGUAUUUCAAUGGAACUGAUGCAAAUAACCCUAAGAUAUUAUUUUAAAUUCAACUUUAUUUGCAAAGCAAUACAUUGCAGCCCCCUCUUAGAAAUAAAAGAUUGUAUGUCAUGCAGGCAUGCUGCCCACUACUAUCUUUCUCCGAGACAUGCAUGGGACCUACCAGUGAAUGGUGACAUUUUCUUUUCCCCUGUUAUAAACGUCAACAAUGAUCGUCUCUCCUUUCUUAGCAUAUAUAGUUGGUCCUGGAAAUUGUCCAUUUACCGUUAAGAUGUUCUUGGUGCUACAAAGCCUUGUAUAUGAAGCCUCCUUCACCUGCAACCAAUUAAAAGUUAACCAUGCAACCUCAUCCCAAAAGAAAUAUUACAUGCAUGAAUAGUUGCAUCGAUCCAUUCAUGCAAGUGUAUAACCAAUUAGAAAUUGAUAGCAUGCAUGAACGACUCAAUGACACCAGGGUACCCGAAGAGACCCCAUGAGGGUCAUACGGUGGAAAAUGAGAGCCACACUGCUCCAUAAAUAUUAUGAUCAGAAGUGGCAUUAAGGCAUAAUCAUAUAAAGUAUUUACCACAAAAGUAAGCCGACGAGUUGAAGCUUGGCAAUGGAUGCCACCACCAAAAAGUAGAAACGCUGAAAUUUGCAAGAGGAAAACCUUCAUGAUCAGCCACAUCUUCUUUGGAAUAAAAGCCUCUUCUCUUGUCCUAAACACAACUCCUUCAAUUUUCUUACUAUUUCUAAUAAGCACGACUUAUCUUCUCUCUGACAUGAAUAGAUGAAUUCUUAAAGGUAUUUAUAGAGGCUGGAGGUGAAAGCUGAACAGCUGGUUUCUCUCCAACUUUUGCUGUAUUUCUUUAAUAUAUAAUUCAGAAUCUAUUGAAGAUGAUUUUCCUGGGGUACAACCAUUCCUCGCCGAGUAUCAAUAUAAGAGAAGUAAUUUGAAUGUGUAUUGGUUUUGAACGUUCUUCCAGGACCGCUUCAAAGAGCAGGUUGUGUAUGAUAUGAAGACGAGUUUCUUAGAAUCUCUUGAAUUUUCUAAUUCAAAAUACAAGUUUGACUUUGAGAAUUGACCAAGAAAUUAAUCAAGCACAUUAUUUUAGAAUAAAUUUAAAAUAUAUGUAGAAUACUUUUAAAACUUUGACCUCGGAUAUAUACGGUACCUUUAUCAAGAUUAGUUGGCGCUGCUUUGAGAAGGAAUAUAGGAUUCCUUCUCAAAUCAUUCAAAUCAUUCUAAUGAACCGGAUCGAAAAUUCCUUGUCCAGUUGGAGGGUCAAUCCAGACAUUCAAAUCUUUUUUUCUUUUUCUUUUUUUCUUUUUUGAAUAUUAAAAUUAGGUAAGCAAUGAAAUCAUUCAAUAUACUCAUCUAUUGUUCAUAACAUCAGCAUCUGCCAAUUGUUUAUUGUACAUUUUCAAACAUUCAGACAUUUUCAAACAUCAAAUCUCCACUUUUUUAAAAUAAUAAUAAUAAUAAUAAAUAAUUAUAGAUUUAAAAAUAACUUUUUUCAGAACAAAUAAGAAAUAAUUCAAACUUUCUUGUUUGGUUUAUUGUACCAGAUACAAAGAAAAAUCAUUAUAUAAAUAAAUGAUGCAAAGAUGUAUAUAUUUUUAAAUUAUUUAUAAACAGAAAAAAUGAUGAAUAAAAUUUAAGACGUGAAAAUUUGAUCAAGUUAAUUUAAACUUCUUUUAUUUUUUUUCACUUUUUUUCUCCUAUUUUUUCACACCAUUUUUUUCUCACAUUUCCUUUUAAACUUUUGGAAUAAAUAUUUAUUUGUGGAGCUUUAAUAUAUAUUUUUUUCUCCAUAUUAUACAUAUUUAUGCAAUAUUUGGUUAACCUAUUUUGAAUUUCUAUUUUUACCUUAACAAGAAACAUUUCUUGAAAAUGAAGAUAAUUUUCUCCUUAUUUUCAAAUUUGUGUUUCUCCACUUUUUUUUUUUUUAAAUAAUAGUAAUAAAAAAUAAUUAUAGAUUUAAAAAUAACUUUUUUCAGAACAAAUACAAUAUAUAGCCGGCUUAUAAAAACUAUUAUCUAAAAAAAGGAAAAAACAAAAAAAGGAAAAGUAAAAUAAGAAAUAAUUCAAACUUCCGUAUUUGGUUUAUUGUACCAUAUACAAAUAGUUUUAAAUAAUAAAUUCGAAGAUCAUCCCAAACACUUUAAAGAGUUUUAGAAAUCAAUACUAAAUUCAAUCUUAAUUUAAAACUCCUAAAUAAUUAAUUGUAAAGUUGUUUUCAAAGGAAACCCUUCUUAUCUUGAUUUCCCCUCACUAAGAUACUUAAAAAGUGGAAUAAUAGAUAAGAGUGAACUUAAAACUCAAUUAAGAAAAUAGGUCAAUAAGGAAGAUCAAGUAUAGUACAAAGUUAAAUCUUAGGAGAUAUCACAUCUUUAUAAAAAAAAAAAAAAAUCAAUUAGUAGUUCAUUUAAUUCAAUAAUUAAAUUCAUUUUGUUAAAAAAAUUAUGCACUUUCAAUUUAAAGAUAGAAUUAAAUAAUAUACUUUACAUACUUAAAUUAUAUUUUAAAAAUUAUAAACAAACAUUUUACUCUGACUCAUUGAUAAUAACAUUGUGCCCAAAUAGUAGAACUUGCAUUAGAUGGCUAGUCUCACAUUGUGCCUUUUAGCAAUGGACAAAAUGAUUUAUAAUCAAUGAUAUACCAAAGGCGAAUAACACCCUUAUUAGCUAGAGUUACAUUAUCACUAUCCUCACCAAAGGUAACGCAGGUCAACAACUUCUCUCUUAAACCAAUGUAAUAAAUUAAAUGAUAAAAUUCAUUUGCAUAACAAUAAACAAAUCAUAUGAUAUUCCCAAUUUAUUUUAUAAACUAAGGAACAAAUCAUAACAUUUUUAGUAAAAUAUUAUUUGAUCCACUUUAAGGAACUUAAACAUUUUGAUAGUUUAAAAGUAGAUUUUAAAAAAUAAGAAAUUAUAAAAUGGUUUACUAUACUAUUAACCCUUACCUUGAAGAAAUCAUUCAAAAUCCUGAAAGACUUAAUCUACACCUAAUAUAAAUAUAAAUAAAAAAUAAUUAUUAAAGACUAAUUAUCUAAAUUAAUGACUUUCUAAAUUUUUGUAAAACUUAUUUUAAUUCCAAACCCUUUUCUAAAGUUCUAUUUUUUUAAUUAAAUUUUUUAUUAACCAUAUUAUUAUUAUCAUUUUCACUUCCCAUAAUUACAUUAACAGAUUUUGUUGAAUUAUUGAUGUUAAUAUUCCUUUUUUUCAUGGUAGGAAGUAGGUAAUUAUUUAUUAAUUUACUACUACUUUUACUUAUCUCCUACCCACAACCCAAAUCUUAUUAUUACUUGAUUAUUUCUUUACCACAACCACUUUCCUCAUUUCCUCAAUUCUUCUUCCUAUUAAUCUUCUGGUUAAAGAAAGAUAAAAGAAUCUAAAAAGCAAAUCACGCAUGAAGAACUUGCCUUAAAUUUCAUAAUGAAGCAAAUAAAAAAAGUUUCUUCUUUCUGACCCUUCGAACCAAACUUCUCUAUAGACCUUGCUAUUAUUUCUUUUUUUCUCUCUAUUUUAUCUUUUUAGUUUUUAAUAAUGUGGAGAAAUCAAUGGAAUUUAGGGGUAAAUUAUACUUUUGUCGCUAAAAGUAACUUUUAUCGAUGAAAUUUUAGAUGUUGUCAAUGGUGCCAAUUUUUUUUAAAAAAAUUCUAAUGAAUUUGAAAAUUUCAUCACUAAAAGACAUGAUGGGAAAAUUUUGGUGUUGUCAUUUUCUUGGCACAAACACUUUUGUGAUAGAAAAAAAUUAUUUUCUCACAAAAGUAUUUGUCACUAAUUAUAAUUUUUGGUGACUAAAAGUUACAACUUUUUAUAUAUAUUUGCUUGAAAAAUGGUUUCAUUAAGUGAUUAUAUUAUUUCUUGACAAAUUGAGUAAUUUUAUCACUAAAUAAUGUUAUUAAAUUGUGAUAUUAAUAAGUAAUAUUGAUAAAUAGCUAGAUGAUUUAUAUUGUGAAAUAACAUAUGUAUUUUUUGAGACUUAAUAUUUAUACUAUAAUAUUUUAUUUAUAUAAAUAAUAAUAAAAUAAUUAAAGAUCCAUAAAAUGAAAUACUACAAUAUAGAUUUAUUUUAAUUUAAUUUUUUUGUAAUGUAAUAAUAGUAUUGUUACGAAAUAAUAAAAAGGUAAAUUAUUUGAGCAAUUAAUUUUUAUAUUGUAAUGUGUUAUUUAUAUUUUUUUAAUAUAAAUAAUAACAAGUAAUUCAAGGCGUGUAAGAUUAUAUCCUAUAAUAUAAAUUUAUUUAAAUUUCAAUAUUAUUACAUGAUGUUACCCAUUAUAAAUAAUACUAAAUGAUUUUUAUUAUAUUAGGUAAAAGUUAUCUAUACAACUCUAAAAUAGUAUUGAAUUUAAGUUAGUUAUGGAUAAGCCAUAGUCCACUAAUUUGUUCUCAUUCAAAAUCAUACCUUGUCUACUUAAGAAGUAAACUUAUACUAACUUUUAAUUACAUAGUUUAAACUAAUAGAUUUUUUUUAAAAAUAAUUGUUCAGAAUGGAAUUUAUCAAAUAAAUUGCCUAGCAUCUAUAAAGACAUUUUAUUUUCAUAAAAUUCCAAAUAUGACUUUUGUUUAUAAAGAUAUAUAUUAUUAAUAAAUAUAUGAUUGCAAGAUAAAUAUUAUAUGAUAUAAUAUAUGACGCUAUAUGCCUGACUACUAUAUUACUAUUUACAAAAUAAAACAUGUACGUAUAAAUUUUUUUUUUUUGUAAAGUAUUCAACCAUAUCUUUAUUAAUAUUUGAUUACUUUAUUUUUUAAUGAUUUCAUUAUGAAUUUAUUAUUUUAAUUAUUAAUUACUAAUGUACUAAAAGUGAUUAGUUAUUAAGAAUAAAAAUCAUAAAUUAUACCUUAAAAUACUAACUACUAUAGCUAUUAAGUUGUAAAGGAAUUUUUAUACUUGUAUACAUUUUUUAACAAUUUUUCUUUUUUUAUAAAAAAUAUAGUUAUAAAAGUAAUUGAAAUAUAUCAUAAAUUAUUAUAUGAUUUACCUUUAUAGUGUUUGAUAUUUUUGUUUGAAAUACAAUAGAAAGAGAAAGAAAAAAGAAAAUGAUGUAGAACUCUAAUCUCAUUUUGAUCAUUAUUUUAUUGAUGUUGGUUCAAGUAUUACACUUCAACAUUAUUCCAAUGUUUUCUAUUAAUCAUACUUUUCUUUUAGCUCAAUUUCAAAAUUUUCACUUUAAUCUAGAAGUCUAGAAUUAAAUUUAUGUUAGCUAUGAAUAAACUAUAGUCCUCUAAUUUGUUAUCAUUCAACAUAAGGCUUGUUUAAGGAUGAUAAAAUUUGAUACAAUUCGUCAACAAGACUUGAAUCUAACAUGCUUUUUAUGGGUUUGAUUUGAGUAUAAUUGAGUUUGAGUCAAAUUCAUGUUGACCUAUAUAACUCAUUUAAUAACUAGGUAGUCUUUGGGUCAACAUGCAUAACAAAAUUUGACAUCAAUUAAUUCAUUUAAUACAUGUGUUGAUUAGUUUAAUUAUAACUUUAAAAUAUUUAACCCAUAUUUGACACAUUUUAAAUAAAUAGGUCAAUUGAGUCAUAAACAUAUUAGUCAUAUAAAUUAACACAAGACCUAACUCAACCUGAUUAUUUAAUGAAAAGAUCUAAUUACUAAAUGAAACAAAUCAGUUACAUGACAUGUUACUUGUUUAGUAAUUAUUUAUUAUGUUAUGUUUACAUUUUUAACCAGAUUAUUAUUCGUGUCAGGUUUGACACAACAUAAAUAUGACCCAUCAACACAAAUUGCAACCCCUAAGCUAGUUCACUCAAAAAGUAAAUUUAUAUUAAUAUUUAAUUACCUAGUUUAAGCUAGUAGGAAUAUUUUUUUAAUUAUUGCUUAGUUUUUAAAAAAUUGUUAACAUUGGAAUUUAUCAAAUAAAUAGUCUAGUUUCUCUAAAGACAUUCCAUUGAUCUAGAAUUCCAAAUAUAAUUUGUGUGUAUAAAGAUAUCAUAUAUUUUUAAUAAAUAUAUAUUGUAAGUUAAAUAUUAUAUCAUAUAAUAUAUUGUACUAUAUGCAUAACUAUAUUACUAUUUUACAAAAUAAACAAUACACUAUAUAAUAGUAAUAUAUUAUAUACAUAAAAAGUUUUUUUGUAAAGUAUCCAACCACGUCUUAAUUAAUAAUUGAUUAUUUUAUUUUUAAAUAAUCUCACUAUGUAUUUAUUAUUUUUAAUUAUUAAUUACUAAUUUUUCAAAAGUGAUUUGUUUUUAAGAAUAAAAUCAUAAAUUAUGUCAUAAAAGUAGUAAUUGUUGUAGAUACUAAUUUGUUAAGGAGUGUUUUUACUUGCAUACAUUAUUUAAUAAAAUAUUUAAUUUAUGUUUUAAAUUCCUUACUUUGAUUUUUCAAUUUUAUUUUUAGACUAAUUUUUAAUCUAUAAAUUCUAAUCUUUAAUUUUUAAAAUUUUUAAUUCCUAAACCUUAAAGGGGAAAUCAUGUAACCAUAUAUCACCCAAAAAAAAUGAGAUUUUUAGAACUUUGCUUUUACCUUUUUAAUUUUAAUCGUAAGAUGAGAAAAAAUAUUGUCUAUUCAUGCACUCCAAUAGUGCUUUCAGAUUUGUUCUAAAAUUACCCUAAAAAAUAAAAGACAAAGUACACACCACUUCAAUACCACCUAUUGACAAGUACAUAAAUUAUUUAUUUAUUUUAUUUCUCUCACAUCAACUCUCUCACACAUCUCAGUUACCACUUGCCACGUUCUCACUUUUUUCCUUUUUUCUUUUCUCUUUCCUUUUUCCCUCCUCUUUUACCACCAUAAUCCUUAGCCAUCUAUUAUAUUUUUAUUGUUAUUUUUUUCUUUGAUAUUCUUUUUUAAUAUGUUCGUAUAUUUUCUCAUAAAACUUCGUUAAUUUUAAUUUUUUUCACUCUCUAAUUUCUCCAUAUUUAUUGAUUAUAAUUAUUUUUUGGACAUAUUAAACUUAAAAUGAUAAUAUAUAAUAAAUAUUUAAUAUAACAAAUUAAAUAAAAAUAUAUAUAUAAUGGACAAAAAUGAAAAUAUUAUCCCACAAAUAAUAUACUUGAUGAUUUUAAAUAUUAAUUAUAAUAAUAUAUUUGAUAAAUUAAGGUUUAAAUUUAAAUAUUUUAUUUUAUUAUUUAGAGGUUUAUGAUAUAAGAUUUUUUUAUAUUAAUGCUAAACAAAAGAUUUAUUUAUUUUGUAAAUUCUAUCACAUGUAAAAGUAAAAAUAUCUUUAUAAUACUAUUUUAUUAUUUGUAUUAUUUUUCUUUUAAUUUUUAUUUUAAAUUUAUCACAUCAAAAUCACAAUAAGUGAUGGUGCUUUUAUAUUUUUUCUUAUGAUUUUAAUUUGAUUGUGGAUCUAACUUUUUGUUUGGCUAAAAUCUUUUAUUUUUAAUUAAAAUAAAAUAUAUUUUUCAUAAAAAAAAAAAUUGUAUUUAACCUUUCAUAUUAAUUUCCUAAAAAAUAAGUACAUCCUUAAGAAAAAUAGGUAAAUCCAUGCCUAGGGGAAUUGGGACCCCAAUCAUCCUUGUCAUGGUCUAUAUAUUACUUUGGGAUCCUUGAUAAGUGAUUAGAGGUCCUUACCUACCCAAGAACGAACUUUGGAACCUUAGGUACAUCCAUUCUUAGGGGAACCAAGACCCUUAUCUCCAUUCUCAUGGCUCAUAUAUUCAUUUAGGGACCCUCGAGAAGGAAUUAUAGGUUGUUCCCCACCCUGGAACAGACAUUGGAACCUAAGAUAUAUCCUAAAGACAAUUUGGUACAUUCGAUCCUUGGGCUACUGAGACCCUUAUAUCCUUUCCCAUAGUCUAUUUGAUACUAUGAGGACUCUUGAAAAAUGAAUGGAAGUUGUUCCUCAUCUUGAAAUGGACUUUCGAACCCUAGGUAUAUCCUUAAAAAAAAUUGGUACAUCCAAUUCUUGGGCUACAAAGACCCCUAUCUCCCUUCCCAAGGUCCAUUUAUUCAUAUAGGGAUCCUCAGGAAGUGAUUAGAGGCUAUUCUUCACCCCAAAAUGGACUUUUAAACCCUAAAUACAUCUUUAAGAAAAUUUGGUAUAUCUGAUCCUCUAGCUACUGGAACCCCUAUAUCACUCAUCAUGGUUCAUUUGAUCAUUUGGGGACCCUUUAGAAGUGAUUUCAAGUCAUUCCCAAUCUCAGAAUGGACUUUGAAACCCUAGGUACAUCCUUAAGAAAAUUUGGUACAUCUAAUCAUCAAGCUACCAGGACCCCUAUCUCCAUUUCCAUGGUCCGUUUGUUCCUUUAGGAACUCUUGGGAAGUGAUUGGAUAUCGUUCCCCAACUCAGAACAGAUAAUGGAACCCUAGGUACAUCCUUAAGAAAAUUUGAAACAUCCAAUCCUUGGGCUCAUGAGACACCUAUCUCCUUUCCCAUGGUCCAUUUAUUCUUUUAGAGACCCUCAGGAAGUGAUUGGAGGUUGUUCCUCACAUUGGAAUGAAAUUUGGCACCCUUGGUACAUCAUUUACAAAAUUUAGUACAUCCUUUACAAAAUUUGGUACAUCCUUCACAAAAUUUGGUACAUCCUUAAAAAAAUUUGGUACAUCCUUAAAAAAAUUUGGUACAUCCAAUCUUUGAGCUAUCGGGACCCCUAUCUUAUUACCUAUGGUCUAUUUACUCCUUUAGGGAUCUUUGGAAAGUGAUUAAAGGUUGAUCCCUAGCUACUUCAAAACAGACUUUGGAACCCUAGGUACAUCCUUAAGAAAAUUUGUUACAUCUAAUCCUUGAGCUAAUGGGGCACCUAUCUAUCUUCCUAUGGUCCAUUUAUUCAUUUGGACACCCUUAAAAAGUGACUGGAGGUUGUUCCUUACCUCAAAAUGGACUUUGAAACCCUUAGUACAUCCUCUAAAAAUUUUGGUACAUCAUUCACAAAAUUUGGAACAUCAUUCACAAAAUUUGGUACAUCCUUAAAAAAAUUUGGUAUAUCCAAUCCUUAAGCUACCAGGACCCCUAUCUUAUUACCCAUGGUCUGUUUAUUCCUUUAGGAAUCUUUGGGAAGUGAUUGGAGGUUGUUCUCUACUCCAAAACAAACUUUGGAACCCUAGGUAUAUCCUUAAGAAAAUUUGAUACAUCCAAUCCUUGGGCUAAUGGGACACUUAUCUCCCUUCUUAAGGUCUAUAUAUUCCUUUGGAGACUCUCGGGAAGUGAUUGAAGGUCAUUCCCACCUCGAAAUAGACUUUGGCACCAUUGGUACAUCAUUUACAAAAUUUGGUACAUCCUUCACAAAAUUUGGUACAUUCUUUAUAAAAUUUGGUACAUCCUUAAAAAAAUUCAGUACAUCUAAUUCUUGAGAAAUUGAGACCCCUAUCUUAUUAUCCAUGGUCUGUUUUUUCCUUUAAAAGUCUUUGGAAAGUGAUUGGAGGUCGUUCCCUACUCUGAAAUGAACUUUGGAACCUUAAGUACAUCCUUAAGAAAAUUUGGUACAUCUAAUCCUCAAGCUAUUGGGACACCUAUCUCCAUUCUCAUGGCCCAUUUGUUCAUUUGGGGGCACUUAGGAAGUAAUUGAAGGUUGUUCCUUACUAUGAAAUGAACUGUGGAACCUUAGGUACAUCUUUAAGAAAUUUUUGUAUUUAUAUGGUUCUGUAAUGUUUUGAUGUUGUUAAUCUAAAUAAGGUGGUUGACUCAUAAUUUAUAAUCAUCAGGAGAAAAAAUAUUAUGUUUAUUCAUGACCAGAUGAAAAUGAAUAAAAAAUGGAAUUAUUGUCACUUUUAAUGGUAUUAUAUUAUGAAUCAUUUGAAUAGUUUUCUUAAAAAAAAAUAAUUGUCAAUUUCAAAUGGAUUAUAGUUGAAUUGAAAAAUGAAGGAAUAUAGUUGUAGUAAAGAAGGGUUGAAUUUGUGUGGGCAUUAUGAAAAAAAGAGGUCAACCCUUAUAUGAAAAACAGAUUGUUAAGUAGUGGGCAUAAUAGUGGACGACCUUUUCAUGUAGGGCUAACCCUUUUUAGCUUAUGACCCUUAGUCAUAAUAUUAGUCUUUUUUGAAGUGGUCAAUAGCAAAAAUAAGGGUCGACCCUUUAGUUCAUAGGCAGUCCCAUCAUGUUUUUAAAAUUGGUUUUGUUUUAUGUGGGCGGUAGGCAAAACAAAGGUUGACCCAUUGUUUAAUAGGUAGGCCUUUGAAUAUGGACGUUACAACCUUAGAACAUGGACAGUGAGGAAAAUAGUGGUCACCCCAUGUAUUCAGAGGUGGAGCCUGAACUUAUAUUAUAUAUCAAAUAAGUACCUAACAAAUAAAUAAAUAAAAGUAAAUGCAUUGUGUGAUGUUUGGUAUAGACAAUACAUGUCAAUAUUUAACACAUUAAUGUCACACCAUAAAGUGUUAAUUAAGAGGACUUGGAUUGUUCAUAAUCUAAAUGAGGCAUUAAUAUAUGAUGGCUAUAUGUGUGAUUGUGAUAAUUGUUAUAAGUAAUUAGCUUUGACAAGGUUAUUUACAAAUAUAUAUUUAAACAAUUAAAUACCUAAUGAGGUCUAAGUGUGAGAAUAAAAUAAGUUAUGCUUAUUUUGUAAAUGUUGUAAGUAUUUUUGUGAUGAAUAUAUGUAUUAUUGGAAAUAUUUAUGAGCAUGCCUAGUUUAUUGAUAUAUAUAUAUAUGUAUGUAUGUAUGUAUGUAUGUAUGUAUGUAUGUAUGUAUGUAUGUAUGUAUGUAUGUAUUAAAAAUGUAAAAUCAAGGAUUAGAUGUACCAAAUUUCAUGAAGAAUGUUCCAAAUUUUGUGAAUGAUGUACCAAAUUUUUUCAAGGAUGUACCAAGGGUGCCAAAGUCCAUUCUGAGGUGAGGAACGACCUCCAAUAACUUCUAAAGGGUCUCCAAAGGAAUAAAUGGACCAUGGGAAGGGAGAUAGGUAUCUUGUUAGCCCAAGGAUUGGAUGUAUCAAAUUUUCUUAAGAAUGUACCUAGAAUUCCAAAGUCUAUUUUGGAGUAGGGAACGAAUUCCAAUCACUUCCCAAAAAAUUCCUAAAUGAAUAAAUCAACCAUGGGUAAUAAGAUAGAGGUCCCAAUAGCUCAAGGACUGGAUGUACCAAAUUUGUAAAGGAUGUAUCAAAUUUUGUAAAGGAUGUACCAAGGGUGACAAAAUCCAUUCCAAGGUGGGGAAUGACCUCUAAUCACUUUCGAAGGGUCUCUAAAGGAAUAAAUGGACCAUAGGAAAGGAGAUAGGUGUCCCGUUAGUUCAAGGAUUGGAUGUAACAAAUUUUCUUCAGGAUGUACCUAGGGUUCCAAAGUCCAUUUUGAAGUAAGGAACAACCUCCAAUCACUUCCCAAAGAUCCCAAAAGGAAUAAAUGAACCAUGGGUAAUAAGAUAGGGGUCUUGGUAGCUCAAGGAUUGGAUGCACCAAAUUUUUUUAAGGAUGUACCGAAUUUUGUAAAGGAUAUACCAAAUUUUGUAAAAGAUGUACCAGAUUUUGUAAAUGAUGUACCAAGGGUGCCAAAGUUCGUUCCAACGUGGGGAACUACCUCCAAUAAAUUUCCGUGGGUCUCAAAAGGAAUAAAUGAACCAUGAGAAGUGAUAUAGGUGUCCCAUUAGCUCAAAGAUUAGAUGUACCUAGAGUUAAAAAUUCCAUUUUGAAGUAGGGAUCAACCUUCAAUCACUUCCCAAAGAUUCUUAAAGGAAUAAACGAAUCAUGAGUAAUAAGAUAGGAGUCCUUGUAGCUCAAGGAUUGGAUGUACCAAAAUUUGUGAAGGAUGUACCAAAUUUUGCAAAGAAUGUAUCAAGGGUACCAAAGUUGUUUUCAAGGUCGGGAACGACCUCCAAUCACUUCCCGAGGGCCUCUAAAGGAAUAAAUGGGCCAUGAGAAGGAAGAUAGGUGUCCUAUUAGCCUAAAGAUUGGAUGUACGAAAUUUUCUUAAGGAUGUACCUAGGGUUCCAAAGUCCAUUUCAAAGUAGGGAACGACCUUCAAUCACUUCCCAAAGAUCCCUAAAGGAAAUGGGUAAUAAGAUAGGGGUCUUGGUAGAUCAAGAAUUGGAUGUAUUAAAUUUUUUUAAGGAUGUACCAAAUUUUGUAAAAGAUGUACCAAAUUUUGUAAAUGACGUACCAAGGGUGCGAAAGUCCAUUCCGAGGUUGGGAACAAUCUCCAAUCAUUUCCUAAGGGUCUCCAAAGGAAUAAAUGAACCAUGAGAAGGGAGAUAGAUGCCUUAUUAGCCUAAGGAUUGGAUGUGCCAAACUUUCUUAAGGAUGUACCUAGGGUUCCAAAGUCUGUUUUGGAGUAGGGAAUGACCUCCAAUCACUUCCCAAAGAUCCCUAAAGGAAUAACAGAGGGUAAUAAGAUAGGGGUCCCGGUAGCUUAAGGAUUGAAUGUAUCAAAUUUUUUUAAGGAUGUACCAAAUUUUGUGAAGGAUGUACCAAAUUUUGUAAAGGAUGUACUAAGGGUGCCAAAGUCCAUUCCGAGGUCGAGAAAGACCUCUAAUCACUUUCCGAGGGUCUCUAAAGCAAUAAAUAGACAAUGAGAAGGGAGAUAGGUGUCCUGUUAGCCCAAAGAUAAGAUGUAUCAAAUUUUCUUAAGGAUGUACCUAAGGUUCUAAUGUUUAUUCCAGGGUGGGGAACGACCUCCAAUCAUUUCUUAAGGGCCCCCAAAGGAACAAAUGGACCAUGGGAAAGGAGAUAUAGGUCUCGAUAACCUGAUGAUUGGAUGUACCAAAUUUUCUUAACAAUGUACCUAAGGUUCCAAUGUCCGUUCCGAGGUAGGAAACAACAUCUAAUGACUUCCUAAAGGAACAAAUGAACCAUGGGAAGGGAGAUAGGGGUCCUAGUAGCCUAAGGAUUCAAUGUACCAAACUUUAUUAAGGAUGUACCUAGGGUUCCAAAGUCUAUUUAGAGGUAGAGAAUGACCUCCAAUCACUAGGGUUCCAUUAUUAGUUCCAGAGUGGGGAAUGACAUCCAAUCACUUCUCGAGAGUUCCAAAAUGAAAAAAUGGACCAUGGGAAAUGAUAUAGGGGUCCUAGUAUCUCAAUGAUUGGAUGUACCAAUUUUUCUUAUGGAUGUAAUUAAGGUUCCAAUGUUAGUUUCAAGGUAGGGAAUGGCCUCUAAUCACUUCCCAAGGAUCGGAUAUACCAAAUUUUCUUCAAGAUGUAUCUAGGGUUUAAAAGUCCAUUUUGGGGGUAAGAAAUAACCUCCAAUUACUUCCUGAUGGUCCAUAAAGGAGCAAAUGGACCUUAGGAAUAACGAUAGGGGUCUUGGUAGCCCAAGGAUUGGAUGUACCAAAUUUUCUUAAAGAUGUACCGAAUUUAUAUGAGGAUAUAUCUAGGGUUCCAAAGUCUAUUCUGAGGUGGGAAACGACUUACAAUUACUUCCUAAGGGUCUUUAAAAGAUCAAAUGGACCAUGGGAAGGGAUAUAAGGGUCCUGGUAGCUUCAGGAUCGGAUAUACCAAAUUUUCUUAAGGUUAUACCUAGGAUUCCAAACUCCAUUCCAAGAUAGAAAACAACCUCUAAUCCUUUCCUAAAGGUCUCCAAAUGAAUAUAUAGACCAUGAAAAGGAGAUAAGGGUUUUGAUUCCCUUAGGAUUGGAUGUACCUAUUUUUGUUAAGGAUGUACUUAAGGUUUCAACGUUCGUUUUGGGAUGAGGGAGGACCUCCAAUGACUUAUCGAGGGUUCCCAAAGGAAUAUAUAGACUAUGAUAAGGAAGAUAGGGAUCCUUGUUCCCCUAGGAAUGGAUGCACCUAUUUUUUCUUACGGAUGUACCUAUUUUUUAUGAAAUUAAUAUAAAAGGUUAACUACAAUUUUUUUUAAUGAAAAAAAUUUAUUUUCUUUUAUAUUUUAUUUUAAUUUAAAAUUAAAAAUUUUAAUGAAACAAAAAAUUAGAUCCAUGAUCAAGUUAAAACCAUAAGAAAAAAAAAGCAUCAUCACUUACUAUGAUUUUGAUAUGAUAAAUUUAAAAUAAAAAUAAAAAUAAUAUAAAUAAUAAAAUAGUAUUACAAAUAUAUUUUAUUUUUACAUGUGAUAUGAUUUACAAAAUAAAUAAAUAUUUUAUUUAGCAUUAAUAUAAAAAAAUCUUAUAUCAUAAAACUAUAAAUAAUAAAAUAUAAUUUUAAAAUUUAAUCCUUGAUUUAUCAAUUGAAUUACUAUAAUUAAUAUUAAAAAUCAUCAAGUAUAUUAUUUGUGGAAUAAUAUUUUCAUUUUUGUCCAUUACAUAUAUUUAUGUUUUUAUUUAAUUUUUUAUAGUAACUAUAUAUUAUUAAUAUUAUUAUUUUAAGGUUAAUUUGUCCAAAAAAUAAUUAAAAUCAAUAAAUAUGGGGAGAUUAAAGAGUGAAAAAAAUUAAAAUUGAAGAAGUUUUAUGAGAUAAUACAUUAGCAUAUUAAAAGAAAUGUCAAAUGAGAGAUAGAAAAAUAGGAUAUGGUGAUAAGAAAGAAGAAAAAAUGAUAAAAGAAAAAAGUAAAAUGUAGAAACGUGGCAAAAGGUGAGAUGUGUGAGGGAGUUUAUGUAAGAGAAAAAAAAAAGUGAUUGGUGUACUUGACAACAACAUUUAAUGUGGUAAGUGUACUUGCCCUCAACUUUUGAGGGUAAUUUUGGAACAAAUUCAUAAGCACUAUUGGACUGCAUGAAUUGGUAAUAUUUUUUUUUCCAUUUUACAUUAAAAUUGAAAAAAUAAAAACAAAGUUCUAAAAACCAUAUUUUUUUUGUUGGUGAUGUACCAAAGCAUGAUUAUCCCAAUUUUAAAUAAUACAAAAAUCAUAAAUUUUGAAAUUUUUUUUUAAUCUAAAUUUUUUUAUUUGUAAAUUUUAAUGUUUAAUUUUUUAAUUUCUAAAUUUUAAAUAAUAUAAAACUCAUGGCAUGAUGAAGCACAUUAAAUGUGUUGCAGUAGCAUGUUGUAUUUUUGUAGCAGAGAUGACAUAGAAGGAGUUGUGUGGAAUGUUGUUUGGGAAAAAAAAGAUGAAAAAAAAUCUCAGACCCUCACCUAGUCAAGCACCAUUGCAACUUUGAAAAAAAAAAACAAAAACAAAAAAACCCAUUUUAAAAAAGGAGAAAACCACCAUCGCAAACAAUGGCUUACCACAUUUGUAUCUAAUGCCAUAUCCUCUUCAACCUUUCAUCAUCUUCACCACCAACCCAUCUACCUUCUUGAAAAUUCAUUUUCCAACUACUAGUCAUACAUACCAUUCUCCAUAACACAUAUAUAUCCGAUAAUAAUUGUGAAAAAUGGCUAAUUUGAUUAAGCAAAUCACUAAAUGGGGGUAAAGAGUGGGAGGGGAUGAAUUAGGUGUUACAUUUUUAUUUUUAUUUUUUAAAAAAUAACCAAUUAAUAACAAAAAGAAUAAGAGAUAUUAAGUAAGACAAUAAUUAAGUAAAAGAUAAAGAGAAGAUAUAUGCAAACUCUUUUAUAAUGGUUUUAAAAUCCACCUAUAUCCACUCUUUUUAACCUCCCAAGCAAGGGAGGGUUCCAUUAUCAAAGGCCUUCAACCUAUGCCUUCAAGCUUUAUAUUUGGAUUCAUGGACUCCAAUGGGCACUCACAAUCUCUUCAAGUACUUCACCUAUUUGAAGUCUCUUCACUAAAAAAUGAGUAGAUAAGGAAAGUCCUAAUGCUUUUUGUUAGGACAUUUAGUUUUAUUUAUAUGUUGGCAAUUUUGUUCCAUUUUAUGUUUGAUCAUAAAGUUCUUUUUAGAUAGUGACUUGCUCAAGUGAAAAGGACCGCUCAAGUGGUCUAAGUCUGCUCAAGCAGUAAUGAUAGUCCUAUCGAGUUUAAACACAAAUUUUGGAUGAAUUUCACUUGAACUCUAGUUUGAAAACUUAAGAUACUGAAAAUUUUUGGGCUAUAAAUACCUCCUUAAUAACCCCUUAAGGGUUAGGGAUUGAAGAUUGAAAAGAUCUUAGAGAUUAGAAACCUCUCAUUCUUAAAAAGAGGCCUUGAGAGAAAGCCUAAAUUGCUAUAUCAUUCAUGAUUUCUCAUUCAAGGAUUGAAUCUUUAAAUCGUUAGUUGAAAACCUUAAUCCCUUCGAAGUGGCAAAAGAAUCUACUAAGGAGCAAUAAGAAGUUGCUACAUCAUGAAUGUGGAUCAAGUUAUAAGUGUUGAAGAGUAAGUUUUUAGGGUAAAACAGUCAGGUAAAUCUGUGUAACUUGAUUUCGAAUAGUGGAUUUGGAUUGGUAGGUCUUAGACCUUGUGUUUUUUUUUUCUCCAUAGUUUGUGCGAGGUUUUCACGUAAAAAUCUUAUGCCUAAUUGUCUAUAUCUUUUAUAUUUGAUAUUAUGUUUGUAGGGUUUUCAUAAAAGGUUCAUAUCUAUAUAUUUUUGCUUAGAUUUAAUGUGAUUAAGUUUGAUUGAUUUGUUGGGAUUGCUUUUGAGGUUGUUAGGGUUGUUAUCUUGGUAUUUAUGGUUGUUAUCCUUAUAACAAGUUAUUAUUAUCCCUAACAUCUAUCAAGAUAUCCUUUGGAUAUUAAUAAUUUAUUUAUUUUAUCCCAAAUAAUCUUUGGAUAUCAAUUAAUCAUAAAAAUCAAGUUUUACUAUUCUAAAUUUAGGGUGAACUCAUUUUUUAAUAUCGAGGAUAAACUUGAAAAUUUCUUAGAGGUAAAAAAAAUUGAUAUAACAUAUAAAUCUUUAUUUAAAUUUUUAAAUCACCCAUUCAUCCCACCUUUGGAUGUUCGUUAUUGGACUUUCAGUUGUUAUUCAAGUGAUAUUAAAGCAAUACUCAUUUUCAAUUGGUAUCGGAGUGGAAUAAAUAACCAAUUCUUUAUCCUAUUGAUUAAAAAUCCAAUUUUUAUUGAUUGGACUGUUUAAAAAUCAAAUUUUUAUUAAUCACAUAGGAUAAAAAUCAAAAUUUUAUUGAUCCUGUAAGUCUAAUAUGGAACAAUAAAAAAGUGGUGCUCCUUUGAAUAGUUACCCUAUUUUGAUGGGAAUAAUUACUCCUAUUAGAAAGCAUGAAUGAUGUUUUUCCUCAAAAUGUAAGGUGAAAGGGUGUGAAACUCAAUUGAAUAUGGUUGGGGACCACCAUUAAUCCUUGAUACUCAAGGAAGAUUAAUAGGUGAACUUAAACCUAAAAAAAAAAUGAGACAAAUCCAAUAAUCAACGUAGUGAAGCCAAUGCUAUAUUUUUAAUGGAGUUUAUCCAGAAAGGUUUUGUAGGAUAGCAAAUUGCAGAUGUGCAAAUUAAGCAUGGGAUAUUCUUCAAGUCACUCGCGAAGGUACAUCCUCUAUAAAGAUUUAUAAAUUACAAAUGCUUGCUACAAGGUUUGAAAAUAUUAUGAUGCAUGAAAAUCAAACUUUUUCUUCUUUUUAUUCUAAAUUAAGUGAUAUUGUAAUUUCUUAGUUUAACCUUGGAGAACUUAUUCCUAAUUCUAAGGUAGUUAGGAAAAUAUUGGGAUCUCUUCCAAAGAAAUUUAGAACUAAAGUAAUUGCCAUAGAGGAGAGCAAGGGCAUUGAAUCCAUGAGAUGAACUUGUAGGCUCCAUUCAGACAUAUGAGAUGACUCUACCUAGUUCCUAAAAGCCUAAAGAGUCUACUUUUAAGGCUUUUAAUGGUGAGAAAAAAAAUUAAAAUUCCAUAUGAUAUAACAAAGGAUGAAUUGGCCCAUAUGGCCAAAAUGAUUAAAAAGGUCAUAUAAUUCAAUAAAAGGUUUUACAAGAACCAAGAAUCUAGAAAAAGAAAAAGACCUAAUGAACAAUCAUCCAAUAAGAAAAGAAAAGAUUCCUCCAAAGGUAAGAAAGUUGAAUGCUUUAACAAUGGAGGUCUAGGACAUUAUGCUUAAGAUUGUCCUAGCCCCAAAGAUGCCAAAAAGUCUAUGCAAGCAACAUGAAGCAAUACUAAUUCUGAAGAGAGUGCUUCCACAACUUCUGAAGAUGCAAGGUAUGAUCCCAAUGACUUGUUAGCUUUUAUUGCUUUUAUGGAACUUGUGCAUGAUAGUGAUGAUGAUGAGUUUACUAAUGAACAAAGGACUGAAUUCUUGAGUAAUCUUGUUGUUGAGCAUGAAAGACAAAUUAAGAGUUAUAUGAAAAAUAAUGAUAUCCUUGAUGCUCAUGAUAAAAACAAAAUUGAUGUGCUUAGUGCUGAAAAGACUAAUUUGCUUGAGAAAGUUAGGUUUCUUGAAUUUGAACAUCAUUCUCUCCUUGAGAAGAAUAAUCCUCUCACUCAAGAGAAAAAAUAACAAGCCUUUUUCAUCUGUGAAUAAAUUUUUUUUACUGCAGAACUAAAAUGUUUAAUGAAAUUCUUGAUAAAUGCAAAAUCCAUGGUGAUAAAAGAGGUUUGGGGCGCAUUAAUAAAGAUGAAACUCCCUUUGAAUUCAUUAUUUUUCCAUUGAAAAUCCCAUCUUUAAAUUCCAUUACUUAGCCACUUUCCACUUUCCACUGUAAAUAUUAUAUUAAAAAAUUUUAAAAAAAAAUUAACUUAGAAUUUCUACAUAUGGCCAUUAAAAUAUUUUAUGAAAAAUAACUUACCAAAAAAAUAUUUAUGUACAUACCAUUAAAAAUUUGAUAUUAAAAAACUUUUUUUUUAUUUAAAAAAAGUAACUUACCAAGAAUAUAUUGAAAGCACUUUAAAAAAUAACUUACUAAAAUUUUAUUUACGUACAUACCACUAAAUAUUUUAUAUUAAAAACACUUUAACAAAAAUUGACUUACCAAAAAUAAAUUAAGUGCACUAAAACAAAUAAUCUAAAUGACCUAAGCCUAAAAAGUGUCUAAGUGAAAUUUAAACCUAAAAAGUGCCUAGGUGAAUUGAGCGGAAAUGGAUUUAAGUGAAACUUAACCUAAACUCAAAGAGCAACCGAGGUCAUAAUGAGGGUCUAGACGAGCUCCUCAACAAAAGCUCCCUAAAGGUGACUUGAAAGGAGUAAAUUUUAUAAGUUUCAAUGGGCCACCAAGAAAUAACUACGAAUCAAAAGAGAAGUAUAGGAAAGCACCUAAUGCCACAUGUGCUAAGAAGACAAAAUGGAAAGUCUACAAAUAUCCUUCUCCUCAUUCUCAAAAACCAUAAAGGCAGAGUCUUUAGGCUUUUGGGAACUAGGUAGGGUGAUCUCAUAUGUUUGAAUGGAGCCUACAAGUUCAUCAACUCUCAUGGAGUUGAUGUCCUUGCUCUCCUCUAUGACAAUUACUUUAGUUCUAAAUCUCUUUGGAAGAGAUCUUAAUAUUUUCCUAACUAUCUUAGAAUCUGGAAUAGUUUCUCCAAGGUUGAAUGAAUAAUUUACAAUAUCACUUAAUUCAAAAUCAAAGAAAGAAAAAGUUUGAUUUUCAUGCAUCCGAAUAUUCUUAAACGUAGUAGCAAGCAUUUGCAAUUUAGAAAUCUUUAUAGCAAAUGUACCUUCAUGAGUAACUUGAAGUAUAUCACAUGCUUCUUUUACACGUUUUCAAUUUGCAAUCCUUCGAAACUCAUCUAGACCAAUUCCAUUAAAAAUACUAAAUAAAGCCUUAGCAUUGGCUUCACUACUUUCAUUGGCAACUUUGUCCCAUUCAUGUUUAAAUUUAAGUUCUUUUGUUGAUCUUCCUUGAGCAUCAAGGAUAAAAGGUGGUCCCCAACCAUAUUCAAUUGAAUUUCAUACCCUUUCACCUUGCAUUUUAAGGAAAAACAUGAUUCUUGCUUUCCAAUAAGAAUAAUUACUUCCAUCAAAAUAGGGUGGACUGUUCAAAGGAACACCACUUUUUGACUAUUCCAUAUCAAACUUACAAGAUCAAUCAAAUUUUGAUUUUUAUCUUAUAUGAUUAAUAAAAAUUUGAUUUUUAAACAAUUUAAACAAUAAAAAUUGAAUUUUUAAUCAAAAUGAUAAAUAAUUAGUUUUUUAUCCUUCUCUAAUACCAAUUAAAAAAUGGGUACUACUUAAAUACCACUUGAAUAAUAACUGAAAGUCCAAUAAAAAACACUUUCAACGGUAGGGAACACCCACAGGAAAAGAGGGGGGGGGGGGAGAUGAAUGGGUGAUUUAAAAUUUUAAUUAAUAUUUGUAAAUGAUAACAAACUUUUUCUUACUCCAAUGGAUAUCAGGGAUAUCCCAAAUAAUUAAAUGUAUUAUACUUAAAAUCUUUAGGUAUUCAAAAAUAAGAUUUUUAACUUUUAGGGAUACCUUGCAAUUGUUUAGGGAUAAAGAUAAUAUAAUUCUUAAUAUCCAAAUAAUAAUAUCCCGAGAAAUGUUAUGGAUAAUAAUAAUUAGAUAUAAUGAUAACAACCACAACCACUAAGAUAACCACCAUAACAACCUCAAUAGCAAUCCCAACCAAUCAAACAACCUAAUCAAGUAAUAUAUGUAUGAAUAAAUAGAUAUGUACUUCUUAGGAAAACCUUGCAAGAUAUUAGGGAUAAUCAAUUUAAUCUAUUCUAGGCAAUUCAAAUAGAAUAUUAAAUAUAAAACUAUAGACAAUGAGUUACAAAUUUUUUUACAUGGAAAACUCCCACAAACUAUGGAGAUAAAAAACCACGAGAUCUAAGACCUACCAAUCUAAAUCCACUAUUCAAAGUCAAGUUGCAUAGAUUUAACUGGACGUUUUACCCGAAAGACUUACUCUACAACACCUACAACUUGAUCCAUGUCCAUGACAUAGCAACUCCAUGUUUCUCCUUAGUAAAUCCUUCAAUCUCUCUAAAGGGAUUACAAUCUUCAACUAAUAAUUCAAAGAUUCAAAUCCUUGAAUGAGAGGAUGGGAAUGGUGUGGCAAUUAGGCUUUUUUCACAAGGAGUCCCUCUAAAGAAUAACAGGUCUCUCAACAAUCUUUUAAGAUCUUUAUGAUCUUUCUAAUAUCCGAUCUCUAACCCACAAGGGGUUAUAAGAUAGGUAUUUGUAGGCAAAAGCCAUAAGAGUUUCAGUAUCCUAAAUUUUCAAAUUAAAGUUUGAGUGAAAUUCAUUCAAAAUAUAUUUUUAAACUUGAUAGGACUGACAUGACCACUUAAGCAAACUUUGACCACUUGAGCUAGCACUUUACUUGAGCGAUCCUUAUUGCUUGUAUAGGUUGACUGAUUGAGUAGGAUUAACCACUUGAGUGACCCUUUCUUUUUGAAAAAUCAUUUUGAGUUUAAAAAUGAUACCGAAUCUUUUUAUACCUCAAAUAAGCCUUGUAUCUCAUAAGCCAAAUCUUUUUAGAUGUACCUAUGACUUCUCGGUUGGAUGAAUAGAAACCCUUGAUCUUCAAUGGAGAGAAUGUCAUUAUCUAAAAAGACUUUUAUGACCAAACAUUAAUUGGAACAAAAUUUCCAACAAAUAAACAAGACUCAAUGUCUUAACAAGUCAUUCCCAAUCUUUCAAACCCAUGACUUAUUCAUUUUUCCUUUGCUUUGAUCUAUCCAUGCUUCUUAAGUUUUAAAUAUUUCUUUAGGCAUAUUUGAUCCCUUUCUAUUCUUCGGUUAAAAUUGAUUCUAGUAAUUUCUAUUUUUUUUCCUCAUGCUCAAAAUAUUGUUAGAUAUGCAACUAAGGUCCUAGCACUUAAUUUGGGCGAGUGGAUCCCUUUAUAUAGUAUAAAUCAUAUCAUAUCCUAUUAUAGGGUUAUGCAUCUUGGUUCAUUAAAGCAUUUGGGGACUAUUCCCCUUAUACAUAGCCAUUAAAGCCUAAUUAAGAAUGCUUGACGUUUGCAUCUGGAUACCUAGUUGGGUGCAUGCAGCACUAACCAUGAGUCCAUACACUUAUCACUUGAGUAAUUCUACCCAAAAUUAGUCAUCUUAUCUAGUAUAUAUCCACUACAGCUUAGGCAAAAGAGAAACUAUAAGCAUUAUUGUUAGAAUUUACAUAUCAACCCGAUAAACCAUGAUCGUGCUUUUCAUGGCCAUAAAUCUUAAACAAUAGUAAUCGAUAAACAACUUUUCAAAAGCAUCACUUGCCUUGACCUAAGCAUUUAGGACCUAGUUCUUUUUGCUCUUUCUUACUCGACCUCUUACACCAAUGAAUCAAUACGGAAGUGGACACUUUGUCAAGGGCACAUCUCAACAAUAACAUAUAUUCCUAACAAUCUAGUGAGCAUUGCCUAACACAGGCCUGCCCAACUAAUAGUUUUUUCAUGAAGAGAGAGUUGAUCUCAACCCUUUUAGUCAACCUACCAUGGAGUAGCAACAUAAACUAUCUCUUCCCAAACACCCUAGUUCAAUUAGCUUUCAACUCUCAAGUCGUAGGUAAUCCAUGCUUGUCAACCUUCAUUCAAUUAAGAUCUAACUUAACCUUUGGAGAGGCAUAGCCAAGGUUCACUUUCAAUACUCCUUAGUGCUAGUGCUAGGUGCUAUAGGCAAAGAGGUCAAUCACCACCUCUAGGAAGAGUAUUGUUAAUUCACAUCACUCAUGGACCCUAGCUCAAGAGUUUGAGAACUAGUAAUAACUAUGAAAUAACAAUGGUCAAAGUGUAAGAGAUUUAUUUUAGGGAAACAAAAAAUUAAAUAAACAUAAUAAGCUUAGCAUGAUUAAUUAUCAAUUAAUUAUAUAUUUUUUUUAAUAAAGAAGUUCCAAGUUUGAAACCAUCGUUUAUCUAUAACCCUUUCGCCUUGACAAUAUGAAACUAUAUUACAAAUUUAAAUAAUUUUUCAAUGUUUACAUGUGAGACAUUAACAUUUGUUCAGAAAUUUAAAAAAAAAAAAAAAAAAAAGGUUAUUUGGACACAUGACUCAAAAUAACUCUCAAAUUGUAAAAAUGGCCCCUCACACUUUAAUUUUGUUGAGAAAUAACUCUUUAUGGAUACUCUUACCCUUCUUCAUUUUGUUUGUUAUAAAAAUCAUUAUCUUUUCAUAACUAUCUUAUCUUUCAAAUAACUCAUUCUUGCUUUCAUUUUAGAUUUUUAUCUAAAUUAAAUAAAUACACAAUAGUCAAGUUUGAUUUACAAAAAAUCUUAACUAGAAUUAAAUUUAUUUACAAAUAAUUUAACUACUGUCAAGUUUUCCAUUUCAUCUACAAAGAACUCGAUUAUAAUGAUAUGAACUUUGUUGUUAUUAAGUUUUAUUUUUAAAAAAAAAACUUAAUUAGAGUUAAUUUAACAUCUAUUCUACAAAAAAACCUAAUUAUAAUUAAGUUCUUAAUUAGAAUAUUCAUAUGGACAUAAACAUUAAAUGAAAGGAUUAUGUGAUCUCAUCUUCACAUUUUAGAAGUUUAAAUGAAACUACAAAAACAAUUAACAAAAAAUAGUAAAAAUUACCACUAAAGGACAACCUCAAAAAAUCCUAACAAAAAUCCCACUAGAAAAAUCCCCACCAAAAAACCUUAACCAAAAUCCUAGUGGAACAUUGAAAAAAAAAAAAACAACCAAAUCCCAACAAUACAAUUGCAAAAAAUGCUAACAAAAAAUAACUACAAAAUCCCAAUAUAUAUAUAUAUAAAACAACCAUAAAAAACACUAACCAAACACACACACACAUAUAAAGGAUAAUGAAAGAUCUUGAAGAAGACCGCAAAAAACAGGAAAAUCUCAACAAAAACUAACUCCAAAUCAAAAGAAACAAAAAACCACUACAAAAAAAAUCACAAAAAAAUCCUAACUAAAAAUAAAGAAAAUGAUGAAAGAUCUUGAAGAAGAAAAAAAGAUGAGAGAAUUGUGGUCGAUUUUUAUCAUUUCUUCGAUUUGAACUACACCCCUAAAUUCACAAGGAAAGAACUUGGAAAAUUCAUUGGAAGAGUGAGAAGGAAAUGAUUGGGGAAUGAGGAAAAAAUGUCAAUUGAGAAAAAAAAAAAAGUAAUAUUAUCUUAAAUCAAUCAUUUUUUUUAGAGAAUAAAGAAGAAAGGUCAUUCUUCUGAUUUGAGAAGCAUUUGAAAUUUUUUAGCCAAAAAUCUCUUUAAAAAAUUGUAAGUAAAGUGGUGUUUUUUUGUUUGUUUUCCUUUUUUUGUUUUUGUUUUUUUUUUUUUUCAAAAUUGUUUUUUUUUUUUGAAAAAAAAAACUUUUUAAAAUUUUUUUAACUGAAUAAAAAAAGUCAAAAUAUUUAACUUUUUUUUUUUAAUGAUAAAAGUAACAUAUUGAUUUUUCUUUAUUCCUUAAUAUUCAAUAUAAAUAAAAUAUUACAAAAACAAACAACUUAAUACUUAAUUUUAUUAAGCACUAUUUAAUUUUGAAAGGUGAAAAUAUGAAAUAUUACAAUGUCAUUAAACAAAAUAAAGUCCAUUGUUUUUUUAAAAAUCAUAUCAAUGUCAUUAAACAAAAUAAAAUCAUGGAUGUUGGACUCUACCAAAGCCCAAUUGAUUUUGCAUGAAUUAAUUCUACAAAUUCCAUGAUUUGAAAUUAUAGAAUUUAAUUCAUGCUUAUUUUAAAACAAUUUAAAAAUCAAGGAAAAAAAUUGUGAAAAAUGUUUGCCGAAGAGAAAAUGGCAAUAAAUUUUAUUGGAAAUGGGAUUUUUGAGACUUAAAAAUUCUAAGAAUGAAAAAUUGUGGAAUCAAAACAAGAUCUUUUUUAAAAUAAUUUUUUAAAGACAUGCAUGCACACGGGUUUUGAAAUUGAGCAUAGGAGGGUCGCCAUGCAACUUUGAAUCAUUCAUGUGGCCCAGGGGUGCAACUGAGACCGCACUGUGAGGUUGGUGAUUGCAGCUGUCAUCCUCUCUGAAUUUCCCCUCUUGCCGACUUGACAAUCCCUCUCAUGCAGAUGGGACAUUUUCCAACAGAGAUGUUGUCAGUCCUGAAUCAGAGGCACUGUUCCUAAUAUUUUCAUGCAUCUUAAUUAAAGGUAAACCAGGAAGGGUAGAGAUGAAGGAGCGGGUCCUGCGUGCUUGGGAAUGACAUACCAAAAGGGGCCAUGCAAACCAUGCAAGAGUGGGGUCCGAGGAGUGCCAAAGUGGGACGACAUGAUUUCAGUCAUUGUGCAGGUUUGUCUGAACUGGGAUUCUAUUCGGUGUUUCACUUCUUUCCUCCAUCCUUAAUGAUCUUCAUAACAGUUGGAAAGGAGUCAGACCAGUUUUUGUUUCCUUUUACCUCUUCUGCUGAUGGAUUUUCUAGAAUGAUCUCCAAUUUCUGUGAUUUUGGACUUCGAAAAUUACCCAUGAAAUUUCUGGGGAAAAACUGAUUGGAGAGAGAGAGUCCCUUCCUGAUAACGCAUGCUGGGCAUGAUGGUUUCCAGUCCCCAGUUGAAGGCUAUCGUCUUCAAGCCUCGAGAGAUCAUAAAAGUAAGAUUGGCGAGGGCGACUCUGAAGUUAUUUACAAGAUAAAGCCUUCAUUCCAUGUGCGCCUUAACAACAGGUAGCACCAAAGAAACCAGAGUGGACCAUUCUCAACCUCGGUCGCGUCCAUCUUGUUCAACUCUAAAGGAUCAGACGACUGUUUUGACCAAGGAUAUGGUUGUAUGUCUUCUGGUCCGCUGCCUAUUUACAUCUGGCAGCACUAAGCUAACUUCAUUGGCACCUAUGUAACUGAAAGCAUAGGUCUCUAUAGGUAAGUCUACUACUUUGCAUGUGAAUAUUUGGAAUGCUAAGACAACGGCGAACUAGAAUAAUGGAGGCAAUGAAUGAGCUAUUCCCCUAGAUGGGGGCUAUACUUUCUCCCAUAAUUGCUUCUUGCUGUUGAAUAACCAUCAAGAUACUCAUCUAAUGAGCAAUUACUUCUCAGAAUUGGCUGUCGAAGGUUUUGAAUGUACUUCCAGAUCAGAUGAAACAAAUGAGGAUCCUCUUGCCAUUGGAAGACUGCUGAAAGUGAGCCGGAGCAUGAACUUUACUAAUUAGAUUCAUCAAAUUGCGCACCUUGGCCUGCCAGUGUGGACCCGUUCUGGAGCUGCUAUGAUUAUCCUGAAGUUUAUUUCUAGUAACUGGCUAUAAGACUCUGCAAAAAUUCGGUGGUUGAUGGGAAUGCAAAGAUGGGUAUUCAACGCAUGGAGUCUCGAAUAACAUUCCUUGCUGCUCAUAACUAGUUCUGAUCCAUGUAGCAGAUUCCCCAAUUGUAUGUACGCGGACAUUUCCAUCAAACGACUAUCGAAACUGAAUUGGAGAAGGAAUUGCACCAAUUGGAUUCACUUAACCGUGCAUCUUAACCUUGGCAAAACUGGAUUUGGGAAGAAGCAUUCUACAUGGAAGAUCCAAUUGCUAGGAGAAGGGGAUAAAAAAUGUCUUCUUCCAAGGUGUUGAGUUUGGACAAGUCAUGUGGAGGUUGCAUGCACACGAGAAAUAAUGGAAAUGAACUUGUGGGAGAUGAAUAGUGGGGUUGGCAGGUUGGGUAAGUGUGAAGGAUGGGGACUGGUGGUGGAAUGAAUGGAGCUGUAGGUGGUGGAUAUGGUAUUAAUUCGGUGAAUGUGAAGAAUGGGAACUAGUGAGUAUAAAGGGUGAACAUGCAUGCAUAGUUUCUACUAGUACGAAUCUGCAAAGGAGCUACAUCAUUCUUCCAGCUCCGAAUGAGACGCGCGGCGACUUUAAACAUUGCAAAGUGGCCAUGCAAGUUGAACCCACGUGUGUGCGAACCCGGGAUGGAGUGGUUGAGUGGCAAACUAAGUGGGAAUUACAAAACUAGAACUUGUCAAGUAGUUAACAACUUAACAAAUUGUUAUUUAAGUAGUUAACAGGCUGUUUGUUGUAACUAAUUAGAUGUGUUUGUUAGUAACUGAUCUUUAGAUUCUUGUAUAUAAGAAACAGAGGACUGAUCAGUGUUGUAGAGGGAUAUAGCUCAAUUUCAGUUCCGUCUUUCUGGUUUUCUCUUAAACAGAUGCUCUACACAUCUUCUUCUUCUCUUCAUAUCUCUGAGUUCUUUCUUGGUAUCAGAGCCAUCAACUAACAUCUGUAAAUCUUUUUUUCAUGGCAUCAGAAGGAUCAACAUCUUCAAUGGAUCAUCCUAAUUCCAACUUUACUCAUCAUACAAUGCCAUCAUUGAAUCAAGCAUUCACGGUAAGAAUCAAUCAAUCAAAUUAUUUACUAGGGCGAACUCAGAUGUUGAACAUCAUCAUUGCAAAUGGCAUUGAAGAGAUGAUCCAUGGAAAAAUCCCUGCUCCUUCAUGGUUUCUUGGCGAUUCAGAGAACAUAAAUCUAGAAUACAAUAUAUGGCAACGUCAGAAUCGCUUAGUAAUGUGUUGGAUCUAUUCCCUUUUAACAGAAGGAGUGAUGACACAGAUUAUCGGACUUGAUACUACAUCAGAAAUCUGGAUUGCUCUAGAGAAAAUUUUCUUAGUAGCUUCAAAGGCUCGUACCAUGCAGCUUCGCUUCCAACUGCAAACAACAAAGAAAGGAGGAUUGAGUAUGAUGGAAUAUCUACUCAAAAUCAAGUCCAUUGUAGAUAACUUGGUUGCAAUUGGAGAAAAUAUUACGAGCAAGAUCGAAUUCUCUAUUUACUUGCAGGACUAAGAGCAGAGUACAAUUCGUUUGUCAUUUCAGUUACCUUUGGGCAUGAAUCAUUAAGCCUAGAAGAAAUUCAUAGCAUGCUCUUAACUCAUGAAAAUCGAUUGGAACAACACACAACAGAAGAAACAAAUCUUAUGCAAGUAAAUAUUGCAACAAUGAACCUUCAAGGUCACAACAGAAAAAAUCAAAAGUUUGGUCAAUUCAAGACUCAAGGUAGAGGUAGUCAGAAUCCACAACAAUUUAAUCAUCAGAAUUUUGGUAGAAGCCGUGGGAGAGGUCACUAUAACAACAAUGGUGGAAAUUUUGGGCAUGGUCUAGGAAAAGGUAGCUUUAAUAACCAUUUUUACUCAUCUGGAAACUUCAAUAAUGUUUCUGGUGGCAGCAAUGGAAAACCACAGUGCCAAGUAUGUGGUAAAUAUGGUCACAUUGCGAUUAAUUGCUAUAAUAGAUUUUAUCAAAACUUAUCAAUCAACAAUGAACAAUCAGCUUGCUGUAAUGGUUUGCAACUCCGUCCAAUGUUGGAGAUGGAAGUUGGUACAUGGAUACCGGAGCUAUGCAUCACCUAACUCCAAAUCUCAACAAUUUGAAUUCACAUACUCCAUUUGCUGGUUCAGACAAAGUCGUCGUUGGAAAUGGUAUUUGUUUAAAUAUCUCAAAUAUUGGACACUCCAUUAUUUCUUCAGCUUCUCGGUCAUUAAAUCUAAGAAUAUUUUACAUGUUCCACAACUUACAACCAAUCUGAUAAGUGUGAAUAGGUUGUAUACUAACAAUAAUGUUACUGUGGAAUUCUUUACUAAUGGAUUUGUGGUGAAGGAUCAAACUUUGAAGAAGGCUCUUCUCCAAGGCAACCUUAACUAUGGCUUAUACAAUCUGUCUUCAACACCUAGUAGAAGAUAUCAAGAUCCUGAUGAUAAUAAACUUGCUGGAAGAACAAGCUUGACAACUGAGGUCCCAUGUAUGUCAUCUACAUUACAACUUCCCAAUAAGGCAGUUCUAUGGCAUUUCAGGUUAGGCCUCCUGCACAUAAAAUAGUCAAUAAAGUUUUGAGUGCUUGUAGCUUGCCCCUAGAACAUUGGACAGGUGUUUGUGAACCUUGUCAAAUGGCAAAGAGCCAUCGCUUACCUUUUACUUUGUCUGAAUCCAGAGCCUCUCAGCCUUUUGCUCUUGCACAUUCUAAUCUAUGGGGUCCUACCCCUGUUGUUGGUGCUAAUGGUGCAAGAUACUUUGUGCUCUUUGUGGAUGACCAUACAAGAUUUUCUUGGUUGUAUCUACUAGCUUCUAAAGAUCAACUAUCUCUGCCUUUUUGCAAUUUAAAGUGAUGAUUGAGACUCAAUUUGAUACUAAAGUUAGAAUGCUUCAAACUGAUUGGGGAGGAGAGUUUCAAGCCUUUACUAAUACCUUAUGUAAGUUUGGGAUUCUGCAUAGAGUAUCUUGUCCAUCCACUUCUCAACAAAAUGGUCGUGUGGAGAGAAAACAUAGGCAUGUGGUUGAAGUAGGUCUUUCCUUGCUUGCUCAUGCUUCUAUUCCACUUAAAUAUUGGCCUUUUGCCUUCCAAUCUGCUUUAUAUUUGAUUAAUAGGCUUCCUUCCUCUGUGCUGAACUUUUCUCUCCAUAUAAGACUCUUUACCAUUGUCUACCAAAUUAUUCUUUUCUUCGCGUCUAUGGUUGCACUUGUUAUCCUUUUCUCCAUCCUUUUAAUCGCCAUAAAUUUGCAUACCGAUCAGUUAAAUGCACCUUUAUUGGCUAUAGUUCUAAGCAUAAAGGAUAUCUAUGUUUGAACUUGUCCACUGGAAAAAUACAUAUAUCACGACAUGUUAUUUUUUAUGAACUAGAUUUCCCGUUUGCUAAGCCUUCUACAGUUCAACCUCCUUGUCAUGUUUCCCCCUCUCAUUGUGCCAUUCCUUUAGUAAUACCAACCACUCCAAUAUCUUCCCUCUUGCUUUCCUCAUCCAGUCCAUCUUCAGAGCUGGUUCCAAUCUCUUAUGAUAGUAUGUCAAUUUCCUCUUCAAAAGUUGCACCUAUUCCAAUAGCUCAACCGUCUUUCUCUCAUGUUCCUCCUUCUUGUCAUCCCAUGACAACGCAUGCCAAAAAUGGCAUUUUCAAACCCAAGAUAUUUCCAUCCCCUAUUAAGACUAUUUUUCAUUCACCUUGUGAACCGAAUUCCUUCAAGGAAGCUGCUAAAGUUCCUGAAUGGCAGCAAGCUAUGCACCUUGAAUUUGAAGCUCUUAUGAACAAUAAAACAUGGGUCCUAGUUCCUCCUCCGUCUAAUCAGAAUAUCAUUGGAUGUCGCUGGGUUUAUAAAUUGAAGUACAAACCUGAUGGAACUGUUGAACGCAAUAAAGCACGUUUGGUGGCUAAAGGAUUUCAUCAAACUCCUGGUUUUGAUUACUUUGAAACCUUCAGUCCCAUGGUUAAACCUACUACUAUUCGUGUGGUUCUCUCUUUGGCAUUAAGUAAAAAUUGGUCCAUCAGACAACUUGAUGUUCAUAAUGCCUUUCUUAAUGAUGAUUUAUUUGAGCAAGUUUUUAUGACACAACCCCCAGGCUUUGUGGAUCCCUCUAAGCCCAACUUUGUUUGUAAACUUACCAAGGCAUUGUAUGGUCUAAAGCAAGCUCCAUGGGCUUGGUUCACCAAACUCAGCUCCGCCUUAGUUAAAUGGGGUUUUUCCAUGUCUCAAGCAGAUACAUCAAUGUUUGUUUACUAUAACAAUUCUGCCAUGCUUGUUGUCUUGGUUUAUGUUGAUGAUAUUACUGUCACUGGCUCAAGUUCCUUGCUCAUUGAACAACUUAUGUCCUCCUUAAACUCUUGCUUUGCUUUCAAGGAUCUUGGUCCUCUUAACUUCUUUCUUGGAAUAAAGGUGUUGAAUUUUGGAUCUUCUUUGCAUUUAAGUCAAGCUAGAUAUAUCUGUCAUCUUCUUCAACGUGCUGGUUUGUCUGAAUCAAAGUCCAUGACUUCCCCAAUGGCUGCUGGCCCUGUUCUUUCCAUAGAUGAUGGUACCAGAUUAGAAGAUCCCACCUUGUACCGGAGUCUUGUGGGUGCCCUACAGUAUUGCACAAUCACUAGACCAUAUAUUGCUUAUACCGUUAAUAAGCUUUGCCAAUUUAUGCAUGCUCCAACCUCUACUCAUCUUCAAGCCGUGAAGCAUGUCCUUCGUUAUCUCAAAGGUUCAUUGUUUUAUGGGCUUUCUUUCCAACCAUCUUCUUCCCUUGAUCUUAUUGCCUAUACAGAUGCGGAUUGGGCAUCUUGCCCUAAUGAUAGAUGUAGCACCAAUGGCUACUGCAUAUUUUUUAAAGGCAAUCUGGUCUCUUGGUCAGCUUCUAAACAAAAGGUGGUUUCACGCUCUAGUACUAAAUCCGAAUAUAGGGGCUUGGAUAAGGCAACAGUUGAACUCACUUGGAUCCAGUACCUGCUUAAAGAAAUUUUUGUUCCCCUGUUUCAGUCUCCUGUUCUUUAUUGUGAAAAUCUCAGCACUACUUAUUUAGUUGCAAAUCUUGUCCUUCAUUCUCGGGCUAAACAUGUGGAAAUUGAUUAUCAUUUUGUUCGUGAGCAAGUCUUGCAAAAAAUUCUUGAUGUUCGAUUUCUCCCAUUUGAAGAUCAAGUUGCUGAUAUCUUGACCAAAGCUCUUUCAACUCAAUGUUUCCUCCAUCUCCAAAGCAAGCUCACAGUUCUUUCUCAUCCUGUGUGCUCGAGGAGGGAUGCCAAGUAGUUAACAACUUAACAAACUGUUAUUUAAGUAGUUAACAGGCUGUUUGUUGUAACUAAUUAGAUGUGUUUGUUAGUAACUGAUCUUUAGAUUCUUGUAUAUAAGAAACAGAGGACUGAUCAGUGUUGUAGUGGGAUAUAGCUCAAUUUCAGUUUCCGCCUUUCUGGUUUUCUCUCAAACAGAUGCUCUGCACAUCUUCUUCUUCUCUUCGUAUCUCUGAGUUCUUUUUGAACUCUCAUCAUAAUGUGCACCGAAGGGGCCAUACAUGUGGGCUGCAUACCCAUGGGAAAAAUUGGGAAGGUGUGCAUGGGGAGUGAAUGGUGGAAUGAGUGAUGGACAUGUUGGAUAGGUAUGAGAUUUAGGUUGCGUAGGUAUGAACGAUGAGAGAUGGGUAUGGUGACAGUGGGGUAAUCCAGUGGGUAUGAAGGUUGGAGAAAUGGUGGGUUUGCACAUAAGAAUUCUUGCAUGUUGAGGAUGAAUGAGAUGCAAUUUGCUGGAGAAAACAUCGAUUUCCAGCACACCAGAUCACCAAAAAUUACUAUCAUUCUUUUCACCAUUGAUCGCGUUUUCACCAUUGAUUAUUGCAUUUGGGUUCUCUUUACCAUCACUGAUGUCUAAAAGCUUCACAUGAUACAAGGCCCAACUCAAAAUUGCUCUCUCUCUUCGUUUUGACCAUCCAAACCUGUUUGUAGAUGAGCCAUGCCCUGUCUCUUGCAGCAGCUUUUUCUGAGCGUGGACUGCCACCACUAGAGCUGAGGUAUUCCAUUGACAACCGGAGCUACACCGCUACAUGAAUAGGAGUCAAAUGUUGCUCAUACCCUGCAUCUCGUCCCAUAUCUGACUUUCUGCAAUUCCUCUAGUCUGUCCUUGAAUAACCCACAGCUAGCAAAAUCUCCCACAAACUGUAUUAAAAGAGAGUAGACAAAUUCAUGCCACGAGCACAUAUCUAAUAUCUCGAUGCAUUCUUUAAGUAGAGGAUUCCAAGAACGAUGGGAAACAUCUUUUCCAGAAUAAUGAGAACCUGGCCAAGAAGAGUAUCGACUCUGUCAUUGGCUCGGGCCCAUGAAGAAGCUAUGAUUAGCCAACAAGACCAAGAGCAACUAAGGAAGUCAAAGGUAAAAGAAGUGUAGCUGGAAUCUGGGUGCCACCAUUCAAACUGUUGAGUAGCCAAGUGCUCUGUAACAAUGUCAUCUAAUAAGAGGACUCAUUGGACAUCUCUUCUAUGGACAAGUGGGGCAUCAACAAAUUCUGAAAGGUGUCAUUGAGUCAACUGAAACUCUCUUGAACCUCAUAAUAGAAACCUACUCAUCAAAUCAUAGUCCAUUCCCACCAUAUUGGCCGCCUUCAAAAAUAACACUGAUGAGGCCCGAAGUUGUUGAAACAUCUGAAGGCUCUUCUGACAAUUUUUUGCACAGCUUCACGAGAAAUCUUCUCAAACCAUUUCUCAAGGAUGUCUAUACAAUGAAAGGUGCUAAUUACUUGGUCAAUGUUUUAUAUUAACACACUAUUAAUCAUGACUUACAAUUUUUUCUUCGAAUUAUUGAAUUGGAGAUGAGUCAAAUGCAACUGCUUAGAUGUUAACUAUCUUUCCUCUGUCAUAAAUAAACAAAUGGUUAAUUAAGUCUUAUUCUAUUGUUAUUAAAAAAAAAAUAGAACAACAUAUGAAAAUAAAAAAGGAUUUACAUAUUAAAAGAAAUGUGCAUUCCUAUGAUUUAUAGGGAUAUUAGUGCUCAUAAUGAGGAGGCAAAGUCAACUCUCCAACAAUGAUCUCACACAUAGAUAACUCCUAGAAUUGUAAUGUUUAUGUUUAUUUUUACGGUGUAAUUAGAAGAUUAUUUAUAUAAAAGUUCUCAAUAAUAUUUCUAGCUUCAAUUGCCACAUACACCAAGUUUUACAUGGCAUCAAAGUAUGAACUAACAAGCCAAAAUAUGUUUUCUUCUUUAUUCUUUUUUUCUAUUAAAAAAUUGAACUUGAAUUCAAUAUUUAGUAAUUUCACAAGUGUUCUAAUUUCAUCUUAAUCAAACUAAAAUAUUACAAAGUUUUCUAUUUGGAAAAAUCAAGUUCUCCCUUAGUUUUAUUUGUGGCCUCAGUAUUCACCAUUAUUUUUUAAAUAAAACGAGGAAAACAAAAGUAUCCUAACCUACAAUACUAGAUAUGGGUCAAUAAUAAUGGGCUUCUCACUUUAUGGCUUCUUCAAACCAUGAAAGGAGGCAUUUUAAAGAUGAUAUUUCAUGUUGAAAUGAUAGAUGAUCGAGGUAUGAACUGCUCUUGAAGAGUAUUUGCCCCUUACCAUAGUGGAGAAUGAAAGAAACCUAGAAAAUAUAUUCAUGACCCUCAAAAAGAGGUCAUUGUCUCUUAAAGAGUAUUUAGGGGACUUCAAAACUAUAUGUGACAAUCUUGCAACAAUCAAAAAUCUUGUUUCAAAUCAAGACAAAGUUUUUCAAUUUGCUCAUGGCUUAGGACAUGACAAAGAUAUGAAAAGUUUUUAAAUUUUCAUUUAGUCUAAAAUCAAUUUGCCAUUACAACACAAUUUUAUUUACUCUGACUAUGAUGAUUUUGCUUCUUUAUUUUAAAAUAUUUACUUCAUUGUGGAGGUAUUUUCCCAAAAAAAAAAAGGUUUUCCCAUUGUUACAAGUGAUGACUUUCACACUUGCUUUAAAGAUAUAAGAUUUAGAUUUAACCAAUGUAACCUAUUUCACUUUGAGAAGCAUUUUUUAAAGAACUAUUUCAUUCAUUAUAUGAAAAAUUAUCAAAUUUGACAUAAUUUUCAUGAAUUUCAUAAAUCUAAAAUCUCAUUUAGAAAUCAAACUUAGAAGAUUCCCUAUUAAUCAAGAAAAAUAGAAAAUCUUACAUUACCUAUACAUCAAAUUCUAUAUUUACUCCAAUCUUAGAGUCUAGAGUGUCAUUAAAAUAUCUCUAGGGAUAAUAGAGAGAAGCCUCACUUUUAAAAGAACUUCAUAAAUGAAAGAUCACUCAAAAUAAAUAAAAUAGUGAAUGUAUUUUCAAUAUUUAAUCAUUGUAUAUAUAAAAGAGUUAAAAUAAAUAAAAUAAAUUUAAAGUAUAAUAUAAAAAUAAUUUAUUAUUUAAUUUUUUUUGUCUUACUCUUUUUUCUUUCCAUUUUAUUAUUUUCAGAUAUUUUAAUAAAGAAAAAAAAUGUUAAGGGUCUUUUUCAUAUUUAAUCUCAUCAUAAAAAAUAUAAAAGAAAAUUAAAUAUAUAGUUAAAAAUUUUAUAUUUUAAAUAAUUUAAUCUUUACAUAUGAGAAUAAGUGAAAUCGGUUUUAAACCAAAAAUUUAAAUUUCUUUAAUCUUUGCAUAUGAGAAAUAAGUGAAAUCGAUUUUAAGCAGUAUAUAAAAAUAAUUUAUUAACUUUAAAUUAAUUUUUUAACUUUUUAAUUUAUGUUUCCUUCUUAUUUUCUUUUUAUUUAUUUAUUUUUUAAGUUGUGUUUGGUUUUCAGAAAUUAUUAAGGAAAAAAGAAAAUAAUAAGGAAAAUGAUUUUCUUGUUUGAUUACAAUAUAGAAUAUAGCAAUAAAAAUGAAAUAUAAUUAAAAUUAAUAAAAACUUAUACAUUCUCUAAUCUAUGUAUUAAAGAAAUAAAAUAAAUAAAAUAAGUUUGGAGUAACAUAUAAAAAUAAUUUAUUGAUUUUAAAUUUAUUUUUUAUUUUCCUUUGUGUUUUUUUCUUUCUUUCUAUUUUCUUCCCCUUUCAUUUUCCCUCAAAUGUUUUUGAGCCAAACAUAGCUUUUGAGUUUUAGUAACCAAACAUAAGCAUGAUGUUAGAACUUCGAGGAAACAUGAAUACAAUUUAUAGUUAUAAUGAUACAUGUGAUCUCUCUUUCAUGAUCAAUCCAAGAAGAACUUGGAGUCCCCAUCACCUAAACCCUUAUCAACUGCUAUUUUACAUAUGAACUACUAUUUUACAUGAUCAAUCCUAAUAGUCUCAUACACUUCUUUGUUAGACUUCAGCCAGCCACAAGUAUUGGUUGAAGGAAAUAAGACAACAUUCAACAAACAAGAAUUGAUUUCUUAAUUCAUGAUACAAUGAAAGGUGCUAAUUACUUGGUCAAUGUUUUAUAUUAACACACUACUAAUCAUGACUUGGCUAAUAAAAUAGCCUUACAAUAACUAAUUGAUAAGAAAAACAGCCCACGUUUUACACUAACAAAUAACGUGGUAAAGAGUAGAGAAUAAGUCAAAGCUGGAAACUACCCUGCUUAUAAAACUACCCUGCUUAAUAGGAAUUAUUAAAAAAAAAAAAAAAAACUAAACAAUCAGAAAACUUAAAUCUUGACAAGGACAUAGUUCUGAUCAAUUAUGAGAAGAUGAAAACUUGUUGCGAAGACAGAUUCUGAUUUUGCAAGCUUGGGUAGACCAGAUGUAACCUAAUUCACUUUGAGAAGCAUUUUUUAUAGAACUAUUUCAUACAUGAAAUGAAAAAUGAUCAAAUUUGACAUAAUUUUCAUGAAUUUCAUAAAUCUAAAAUCUCAUUUAGAAAUCAAACUUAGAAGAUUCCCUAUUAAUUAAGAAAAAUAGAAAAAUCUUACAUUACCUAUACAUCAAAUUCUAUAUUUACUCCAAUCUUAGAGUCUAGAGAGUCAUUAAAAUAUCUCUAGGGAUAAUAGAGAGAAGCCUCACAUUUAAAAGAACUUCAUAAAUGAAAGAUCACUCAAAAUAUUUAGGAAAACAAUAUCAUAUCAAUUAAUCAAACUAUCAAACUAUCAAACCACAGGUAUGUUAACUAAUAAGUAAGGACAUAGUUCUGAUCAAUUAUGAGAAGAUGAAAACUUGUUGCGAAGACAGAUUCUGAUUUUGCAAGCUUGGGUAGACCAGACACAGCAUUACUGGUACAUGCUGAUGAACUAGCUGCUGAAGAUUCCCAACUCGAAAACUAUUGAUCUGUCUUGAAACCAGCCUAGGAGUGAGACACCAAGGCUAAUCUACUGGAAUGAAGCAUUGCAAUACCUUGGGCUGCCAUGGAAAUGCAAUGAAAGUUGGCUUUCUUGACAAGCUUGAUCUUGGGAUGCCAAUCAUUGCAUUACUAAGUGAUGCUUAUGGGGCCACAUCCCCGUUAUGCUUGUUGGAGACUUUAACAGCAUGCCACCAAGUACACCGUAUCAGUUUCUGGCCUCAUCUAAAAUGGAACAUCAGUCACAACAUAGAGCCUACAGAUACCAGCAGAAUGAAGAUGCAUCCAGAACAAGGCCAUUCAUGCAUACAUGGAGCAAUGAAGAAUUAAGGCCCGCCACUGGCAGCGAUGGAGUUAUCUCAUAUGGUCCUUGUCAAACUCCUAUUCUUGGCUUCUGUGUACAGCACCACUGGAAGUUUUCCCACUCCAAUAUCAGAAAGUUGAAAUAUUCUCAAGAAAUGACCUGACCUCCAGGUUGACCUUGGCUGUUGAUACUGCUUCCAUUGGACCUCUUCCUCUCUUGGGUUCAUUCAUCACUCAGAUGGGUACAAAUGACUACAGUUCAAUUCCUUAACAACUCAAAGAUCACAAAUGCGAGGGAUCAUAUGGAACUAGAUGGCCUAUAGAAAAAAGAUGGUGAAAGAGCAGAGAAGGUGGACUCAUUAACAGCUGAAGUCAAAAGGCUAAAGGAUCUUUUGUUAUUUCCACAUUAAAAUUAAGUGGGUGGCCCACUAACCUAGUAUUUAGCCAAUUAAAAGAAUACCCAAUAUCUUUAAACUGUUAUAAAGAUAUUUACCCUUGAUGGAGUGGGUAAAUUAUAAUAAUUUUAAUAUUAUUAUUUGGAAUAAAAACAGUUAUUCGAAUAACACGUUUAGAACGAUUUUUGAACGUGUAUUCUUGGCCCUCUUCUCCUAUCAAUAAGAUAUAUAUAUAGAAACCCCUUCAUGUGCGGUGAGUACUCUCUUCCAUCAAUUACAGAAAACAAUUCUGUGUAUUAAGGUUUGAUAAGGAGAAGAAGAGAUAAAGGAUUUAAGAUCUAUAAACUGAAGGGAAAUCUCUCAUGGCUGCUUGUUCUUCAAACGGUAUGUAAUCUAUUUUUAAUUAAUGUUUUUAUUAUUUUAUUAUUAGAGAUGAGUUUGAAUUCAAUGAUCUGGAAUAUCGUGUGUUAAUUUCCGUAUUAAAUAUCAACAAUUGGUAUCAGAGCAAGGUUGAAUUUAAAUAUUCAGAAUCACUGUUUUAUAAAGAUUAAAUUUUGAGAUUUAUCUUCGAUUAAUUCGUCUCACUAAAAUGAAUAAAAAAAAAAUUAAUUAAACAAAAUAAAGACCAGCCUCAACGCGUAGAAGGAAGAUUUUUAUUUUUCCUUGCAACGCUAACUGGAUCAAUGCCGAUGAGGGGCGCUGGUUUGGCGGACUGGUUUGGCGUCAGUCCGGUGGCCGUUUUCUGACGCCAUUGCCGGUGCCAUCGCGCCGUUUUCAGGCGCCAAUCCAGGCGCCAUUGUCGGAGCACCAUCUCGCCGUUUGCGCGCUGGUUGCAGGCGCCAUUGUUGGCGCCAGUCCAGGCGGCAUUACUGGCCCCAUUGAAGGCACCAUCUCGCUGUUUGCGCAUUGGUUGCAAGCGCCAUUGCUGGCGCCAUUGAAGGCGCCGUUUUUAGGCGCUAUCUUCUGGUUGCAAGUGUCGUUUCCUCGCCGUUUCAGGCGCGCUUCAAACACCAGACUAGAAGCUUCAAUAAAGGAGAAAUACAGAAUCACAACACUGGUUAGCCGAUUGUCAUCAUCACUUAUUUGAAUAUGAAACUGAAAUCCUCUUUUAAGAUGUCCAUGCAGCUUGUGCUAUUUGAACAACAAUUUCAUGAAACAAAAAAAAAAACUAUUCAAGUCAUAGCUUUAGCUUUAGGUUGAAAUUCAAAAAAAUAAAAGGUGCAUAAGACUUUAGUUUGAUAUACAAUGUAAAUUGAUUAUUGAAUCAGAUGAUUAUUAAAGAUACUAUUUCCUUGAUUUUUUAUUAUUUGAUUUGAACCUUUGUGAAAUUAUUAUUGUAUCUGAUGAAUGCAGAUUUCUUUGAUUUUAUUAUGAUUGAUUAUUGAAUUAGAUGAUUAUUAAAGAUACUAUUUCCUUGAUUUUUUAACUCAAAUAAAAGAAUUAAUUUCAUCUUGUGAAAUUUUAUCCAAAUGACAAUUUAUAAAUGUAAGGUUAACUAAUUUAGAUAGUUGCCAAAGUAACCUAAAUUAGUGAGCCUUGUAUUUAUUGAAUUGCAUAAAAGAAUAAAGGGAGACUUGUAAAAUUCUUAAUAAUUCUCUUUAUAAUUAGGAGAAUGAGACUAACCCAAAGGAGAGUCAAUUUCUACUAAUUAUUAAUUAAUGUUUUUAUUUUGUGUUGCUUAGAAAGGUAAAAUGGAUACCCAAAGGUAACAUAUAAAUGACACAAAAUAGUAAAGUGUUUUAAGCUCCCUCCAAGUGAACACUGGAUAUGUUAAAAUUUACCCAAAGGAGAAUUUUAAUGAUAUCAAUAGUUCAUUGCUAUUUAUUUUAUACUUGAGGCUUUAUUGUCAGCAUUGUUCUAUUUUGUACAGUUCCCACUUCAUUACACUCUCUUGCAUCUGGAAUGACUGUUUUUGAUGGGUCGAACUUUUCUGAAUGGUAUGAAAGGGUUCAAUUCUCACUGGGCGUAUUGGAUCUUGACCUGGCUUUAAUAACUAAUAAACCUCUUGAAGCUAUGGAUGACAGUACUCCGGAGCAAGUGGAACAAUCAAAAGCUUGGGCAAGAUCCAACAAACUCAGUCUGAUGUUUAUGAGAAUGACUAUUGCCAAUAAUAUCAAGACCUCUCUCCCUCAAACCGAGUUUACCUCGGAAUUUCUGAAAUCUGUUGAGGAGCGCUUCAAACGCGCUGAUAAGUCUCUUGUAGGCACAUUGAUGGCUGAAUUGACCACCAUGAAAUAUGAUGGUCAGAAAGGUAUUCAGCAACAUAUUUUAAACAUGACUGAAAAGGCUACAAAGCUUAAGGCACUAGGCAUGGGUAUGGAUGAGUCCUUCUUGGUACAGUUUGUCCUUAACUCACUUCCAUCAUAGUUUGCUACAUUCAAAAUCGACUAUAAUACUAACAGUGAUCAGUGGAACUUGAAUGAUCUCACCAGUAAAUGUAUAUAAGAGGAAGUGAGAUUAAGACAAGAAGGACAUAAUCUUGCUCUUGCUGUAACUCAUGGAGUCAUGAAGAAGAAAGGAAAAUUCAAAAAAGGAAAGAACUUUCCACCUAAGAAAAGCGGACCUGGGGAAGGUAGCCAGAGUCAUGAUGGAAAAUUCACGGUAAGUUGCUACUUUUAUGGCAAGAAAGGGCUUGUGAAGAAGGACUGUAACAAGAGCAAGGCUUGGUUCGAAAAGAGAGGUAUAAAUCUUUCUUUUGUAUGUUAUGAAUCCAAUCUUGCUGAAGUUCCUUCAAAUACUUGGUGGAUUGAUUCUGGAGCCACAACUCAUGUGACUAAUUUAAUGCAGGGAUUCCUUACAACCAGGAAACCAAAGGAAAGUGAAAAGUUCCUCUAUAUGGGAAACCGUCUCAAGGUUGAAGUGGUAGUUGUUGGUACCUAUCGCUUACUAUUAGAGACGGGUCAUUGGAUGGAUCUUUUAAACACUUUUUAUGUACCUUCUAUCUCUAGGAAUUUAGUUUCCUUAUCCAAAUUAGAUGCUACUGGAUAUUCUGUUUUAUGUUCUGGACAAUUAAGUUUGAUGUUAAAUUCUGUUACAGUUGGUUCUGGUAUUUUAUGUGAUGGUUUAUAUAAAAUUUCCUUGAAUCAUGAAUUUGCACAAGCUUUGAUAACCCUACAUUCAAAUUUUGGUUCAAAACGUGGCUUAAUUAAUGAAAAUUCUUCAAUCUUAUGGCACAGAAGACUAGGGCACAUCUCUAGGGAAAGAAUUGAGAGAUUAGUGAAGGAAGGAAUUUUACAAAAUCUUGACUUCACUGAUUUUCAUGUAUGCAUGGAUUGCAUAAAGGGAAAGCAAACUAAACAUACAAAGAAAGGUGCCACAAGAAGUAAUGCGCUCCUUGAGAUAAUUCAUACAGAUAUUUGUGGACCAUUCUCUGUUCCAUGUUUUACAGGAGAGAAAUAUUUUAUCACCUUUAUAGAUGAUCUAUCUCGUUAUGGUUAUGUUUAUCUAAUGCAUGAAAAGUCUCAGGCCAUUGACAUCUUCGAGAUGUUCAUAACAGAGGUCGAGAGACAAUUAGAUAAAAAGAUUAAAAUUGUGAGAUCAGAUCGAGGCGGUGAAUAUUAUGGCAGAUAUGAUGAAUCACGACAAAAUCCUGGUCCUUUUGCCAAAUUCCUUGAAAAGUGUGGCAUUCGUGCUCAGUACACAAUGCCUGGUAUGCCACAAUAGAAUGGUGUUGCUGAAUGGCGUAAUCGCACAUUAAUGGAAAUGGUUAGGAGUAUGAUGAGUUACUCUUCUGUACCUAUUUCAUUGUGGGGUGAAGCCUUAAAAACCACAAUAUAUAUCUUGAACAGAGUUCCUAGUAAGGCAGUUCCAAAAACACCUUUCGAGUUAUGGACUGGUAGGAAACCUAGCUUGAGACAUAUACAUAUAUGGGGUUGUCCAGCGGAGGCAAGAAUCUAUAACCCACAUGAGAAAAAGCUUGAUUCAAGAACGAUAUCUGGAUAUUUCAUUGGCUAUCUGGAUAAAUCGAAAGGGUACAGAUUUUAUUGUCCUAACCACAGUGUGAGAAUAGUUGAAACCGGUAAUGCCAGAUUCUUAGAGAAUGGCGAAAUCAGUGUGAGUAAUGAACCAAGAAAGGUAGAUAUUGAGGAGAUAAGAGUGGAUAUCCCACCACCUUUUUUACCUCAAGAAAUUAUUGUCCCUCAACCUGUUCAACAAGUUGAGGAAAAUGAGCAACAUAAUAGAGAUGGUUCAUUACCACCAGAAAAUAUUGCCAUUGAAAAUGUUGUAGAGCCACCACAACCGACACCUUUGAGGAGAUCUCAAAGAGAAAGGAGACAUGCCAUUACAGAUGAUUAUGUGGUGUAUCUACAGGAAUCUGAUUUUGAUAUUGGGAUAAGGAAGGAUCCGGUUUCAUUUUCACAAGCCAUGGAAAGUGAUGAUUCUAGUAAAUGGAUGGAAGCUAUGAAUGAAGAGUUGAAAUCUAUGGCCCAUAAUGGUGUCUGGGAUCUCAUCGAAUUGCCUAAUAGUUGUAAACCCGUCGGCUGUAAAUGAGUCUUUAAGACAAAGCACGACGCUAAAGGCAAUAUCGAACGAUUUAAGGCCAGACUUGUGGCCAAAGGUCUCACUCAAAAGGAAGGUAUCAAUUACAAAGAUACCUUCUCUCCAGUUUCCAAGAAAGAUUCGCUAAGAAUCAUCAUGGCACUUGUAGCUCAUUUUGAUUUAGAGUUACAUCAAAUGGAUGUGAAAACUGCAUUCUUAAAUGGGAAUUUGGAUGAAGAUAUCUACAUGGAACAACCUGAAGGGUUCACAAAGAAAGGAAAUGAACACCUAGUUUGCAAAUUAAAGAAAUCCAUUUACGGUCUUAAAACAAGCUUCCAGACAAUGGUAUAUUAAGUUCAAUAAUGCCAUUACAUCUUUCGGAUUUAAAGAGAACAUUGUUGAUCAGUGUCUAUAUCUGAAAGUUAGUGGGAACAAGUUUAUAUUUCUGAUACUGUAUGUGGAUGAUAUUUUGCUUGCUAGCAGUGAUCUUGGUUUAUUACGUGAAACCAAGGAAUAUCUCUCUAAAAACUUUCAUAUGGUUGAUAUGGGUGAGACAAACUAUGUUAUUGGCAUCGAGAUCUUUAGGGAUCGAUCUCGAGGAGUGCUAGGUUUAUCUCAGGAAGGAUAUAUUGAUCGGGUUUUAGAGAGAUUUAAUAUGCAAUCAUGUUCAUCGGGUAUUGCACCUAUAUUGAAAGGUGACAAAUUAAGUAAAAUGCAGUGCCCAAGGAAUAACAUGGAAAGGGAGCAAAUGAAGAAAAUUCCUUAUGCAUCAGCUGUGGGGAGUUUGAUGUACGCUCAAACAUGUACAAGACCGGAUAUAAGCUUUUCUGUAGCCAUGUUAGGAAGAUACCAAAGUGAUCCAGGAUUCGAACACUAGAAAGUUGCAAAGAAGGUGAUGAGGUACUUACAAGGGACAAAGGAUUAUAUGCUCACAUAUAAAAGAUCAGAACAAUUAAAGGUUGUCGGUUACUUGGAUUCUAAUUAUGGUGGUUGUCUCAAUAGCUUAAAGUCAACUUCAGGAUUUGUCUUUAUUCUAGCAAAUGGGGCAAUCUCGUGGAAGAGUGAAAAACAAUCAAUUACUGCUUCAUCCACGAUGGAGGCCGAGUUUGUUGCUUGUUUUGAAGUUCAAGUCAUGCUCUAUGGUUGUGGAAUUUUUUCUCAGGGCUUGGUGUUGUCAACUCUAUUGCUAAACCUUUGAGAAUAUAUUGUGAUAACACCGCAGUUGUUUUCUUCUCUAAGAAUGGCAAAUUUUCUAGUGGAUCGAAACACAUGGAUUUAAAGUAUUUAGUUGUUAAAGAAAGAGUCCAGAAACAACAAGUGUCAAUUGAAAAUAUUAGAACCACAUUUAUGGUUGUUGAUCCAUUAACUAAAGGAUUACCUCCAAAGGCAUAUUUGGAACAUGUUAUGAGGAUGGGCCUUUUGAGUAAUCCAUAAUAUGUAUGAUAAUGAAUGGUGGUUAUGUAAUUGACAAUUUGCGCAUUAAAAUUGUUUCUGUUUAUUCUUGUUUUCAAUUAUAGGUGACGUUUUAUUGUUUGAUAAACAAGAAUUGUCCUGACAAGACAAAUUACAGGGGUUAUUUGGCAUUAAGGACUGGGUUAGUAAGGGUUAUUGAUGUGUGGUGCAUGGAAGGAAACAUGACAUUAUGGUUAUGUGACCGCCAUGACUCGCAUUUAUGAUCUAAACUGAUUCAGUAUUAUGGUAUAUGAUUUUGGACGUGUUGGCUAAGUUUAUUGAAAUCAUGAUCACGUGUCAAAUUUAUUUUCCAGUAUAUAUUUUAUAUAUAAACUAAAUAUAUUAUAGUUUUCAUAAUCGGUUUAGUGGGCCAAGUGGGAGAAUGUUAUUUCCACAUUAAAAUUAAGUGGGUGGCCCACUAACCUAGUAUUUAGCCAAUUAAAAGAAUACCCAAUAUCUUUAAACUGUUAUAAAGAUAUUUACCCUUGAUGGAGUGGGUAAAUUAUAAUAAUUUUAAUAUUAUUAUUUGGAAUAAAAACAGUUAUUCGAAUAACACGUUUAGAACGAUUUUUGAACGUGUAUUCUUGGCCCUCUUCUCCUAUCAAUAAGAUAUAUAUAUAUAGAAACCCCUUCAUGUGCGGUGAGUGCUCUCUUCCAUCAAUUACAUAAAACAAUUCUGUGCAUUAAGGUUUGAUAAGGAGAAGAAGAGAUAAAGGAUUUAAGAUCUAUAAACUGAAGGGAAAUCUCUCAUGGCUGCGUGUUCUUCAAACGGUAUGUAAUCUAUUUUUAAUUAAUGUUUUUAUUACUUUAUUAUCAGAGAUGAGUUUGAAUUCAAUGAUCUGGAAUAUUGUGUGUUAAUUUUCGUAUUAAAUAUCAACAUCUUUGCUAUCACAGACGUAAUCAGAAGAAGAGGCCAAGCAAGCUGCCUCUAGUCUAGGUGGCACAACCCAAAUAGAUGGAAUUGGAGAUAUGCUUGAAGUGAGUUUGAAAGAGGUUAUUUAGGCACAAGCACAACAACAUGAAUUGUCGUUUAAGCUUUUGUUGAUGAUUCAAGUUGGGAUUCUGAGAAACUAGAGUUGAGUUGGAGUGCCUUGGCUGAUGAGGUAGUGCGCCAAAACCCAAUGAGCCCUCUAAAAUCAAUAUGGUCAGUUCUUUUCCAGACUACCAGCAAUCUGCAUAGGUCUCCUCAUGCAACCACCAGUGGUGCAGUCUCAGUCCUAUCCCUGGGCCUCACUCCUGCAUGGCUACCUUAAUGCACACUGUCCUCUCCCAAAUGCAUUUCUAUUGUUUCUUUGUGAUCUUACAUGUUUUUAAUCGGGUUUUCAAAUGUUUUUUCAUUCAGAUAAUCUCGGGUUUAAAAAUUAAUCCUUAAACAUUUUUAGGCAUUAAAAUCCUAAUUUUUAAUAAACACUUGCAACCAUUCUUCUCCUAGCAUGAACCUUCCUAAUUUUCUUUAAUUUUCAACAAUUUUCUCGAUUUUUAAUAAACAUGAAUAAAUUCCAUAAUUCCAAAAAUAAUGGAAUUCCUUCCAAAUUCCUGUAAUUCCUCUAUAAUCAUUAGAGUUAGAAUUUAUAGGAUUAGCUCAUGCAAAAAUAAAAUUAGGCCUUGAUGGGAGCCCAACAUCCAUGAUAUUUUCCUUCAUAAUAAUCCAAGUGAAAUGCAUCUUAGGUAUUUAUUGACUUUGAUCUGUUUGUGAAGUGUGUGUGAUUAUUUUCUAUGGUACACUAACCUUGUUUCUUUGAGACAUUUUUGUUGUUGCAUAGGUAUGCUUUCAUCUCUACCUUGUCUAUUUAUUUAUUCCUCAUUAUCAUGCAUGAUUUGUUUUAGUCCAUGACUCUUGCUCCUUGGCAUCCACCAAUUAACUAGUCAAUUACCAUACUUGCUUCAACUUGAUUAGUAGAAACCUGAUUUUAGGGCUUGGAGGAGUGCAAUGACUUAUCAUCAUAACUUCUUAAUAGAUAACUUGACCCUCGGAUCCUAACUCAGUUUUCACAAACUUGCUUUUCCCUUUUAAGAGUCACAAUUAGGGGUUUUUUUUUUUUUCUUAUUUUGUUUUCCUUUCUUAAAAAUAAUAAAAAAUAAUUGAUGACUCCAAGUCUUUUCCUAAAAAUAAAAUAUUUCACAAAUAAAAAGCGAGUCAUGCUAUCAAGUGGAAAUGCAUGUGAAAAAUGCAAGUCCACAAGAUCCUAUAAUGGGGCAUUUUUCACCACUUUGAGCUUAUUAGAUUCACAUCAUAUUCAAUUGGGGCUUCAUUAGGGACAUGAUUCUAUUCUUGAGACUAUCAAACCUCUUGUCAUUCUGGUCAUCCUUUUGAGAUUUGAUUUGGAGCAUUUCCUUUGAGACAUGGACAAAUUUAUAUUUUGAUUUCUUAGUUCAUUAUCAUUGAGUUGGAGACAUCACGAUUACCAUAGUUUCUUCAGGAGUAUUUUUACCCAAUCAGACAAGUGAGGAUGUUUAUGCUUUUUAAAUAUGUAACAAAGUUCUAUAAUUGCUUCAAUCCAUGUUUUAAAAAUUGUAUUUCUUUCUAAUAUUGGAGCAAACUUUUUCUUUCUUAUAAAUUUCAUUUGGGAAUGAUUUAAAAAUAAAUAAAUAAAACUCCUUCUAAAUAUUAAAAAGUAACACUUUCUUAUAAAAAUUAAUUAGGUGGAUGGUAAGGUCAAAUUCGGGAUAGCUUCAUAUUUUUUGCUUUAACUUAAAAUUAAAAUCAAAAUUAAAGUAAUAAUUUUUAAGGGGUAAUAUUGAUAUUGUAAGAGUUUUACUAAACAUGAAAGAACUUCUUAUAUAUAUAUAAAAUAGAAUUAUAAAAUUCUUAUAAAACAUAACAUUUUGAUGACUUGUACAUGAAAUCUUUUUUAAAAGUUAUAAGUUUUUUAAAAAUAUAUAUGAAAAUCACUUUUAAAAAUCCAAAAAAUCCCUUAAAAAUAAUUUCUAAACAUUUUUUUAACUUAGAUUUAAAAAAUAAAUGAGUAAAAAAUGAUUUGUUUUUACUAGUUAUUUAAUUUUAAGGAAGCAAUAAAGGGUUUAAUUUGAUGUAAAAUAAAAGAUAAAUAAAUAAAUAAAUAAAUAAAAUGAGGGUUGAAAAGUAAUUAAAUCACUAAAAAAUGGAAUUGGAGUUCCUUCGGUGUGGGGUUAAACUCAAUUUGUCCCAUGCAAUGGAAAUGGACGAUUUUUAUUUUUAUUUUUUUCCUUUUCCUUUAUCUUGGUGUAGUCUUGUGAUAUUGUUACUAAAAUAGUAGGUAAAAAUAUAAAUUAUGUAUCAAUUAUUUUAAAUUUAGAAAAAAAAAAUGCUUAUUUUAAUUUCAAAUAAAUAAAUAGAAAAAAAACUAAUUUUAUCUCAAUUGUGCAAGACUUUAUAAAAAAAUUCUUAUUUGCAAAAUAUUUUGAGUUGUAAAAGUAAAAUUUAAACAAAUCAUUUCAUGACCUUUUUAACAAGUAUCCAUUUAGAUCAUAGUCUAAUUUUUAAAUAUUUGAAUAAUCCAAUUACUCUAAACUAUGUCAUUUAUAAUUUUUUUUAAUUAUUAAUAUGAUACCUAAGCUUCUACAGAAUUGGAAUAAAAUAUGGAUAAGUAAAAAAUGUCAAAUAAAAGAUAAUUUCAAUCUUUUCUAAUACAACAUAAUAUUUUAUCAUGUUGAAUAAAAUUGGAAUGGGCAAAAGUUGUCAAAUCAAGACUUACAUGGAAAAUUCCACCAUUGCAUAUCUCAAUGAUUAUUCUACAACAUUAUCUUUGUAGACUUUUAAUAAUCCAAGAAAUCGACAAAUUAUAUAAUAAUCCCAAACACACAAUAUUCUACAAUUUUUUUGAAUAAAAAAUAAAUAAUGAAAUUUGAAUAAUGCAAACAUUCAAUGAAAUCUUUGGCAUGUUAAUUCUUUGCAGCUUCAACAUGCUGGCAUGUCGGAUGGCGAAGGCAGCAUUUGAGCUUCUGGGUGUUUACCAUUUUUCACUAUGAACGCAGUUUCCAUGCCCCAAGUCACAUGGCGUUCUACAUGGCAGUGCAUGAACCACACUCCUGCAAUAGAGCAAAUAUACCAACAUUACACCUAACUUAUUGCAAUAUUAAGAAAAAUUAUUUCAAGGGUUUUUUUUUAUAAUAGAGGACGUGAGUGCUUGCAACAUACCAGGGUUGGAUGCCUCAAAUCUGAUUGCAACCCAACCAUUCGUAGGAACGGAGAUGGUACUCUGAAGGGGAGGAUCCACCAGAUUAUAGCGUAAAGGGUCCCUAUUUUUAUCGAAAUUCCCAAAUCCCCAUCCAACAAGGUAGAAACUGUAUCCAUGGAGAUGCAUGGGGUGGUGUGUCCCUGCAACCAAG